rnacentral:lncRNA from 1 species
AAAAGGAAACAAAAAUCGAGAGGUGGACCACCUAGCAACUCGUCCUCGAAGGAAGCUAGCUCGAAGCAACUCCCUUCCCGCGAUCCCUGGCCUCACCCUGAGUGGAAGGCUCUGAAAAACAUUGAGAAAAAGAGGGCGUGAGAACUAUAAUUUAUAGUUCCCAGUGGGCAAUUACUGACCUCAGCUCAUCGCACCACUAGGCCCCAAAAGAAAAGGGGUAAGUCCAAUAAUAAGAGUAACGAGUAAAUUGCAUAUUAGAAAGCAUAAUAAUUAGGAUGCUAAGCUACAACUUGCAAUUAAACAUGGCAUUCCUAAUGCGACUUUAUUUUGUCAUGGGUACAUAUGUUCACAAGUAAUAUCAUGCUUUACUUUAUACAGAUAUGAAAGUAACACUUGGUCAUGACUACGACGCAUAUAAGGAUGCAAUAAACAACAUCUCCUAGCAUACUACAUGUAUGUAUGAAUACCCAAAUGUCCACAACUAUGCUAGAAGUAAGUCCAAGUAAUCCUACUACUACUCUCUGACUAGUAGUGAUCAUAAUAAACUCAACACCGUGUCGAUUUCCAUUUCCAAUUAAGGACCUACCAAAGGUAGUCCAGCUUGUGCCGCCUAAGUGCCUGUGGUAGCCCGACAUCCCUACUCUUGGAAUGUGUCUGUCCCACUCGACCCCGUAGGCUUCUCAAUACCGCACGAGCGAACAUAAGUCGCGUAGGCUAACUCCGGAGUGCCGGCUUGUAGGGAGCGACCCUCACAAGCAUGUGCGAAUGAGCACAAAUGGCAAGCAAGCAUAGUCCAAGUCUCAAGUAUCCAAUCCUCAUGUCUCUAACAUGGUAUAGUCACUAGCAUCCCGAAGAUCUAGUUUAAGUCACAAUGUGAAGUUUCAACCUUUGCUACGCCUAGUGCCCCUUGAUGACACUUAGGCAAUUUGAUGUUCAACAUGUUUUCCAAAUCCCUCAAUGGCCCUAUCCACUAGGUUCACACAAGUCCUGAGCUCAAUGCCGCUUGAUGACAUUAGCUCUCCAUUUCACAUGAUAUCAAGUUCGAUGCCUACAUAUAUAGCAAUUGUCAUCUUUCAUGUCUCAAUUAAACUUAUGUUUAAACGCAUGAAUCAUAGCUCAUUUACUCUCUAGCACCAUGAAAUCAAACCUCAUAUAGAAUGCUAAAUGCAACCAAAGAUCUCCCAAGCAACUCUCUACUACAUAGAGGUCCAAAAAUUCAUCAUAUAUGACUUAUGCAUUUUAAGCAUUCUAAAAAUCAUAAUAAAUACAUUUAAUAUGAAAAUGCAUGAAUUAAUUAGUAAACAAAGCACUUAUCGCCAAAUAUGAGAUUUUCUCAUAUCAAAGGCUAGGUCAAACCCACCGACGACAACGAAGCUUUUCGUUUGCUUCGAUGGAGGUAUCCACUAGCUUCCUAGCACCCUAGAAACAUCAAAAAUGGUGUCAUCCAAUCGAUACGAAGAGCAAUAAGCUCGAUCUUUAACCUAGAAGCAAAAGGGCCAAAACUCACCUCAAGAGUAGAAAUCUUCUCCUAAGCUCCAAAAGAGAGCUAGAACCCUUCAAAUCCAAGCCCUAAGAAGGUUCUAAACCAACCAAUCAAGCCUCAAAAGCCCUAGGUUCAAAAAGCCCAAAAUAAACCCUAAGUCUCCAAACUAGGGUUUCAUCUCAAAGAAAGCUUUAAAAUCCAAAACUAGAGGAAAGGAUCUUGCCACUUACCUCUUAUAAGCCUUAAAACCAGCUCAAAGUCCUCACACUUCAAGUAUCUUCCCUCAAUCAAACUCCAAAUCCAAGUUCCAAGCUCCAACAAUGGUGGAAAUAGCUCCAAAAGGGAAAAAGAGAGGAAAAUUCAUCAAAAACCAUGCAAAAUGGGAAUCAAAUCCAAAGAGAUGGUGUGGGGAGCUCCCUUACCUAGUUCUCCACUCUUCUCAGCCCAGGGGAGAGCCCUAGGGGCGUGGGUGCUGAUAUAAGAAGCCCACAAUCGCAAAUAAGCCCCUGCAGAGCAAACUGUGCAGAUUCUGCCUCCUUGUACCGGUACACGGGAUCUUGUACCGGUACAAGAGCUACGAAAAUCCAAAACCGAGGCUCGGGUGCGCGGUCCUGCGGCACUGUACCGGUACAGGCCCGAUGGCUGUACCGGUACAACCAUCAACAUUGUACCGGUACAAGACCACCCUUGUACCGGUACAAGACCUGCGAAAAUGCAAACCCGAGGCUCGGGUUUGCGAGUUCGCGGCUCUGUACCGGUACAGGCCCAACCUUGUACCGGUACAAGCCCGCCAGACAGCCAAUCCGAGAGCUGACCAAAAUCCAAAUUUUUGGGUUUUGGUGCAAGGCUUUGUACCACACUCCUCGGGACACGUGCCAUAAGUCGGAACACAGUCAACGACCUACCAGGAAAUCUGGAAAAGCUCAGAGCACAGCUAAUCACUCGAACCUCGCUGUUUGCAAAGGUCUAGUGUGUUACACCUAUACUACACUAUAAAAGAUAAGGAAGUGAGAACUCUGGCAGAAACACACAUACCGCACCAAAAAUACAAAAUCCAAUCAGAAUGUAAUAAAGAGCGCACUAAAUAUGGAUGAACAUACAAUCAACUUGCAAAGAUAAGCAGAAUUUUGUCAACAACUUACAUAAAACACAAUAUAAUAAAAGACGCACAAAAGAUGAACAUAUUACAUCAACUUGCGAAAAUGACUACAAUCUUAUCAACAACUUACAUAAAACACAAUAUGAUAAAAUAAGGACUAGCACAAUACAAUAUGACAAAUAUAGUGAAAUAUGGAAUACUUUAAAUAUGAAUGAACAUACUUUGUACUAGAAUAUGGACUAUCCACACAAAAUACACAAUUUAUGUAUAAAAUGAAUGACACACUAUCCUGUAAAUUUAUCAACAUAUUUACGAGAUGUUCCAAAAAAUUACCANGGGCUGCUACAAGUCAGCAAACAAAAAUGCAAGGGCGACGCUAUGGAUACGGAGUGGAGUAUAUUACAGGAGAGCAAUGCAAGAAUAGCUCCCUGCAUAUAUUACCAGCACAGAAAAAGGGUGAGAUAGGUGCUGAAUCUGAAACAUCAAAAGAAGAAGGAAGGGAGCUACAACAAGUACGGAUCAUUACAAAUUGGUCCAGAUCAUUACAAAAGAAUUGUGAGUCACAACAGCAAUUUAAAGAGGAUAAAACUAUGGGGCUUACUGCAGAGGGGUACAAGAGGUUGGAUAAUAUAGACUUAACUAGUGUUGUUGAGGAAUUGCCGAGGUUGAAGUUAGUGGAGAAGGUGCCCAGGGCUGCUACUCCUACAUUAGCCUUCGAGCCAGUCAUCUUACAAGAGUUGUCGAUGAACACCAUGUUGAAAGGUAUGGCCACCCCAAUCAGGCAAAAGAGGUUGCAAGGUUUAUGUUACAAGGGUGGAGAGAAAUUUUUCUCUGGGCGUCAGUGUAAACGCAGGGUUCGCAAUAUGGUGGUAACGGCAAAAGGGAUUGAUAAUAUUGAUGAAUUAGAGACAGCAAAAGGACGAGAAGGCAGUGGUCCACAACAAUUUAUAAGGGAAGAGAAAGUACUGCAAAAGUUCAAUUCUACAACUUAUGUUAAUUGUGGAGAAAAUGUUCGUGGAACUAUCAAGUUCAAAGAGGAUUUGCAUUUAUGCAUACCUAGAUUGCUAGAAGAGAUUGUAGAGAUGUUUGUUGAACAAAUUACUCUAGCUGAUUAUACUAAGAUCCCUAUACUAGAGACAGGUGCUAGGGAUGGAGUUAAAGAAGUUUUGAUACAAGGAUAGGAAUCAAUUGCCUAUCUAAAGAAUGGAUUGAAUCAAGUCAUACACUUCCUUGAAGAUCUACUAAACAAACAACAAGAGGUGGAAUUUGCAGUGAUGCAGGGGCAGCAAGAAAAAUCUGAGGACUUCGAGGUCCAAAGGCUAAUCCAACACUCUAGACUGACAGGAGCUUGCCUUGUGAGGGGUUUUGUGAAUGAACACAAGAAGCUAGGGGCUGUGCUUAGGAUGCCUCACCCAUGCUCGCGAUUUCUGGCCUAUGAACAAGACAAACUGCAGGAAUCUGAUGUAAGUGAUUGCAACUUCCAUAAUGCUAACUAUGUUCAUAGUGUGAUGGUUAAAGGCAACAGCUUUCUAAGCCUAGUCGAAAGUCAAGUUCACCCUGAAAAUGGAGAAGAUCAGGGUGUAAGAGAAUUAGAAGAUGAAACUAGCUGUUCCCUCAUCAUAGCUAGGAUGGUUAUGAAGAGGUUUGCCUAUAAAAAGAGGUGUGAUGGUCUCUAUAGGCGAAAAAUUUCGAAGGAUUGUUUCGCACUUAAGAAGAAGGCCAAUGGGGAGCAGAAUUGUAACACACUGGAUCUGUGCAAAUUGCGAGGUUCGAGUGAUUGGAUGUGUUCCAAGCUUUUCCCACGCUUUGUGGAGGGUCGUAGAAAGUGUUCCGACCUAAAAAGUUCGAAUCCUGAAAAUUCAGCUUUGUCCUGAGAGUUUUUACUCUCGGGGACCGGUCCCUGGUGGGAGAGACCGGUCCCCUUGGAAUAGUGUUGUGGCAGUCUGCGAGGCAACCAGUCUCUGGCGGAUGAGACCGGUCCCCGAGCGCGUUUACGCAGGGAGAGACCGGUCCCAUGCGGGGAGAGACCGGUUCUCGAGAGCAGGUUUUGCGGGAUGGACCUGAGAGACCGAUCCCAAGCUGGGAGAGACCGGUCCCUCUGGGCGAAAUUUGCCCAGUCCAGGCUGAUGCUUUGGUUGUUUGUUGAGGGGUUUUUCUGCUAUUGCUACAUCUCUUAGAGGGUAUAGAGGGGGGCAGGGCUCUCUCCCUCUCUCAUUUCCCUCACUCCCUCUCAUCUUUUUUUCUCUUUCUCUCUCAAGAAGAAGAAGAAGAAGAAGACCAAGCUUGAGGACUUGGAGCUUUUCCCUCUCCCUCUCUUCCCACUUUGUUGGUGCUUGGAGGCUUGGACUUGGAGCUUGCUAGAGAGGAGAUCUUCACUCUUGGAGCUUAGUUUGGAACUUCUAAAGACGUUUGUUGCCCAUUUCUCUCCUCUAGACCUAGUUUUGAUAGUUUUUGGGAAAUGAAACCCUAGAGUGGAAAAUCUAGGAUUUAUUUGGGGCUUUUUGAUUAGAAACUUUUUGAGCUAAUCUAAUUGGAUUAGAACCUUGGUUUAGGUUGCUUUGGAAGGGAUCUAGCUUCUAUUUGAGCUUUGGAAAGGAAUUUCUAUACUAUAGGUGAGAUUUUGACUCUUUUGCUUAAUAGGUUAAUGUUUGAGCUUGUAGUUGAUCGUAAGGUUCGCUUGACCUUUGUUUUUGUGCCCCUAGGGUACUAGGAGGCUAGUGGGCACCUUCGUCGGAGCUUACGAAGGGUUGCACGAGUUUUGGUGGGUUUGACCUAGUUUACAAUAUGAGAAAUUCUCACAUUUGGUGAUUUAUGUUUCGUAAAGUGGAAAUUCAUGCAUUUUCAUGCUAGAUGUAUUUAUUGUGAAUUUUAGAAUACUUAAAAUGCUUACGUUAUAUAUAAUGCAUUUUUGGACCUCUACGUAGUAGAGAAUGGCAUGUGAGACUUAUGCAUGUGUUUAGCAUUCUAGAUAUGACCCAUGAUCAGAUCAUGUUCUAUAUAGUGAGAAUGAGAAGUGUAAUGUGCUUUUAGACAUAACUCUCAUGUUGGACCUAGGGUCAUGCAUAAUGCCAUAAAGAGGCUCGGGACUUGUGUUAUUAGCAAACUAUGGAGCCAAUGUCACAAAGGGGCAUUGAGCUCGUCAUGUGCUUGGGACGAGUGAAACCUAGUGUCAUAAAGCGGCACUAGUGUGGGAACAAGAUUUGGACUUAGUAAAGCUAAGGUCAAUGACAUGGAAUUUAUUGAACGGUUGAACCUUCACAUUGAGACAUGAUGACUGAGUUCUUGCGACGAUGACUAUGCUUGUUUGCCAUUUGUGCUCAUUCGCAAAUGCUUGUGAGGGUCGCUCCCUACAAGCCGGCACUCCGGAGUUGGCCUACGCGACUUAUGCUCGCCCGUGCGUUGUCGAGAAAUCUACGAGGUCGGGAGGGAUAGACUCAUUCCUAGAGUAGGAAUGCUGGAGCUACCACCGACACUUAGGCGGCACAAGCUAGACUACACUUAUGUAGGUCCUAGAACAUAAUGUAAAAUAACAUUAAACCGGGAUGUGACAAUCACUACUAGAUAGGCUUAGUAGUUGGAUUACUUUGACAUGCUUAUGGCGUAGCGUUGGGACAUGUAGUAUACUUGAUAGUUUUACUUGUUGCAUCAUAAUAUACUUGGUUGCCAUGAUAGAGUAUAUUCAUCAUAUAUUGAUAGAAUGGAUCAUAAUGCCUAUUGCUGGCCAUGUUGGGACAUAUUAGUCAUGCAUUGGACAUUCUUUAUCAUGAUAGAGUAGAUGCACAACACAUUGACAUCAUGUUUACUUGUGACAUAUGAGUUUAGCAUUCUAUUUAUGCUUUCAUAAAUGCAAUCUAUUUAUUAUUAUUGUUGCUUUUGGACUUACCCUUUUCUUUUGGGGCCUAGUGGUGCAUUGAGCUUAGGUCAGUAAUUGCCCACUGGGAACUAUAAAUUAUAGUUCUCACACCCUCUGUUUCUUAUUUUUAUUUCAGAGCCUUCCACUCCGGGCGAGGCUAGGGACCGAGGAAAGGGAAUCGCCACGAGCUAGCUUGUGAGCGAGGGACGUUCGAUAGGUGGUCCACCUCUUCUUUGUUUUCUUUUUGGGAGAGGAUGAGAGUUGUACCUUGUAUAGAGAUCACCCUUUUUGUAGUACUUUUGUGAUGACUCCUGUAUUGACUUUAUCUUUUGUUUAGUAGUUCACUUUUCCCUUUCUCUAUUUGUUGUCAGAUGUUAGCGGUUAGUAGCUCUCUGAUAUCUCUAGUGACUUUAUUUCUUCUUGCUUACAUAUCACUUUUGUUGUAGACGCCUUAUAUGUGCAGGCAUAUGGCGGGUCUGGGCACGCACCGGGCGGGCCUAUGCCGGGUCCCGAGACGUGACAAGAAUGAAGCCGCUUGGGAAGACAAUAGAGAGAUUACAGCAUUGGGAAAAAUUCUAAAGCCCACAAGUAACCAGAUUUGACUUUACCACAUCUCGGUGCAAACAAGUCGGGCGACGCACCGAUUGUGACUGCCUGAAGGUCCCAAGGGUGAGCCCCCGCCCCAGCAGGAGCCGUCGUCCAUGCUGCCAACCCGAGGUAUUAGGUGAGUGUGGACACAGUUGGAAACGCCUCACACCGGCGCAAAAGGGGGGCGAGAAACAGAACCGAUAUUAGACAAUGGCUUAAAAGAAGCAAUUUUGAAGAAGAAGAAUGUGCCGCGAGGGAAGCAAAUGGGAGCCCCAAACAAGUUCAAUAAGUCCAUCCUUGAGGACAAGGAUGAUUUUAAGGGGAGGGGAUUGUAACAACCCUGAAGAAUAAAUAGUAGUAGUAGUAGUAGUAGUAGUUAGCAUGGGGAAGUAGUAAAAAUGUCAACUUUACAACGUAGAGCAGGGAAGUGACAGCAGGAGGUUGGAGAGGAGCGAGCUCGGCGGAGUGGUCCGGCGGGAAGCGCCUCCGAAGGCGCUCAGGCGCUGGCGGAGGAUAGCACGGAGAAGGGCGAUCAGGCGCUGGCGGAGGAUAGCGCAGAGAGGGGCGUCAGGCGGAACUCCGGCAGGGUGAACCGGCGGGGCUAGGGCAUCGUCGGAGCUGAAGAGGAAAUGGGAGGAUCAAGGUCGGAGAAGGAAGCCCGACAGAACCUGGGUAAUUGGGGCGAAGAAGAGAGCUGGCGGAUCGGGCGGUCGGAUCACUGGAGCGGGCGUACAACGUGGAUCCGAUAUCCGCCGGGUCGUGGAUGAUGCAGAGAAGGUCGGAACCGACGCCCACUUACCGUUAAGCAUGGAUCGGGCGAAGUGGGGCUCGGAUCGGGGCAAAAUGGCGAACCCAAGACCUGCUAGGUUGCGGGUACUGCGGAGAAGGACGGACCCGAGUCCGAAUAACCGACAAGCGGCAGAGGAGCUCAGGAAGCCCAGGAAGAGGGCCUAACUACCACCGAAUUGGCGGCCCAACCAGCCCACUUCUUAUUUUUGUCACUAUUGUUGUUUAGUCCUCAGAGAUUAAAUAAUUCUCUUUUUUGUACGGAUACUAACUAGUAUAAGUAUCAGGAUGUCAUGUAAGCUAUGGAUUAUGAAUGAAAUGAAUUAGUCUAUUUUCUCCCCCAAAAGUUCUUCUCCAAACCCUUCUUCUUCUCCACUACUUCUCUUCCCCAUUCUCCUCUAUUUCCAAUUCUCUACUCUCUACUCAACUCUUUCUCUCUCAGUCUACCUCUGCUUCUAUCUCUCUUUCUCUUUCCUUUCUUAGCAUCAAACUACACCGAAUUCGCGACCGAAAGCUCCCAUCAUCCUCUUCGCCAUACCGGCCUCAGCGAGCUCUCAUCAUAGGCGGUUGCAGAUAGUCCGGGGAUAUUACACUCUCAUGGCAGCAGCAGGAGAAAUAGCAGCAUCAUCAUCAGCGAGAGAGAUAGGAAUCGCCAAGUGGGGGGAUCAGGGGCCCUUCUCGAGUGAAGAACCCAAUCUUCGAUGUGGCCCCGCGGGGGCUUCCGAUGGCGUUCGGUGAGCGGCCGGAAGGGAAGGGAUGGGGUCGGUGGCAAGGCAGCAAGGGUGAGAAGCUAGGGCAAAAACUUUUUGCUCUGUACGGUCGGACUGAAGUCUUUUUUUUUAAAAAAAAAUUUCUAUUUUGGGCGAGCCGCGAGCCCGCGACCGCAAGGGCCGAACCCUUUUUUUAGCUGUUCGCGAUUCCCCAAUAAUUAUUUUUGACUAAAAAAAUGCUUUUUUUUUUUGGAAAAAUACAGAUAUGGCUUUUUUAUUUGAUUUUUCAAAAAUUUGUAAAUAAUUCACAAAUUAUUCGCGAAUUAACUAAUAAUAAUGAUUUAUAAUCAGGACCGAGUGGGCUUGGCAAGGUUGGUUGAGUAGAGAAACUUUUUAUUCUUAAUUGGAUUGGGGUUUAUAUUUAGGCCUGCUACGAGCCGAAUUCUUCAGUCGUUGACUUGGUCAAAGCCUUCCUUGGAAAACGUGCAGGAAUUAAAUCCGGCCUCACGUGAUGACCCUCGAAGUUUGCGCCCUUCGACAGAUCAAGCGAUUCGACUGAUAAGAGAUCAGAUCAGCCGAGUUCGACAACUCCUACUGUAGCGCAAGUUCGGCUGAAUGAGCCGAAAAGGAUGGAAUGCACAGUGAUUGGUCAGCUGAAAGAGCCGAAUUAAUCGCGAUUUUGUCCCUAUCGCCGUUGCUUUAGCUAACGGCGAAAAAUUAGCCUUAGGUACCUAUUUUCUUUCUUUCAUUUAUAGAAAAUUUUUUGAAUCUAUCAAACCAUUGCCAUCAGGUGGCGUUGUUAUUAAUUCAGGAUGUGGCAUUUCGUGGUUCUUGCAGAUGUGUCUGCAAAUCUAUUUUCCUUAUUUAUGCCGAACUCCUUUAGAUUUAGAUUCGGCUGCUCAAUUUGAUACAUUUGGUUUAGCCCUUGGUUGUCCCGAACCUUUAACCCUUGGUCAACCAUCCGAUUUCUCUCGUUACUUCAAGGUAUUUUAUGAGAAGGAUUUCCGCUUCCAUACCCUUCGAUCUCCAUUUAGGGAAUGCACUACUGGUCCUUCUUGGCUCUUAACUCGAUUUGAGGUCAUCCAAGAUCAAUUAGCGUCUUCUCGAGCUAGUGAAUAUGCCGAUGUGUGGUUCUCUAUUUUGGCCACCAGAGAUUUACAUAUCGGCUUGAAGAACGGUUCCAAGUUGAUGCCCAGCACCAAAGUUUACUCUCCUCACUAUGUGGCGCAUCAAUUUGGUUUGGUUCAAGGACUUCUUGCUCCAUCCAAAUUCUUUACGGCCAAUACCACUCGCGGGCGUCCUCCUACAAAGAGUAAUGCCAACGCCGAUCGCAUCUCGGCCUUAGGAAACCGUCUUCGAAGAUUUUUCAAUUUGGUGAGCUUUCGGCCUAAUCAUGCUGGAGUGUUAGACUUCUGUUUUAGUCGAAGUUGGAGCGCUUUUUGCUAGCAACAUUUUCUUAACAUUAUGACUCCUCUUUUUGCAAAGAUUUUUCAUACAGAAGGUAACUUAUUUCUUCGAUUAGUCUAUUCCUUUUUUUUUCUUUUUUCUUCUUCUAACUCUUUUAAUUUUGGCAUUUCAGGCAAUAAGCCUUUACCUACUCCACCGAAAGAUGUAUAAGACGAGGAUCCUGCAAGUUCGCCUCGUCCCUCUACGGUAAGUUUCGGUUCUACUAUACUUUCUCUUUUUCUUUCUACGUUAUUUGACAUAUACAUAUCAUUUCAGCCAAUUCCUACUUCAACCUCAUCGGCCCCACCAUCCGUCAAACGAUCGAUGGACUUUGAGCAGUCGACCCAGCCACCGCCACAAAAGCGGCGUAAAACAGUUGCCAUCAGAAUCUGUUCUACUCCUCCACCUCAACCACCGGCACGUGCCGAAGAAUCUCCGGCAAAGGAACCGCAUUCUGACGUUUCAGUCGAAGGGGAAAAAUCGACUCACUCCAUUCCCAUUGAUCCGAUUUCUCCUGAGGUAACUCCUCAGCUUAUUUAAAUUGAUUCUUCUUCUUCUCAUUGCUCAGCUGGGUCACCUCCACUAUCUUCGGUCAAACAUACUUCAUCACAGAAAACCUCACAUGCUUGUUUUACUUCAUCUCUGAGGCGAGAGAUGUUUGAUAUUGGACGACAGGCUCGCCGAGAAGCUCGUCUGGAUAAAAAGCAGGAAGCAGAGCGCAAGUGAAUAGAAGUUGUGACGGGCGAGCGGAAAAGAACAAGGACAAAACGAAGAAAACAUUCGCCUCAAGGGAAGCAGAGGAUGAAAAAGGAGGUAAAGAAGAAAGUGAAAAAGCAAAGGUCCUAGAGAAAACAGAUGAAGGGGAAAAAGAAAAAGAAAAAGAAGAACAACAGAAAAAGACUGAUAAAGAAGUGAAAAUAAGUAAGGUUCAUCCUUCAAAUCCUUUAGCCGAGGCCUCAACAUCGGUUCCUUUACCGAUGCCUAAAACAGAGGACCUAUUGUCUGUGACUCUCCAGAGUCUACUGGCUUCGAGUCCUAACUCCAAUGAAGGGGAAGACCUUUCUGCUGUCAUAUCGGCUAACACUCAACAAAAACUAGAUGAGUGUUUAAGGUUAUACAGUUAUUGUAAGGAAGUGAAUCCUCGAAACUCGAGGGUUAGACUUCGACUAGAAUCGACUAGUUGUCGAGUGCGUAGGCUUCGGAAAGUCCGAAGGUGCUUAUAAUGCAUAAAGUGCAUUAAGGAAGGGUCCGCGGGAGCACCAGUGCAAAACUUGCACUGGAGCAGAAAUGCUCUCGGGGACCGGCCCCUGGCAGGGAGGGACCGGUUCCAUCAGGCUGGGCUGCGGAGGUCUCUGAUGAGACCGGUCCCUGGCAGGCAGGGACCGAUUCCCGAACGUUGGCCCAGCGAAAAUAGCCGAAAAUUGGCUAAGUCCCGAAAACUCAGCUUUCGGGAACCGGUCUCUCGGACAAGGACCGGUCUCCCGGGGACCGGUCUCUGAGGCAAGGACCGGUUCUNCAAGCCGAGGAGCCUGAUGUGGUGGCAGGUAUGGUUCUAAUCAAUGGAGUUCGCUCCAGAGCUAUGUUCGAUACGGGUGCCACGCAUUCAUUUAUUAGUAGAGCAUUUGCACGCAUGCAUGACAUACCCAUAGAAGCGAGUGGUAAAUGGCAAGUUGAAGGUCCCGAGUCGUCAUUUAAUACCUACACGGAGUGCUCGUCGUGUCCGGUGCAAGUGGGUGAUUGGAUAAUGCCCAUUCGGAUGUUGAAACUCACUAAAUUGGAGGCGUAUGAUGUCAUUUUGGGCAUGGACUGGCUCUCCAGGUAUUAUGCCACGAUCGAUUGUAAGAAUAAAUUGAUCACCUUUCGGGAGCCCGGACAGAGGGAGUUCGUUUAUCGAGCUUGUCGGAGUUCUUGCUUCGUCGCGACAGUAUCGGCGACGAGAGCUAGGAAGUUGGUCAGCGGCGGUUGCGCGGCAUUUUUGGCGACCGUCGUGGAGGUGGACCGAGUGGUGCCGAAAUUAGAGGAUUUAUCGGUGGUGCGGGAAUUUCCGGAUGUGUUUCCCACGGAGUUAUCGGGGAUGCCGCCGGAUCGGGAGAUCGAGUUCGUUAUAGACUUGAUUCCCGGGACGGCGCCGAUCUCAAAGGCCCCAUACCGCAUGGCGCCGGCAGAGUUAAGAGAACUGAGGGAUCAGUUACAAGAUCUUCUCGACAAAGGGUUUAUCUGGCCGAGCGUAUCGCCGUGGGGAGCACCGGUGUUGUUCGUGCGCAAGAAGGAUGGCUCGUUUCGACUCUGCGUGAAUUAUCGAGAGUUGAAUAAGGUCACAAUUAAGAACAAGUACCCAUUACCCCAAAUCGACGACUUAUUUGAUCAAUUGUAGGGGUCACGAGUGUACUCGAAGAUAGACCUACAAUCCGGCUACCAUCAGUUAAAGAUCAAGUCGGAGGAUAUUCAGAAGACCGCGUUUCGUACGCGUUAUGGACACUAUGAAUACACGGUUAUGCCUUUUGGGCUCACUAAUGCUCCGGCUGCAUUCAUGGACCUGAUGAACCGUGUGUUCAAGGCGUGCUUGGACCGAUUUGUCGUGGUCUUCAUAGACGACAUCUUGGUCUAUUCGCGGGACGACGAGGAGCACGCGGAGCAUUUGCGGACGGUGCUUCAAAUCCUUCGGGAGGAGAAGCUAUUCGCAAAGCUGAAGAAAUGUGAUUUCUGGCUUCGAGAGGUUGCCUUCUUAGGGCAUGUAAUUUCCGAGGGCGGUGUUUCGGUUGACCCGAGGAAAGUCGAAGCGGUCGAGAAUUGGCCACGCCCGACGAACGUCACGGAGGUCCGAAGCUUUAUAGGUUUCCCAAAACGAUGUAUUAUAAAAUCUUCCACAAAAUCUAUAAUCUCCUUCUGAAUGACCAAUCUAGAAAGUUUUACUUCUACCCAUUUGGUGAAGUAAUCAACAGCCACUAUCAGAAAUUUAUAACCAGCUGAUGAAUUUGGCUGAAUUUCCCCGAUUAAAUACAUAGCCCAACCUCGGAAGGGCCAAGAUUUAAUUAUUAUGUACAUCUUGGAAGCAGGGACUCUUUGCACAGGGCCAUGAAAUUGACAAUCUUGACAUCCUUUGGUGUAUUUUAUACAAUCUUGAUACAGAGUCGGCCAGUAAUAUUCCAGAUGUCGAACUGUCCAUCUUAGUCUUUUUCCGGCUAAAUGGGCUCCACAUAAGCCUUCAUGAGUUUCUCUCAUAACCAACAAAGCUUCUUCGGGCCCUAGACAUUUUAACAAUACUUAUUCGGCUGUUCUCUUAUAGAGUUGUCCAUUUAACAGACAAUAGCCGAGUGCUCUUUUUCGAAUAUGAUAUUCGACCCGCUUACUAGAGUCUUCUAAAUAUUCAAUUAAAGGUUUUCUCUAGUCUUCUUGGACUUCUACAAGAGCAAUCAUUGUCGGCUCUCGUAUAUGAACCGAUCUUCGUUCUAUUUUCACUUGGUCUUGCCGCGGCUCUUUAUACCCUGAAGCCGAUUGAGCUAACUCAUUAGCCUGUUCAUUCUCUUCUCUUGUUAAAUGUACGAACUCCACUUCCUCGAAACUGCAGAGUAAUUCUAUUGCUUUUCUCAAGUAAUUCUGCAAAUUUCGAUUUUCACAUCGGUAUUCUCCAUUUACUUGCUUGAUCACUAAUUGUGAAUCCCCAAAGACAUUGAGUGAGCACACUUCUAAUUCUUGUAAAAUUUCAAGACCAAUUAUUAAAGCCUCAUAUUCGGCUUGAUUAUUAGAACAGUCGAAAUCUAAUUCGAAAGCGAACCGAUAAAUAUAUCCUUCAGGAGACUGUAUAACCACCCCGGUUCCUGCGGAUUUGGCUGUUUUCGAGCCAUCAAAACAAAGUGUCCAAGGCUAGCAGCCGAUUAGACUUUGUCUCGGCUCUUCAAUCUCGACACAAGGAUGAUCGGCUAAGAAAUCAGCUAUUGCUUGCCCCUUCACAGUUUUUGCAGGGGCAUAAUUAAGAGAAAAUUCGGACAAGACCAGCAUCCAUCGUCCAAUUCGCCCUCUUAAUACAAGUUUGAUAACAUAUAUUUUACCAAGUCAGUUUUACAGACCACUGAUACUUCUAUCGAUAAAAUAUAAUAUCUCAAUUUUGUACAGGCAUAAUAUAAUGCGAGGUAUAAUUUUUCAAUUGCCGAAUAUCAUUUUUCGGCAUCCAACAAGCGCCUGCAAAGGUAAUAGAUGGCUUGGUCUUCUUUUUCGUGGUUCUUCUGUGCCAAUAAGCACUCUAAAUUUUCUUCUGUAGCCAAUAUGUAUAAUUUCAUCGGCUGAUCUUGCCUAGGAGGCAUAAGGACUGGAGGAUUCGCUAAGUAUCUCUUUAUAUUUUCAAAUGCUUCUUGUUGUUCCUCUGUCCAACUAUAUUCUUCUUGAUUUUUAAGCCGAAGCAAUGGAGUAAACACUCCUAUUCUACCGGCUAAAUUUGAUAUAAACCGUCAUAAAUAAUUAAUUUUUUCUAAUAAACUUUGGGUAAAUUGCAUUGUUACCCCUGAACUUUUGGCGAAGUUUCACUUUACCUCUCGAAUUUCUAAAAUGGACAUGCAUCUAACCCCCUAAACUCUAAUAUUUCGUUCAUGUUACCCCUUCCGUCAGUUUUCCGUCAAGCUCCGUUAACCGGAAACUGACGGAAAGGGUAAAACGAAUGAAAUAUUAGAGUUUAGAGUGUUAGAUGUCUAUUUUAAGAGUCUGGGGGGUUAAGUGAAACUCGCCAAAAGUUCAGGAGGUAACAAUACAAUUUACCCAAAUUUUUAUUAUAAAUUAUUUUUAUAUUUUCAUAUUAAAAAUUUCUAAUUGGCUGAAUUGAAGUACACAAAUUUUAUUUAAGUGUAUUUUAUAGAACAAUGCUUCUAAAGAUAAAAGGGACAAACGAGUACUACAGAAAUUAACUGAGAAUUAAAAUCUCUAUAUCCGAGUGAGGACACCUAUUGUAAAUCAACCAUAUUAGCGAGUACACCAGGAUAGUAGAGUGUUCAAGCAUCGUAGGUAGUUAGUAUCGCUCUUUUUUUAUCUUUAAGCCACUCUAAUUCAUUUCUUUCACUUUUAUUUUAUUACAAUAAAAUGUAGGAUAAAUUAUGAUUUUAGGAUAAAAAAUGUAUAUAAAUUCAAAAUCAAGCAUGAUCACUAACUUGAGGAUUAAUAGUCAAUCCAUAAGUAACAUAUUAUAAUAAAAUAAUUUAUAGUCAAGAGUCCCAUACGGAGUAAAUUGCACUACUACCUCCUGAAAUUUUGGCGAAUUUCACUUAACCCCCCAAGCUCUUAAAAUAGACAUCUAACACCCUAAACUCUAAUAUUUCAUUCGUUUUACCUUCCGUCAGUUUUCGGUUAACGGAGCUUGACGGAAAACUGACGGAAGGGGUAAUAUGAACGAAAUAUUAGAGUUUAGGGGGUUAGAUGUCCAUUUUAGGAGUUCGAGGGAUAAAGUGAAACUUCGCCAAAAGUUCAGGGAGUAACAGUGCAAUUUACCCAAUAAACUUUGCAGCUCCUUUUUAUUUUUUGGUGGCGGCAAUUCCACUAUAACUUUAGCCUUAUUUUUAUCAAUGUCAAUUUCUUUUUUAUGUACUAGGAAUCCAAGAAAAUUUUCUGCUAAAACUCCAAAAGCACAUUUUAAAGAAUUCAUUUUCAAAUUAUAUUUUCUCAUUCUUUCGAAGGCAAGUUCUAAAUCUGCCCAAUGAUCUGCUUGUGAUUUUGAUUUCACAACGAUAUCGUCGAUGUAAACCUCCAACAUUCUGUCGAUCAAAUCAUGAAAGAUGAAAUUCAUUGCUCUUUGGUAAGUAGCUCCAGCAUUCUUUAAGCCGAAUGGCAUAACUACCCAUUCGAAAGUCCCAAUAGACCCUGGGCAUCUAAAAGCUAUUUUAGCUACAUCUUUUUUGGCAAUAAAAAUUUGAUUAUAGCCUGCAUGUCCGUUCAUAAAAGACAGGAUUUCAUGCCUGGCUGCUGAAUCUACUAACAUAUUAGCAAUUGGCAUUGGAUAUUCAUCUUUAAGUGUAGCCAUAUUCAAGUUCCUAAAAUCAAUACAAACUCUACGUUUGCCAUUCUUUUUAUGUACUAGAACUAUAUUAGACACCCAAUCCACAUAACGGGCCGCUCUAAUAAAAUCGGCCUUCAAUAAGUUUUCAAUUUCAUUCUUAAUUUGCAGUACAAUACUCGGUUCAAAUCUACGAGCGAGCCGUUUGUUUGUAAGGCUUAUAUCCUUUUUUAAUAGGAAGCCUAUGUUCUACAAUUUUUCGACUCAAACUCGGCAUUUCUCCAUAAUUCCAGGUGAAGCAGUCCUUGUAUUCUGUCAGCAAUUCUUUUAGCUUCUCUUGUUGUUGAGCAUAAAGUCUGGCACUAAUAUAAGUCGGCCGCUUAUCUUCGUCAGACCCCAAAUUUACCUCCACCAACGAAUCUUGGGUCUCCAACUUCUUAUCAUCGGCCUUAAUAGGUGACUCAUCUAUAGGUUCUUUCAUAAUCUUAUAAGUUUUUGAGCCGCUCUCAUCAUUAGACUCUAUUGCUCUUUGAGUCAGAUUGUUUUUACUCAGCUCGGCUGUCACCUUUGUCGAUUCAUUGGAUAUUUUCUUAUCGGCCCUCAUGACCAAUUCUGUGAACAGGUUAUUUUCGGCCGACUUGGCCGUUUUGAUGUGUGCCACUUCAUCGUCCUGAUCAGCCGAUUUACUCCAAUAGCCAACUUUAUUGGUCGGCCCAUUCUGCUGAAACUCUUCUAAAGCUUUGGUUCUUGACUCUUGGUGUUCCAUUUUAACCAGCUUGGUGGCUCUUCAUGUCACGCCCGGGGCCCAGUGGAAGCCUGCCCGGUGCGUGUCUAGACUCGCUAUAUACCUGCAACAUAUAAGGCGUCUACAACAAUAUGAUAAAUAAAACGGAGAGAUAAUAACAUCUAGUAUGAUAUCAUAGCAUAAAUACAUCUAAUCUCUAGAGAUCUGUAGAAUAAAAGAGCUAAACAACUAACAUAAACCAUAAAGUAGUACAUACAUCACAUGAUCCACAAGAAUAAAAACUAAAUACAAAAGUGGUGGUCUCUACAAAUAUCGGGUACAAAACGUCUCUCUCUCCAACUAAAACAAAAGGAGAGAAAUGACCACCUAGCAAAGUCACCGAGCUAUCUAGCUAGAUGCGACCCCCCUGCUGCGAUCCCUAGCCUCUCCCGGCGUGGAUGGCUCUGUAAACAAAAAUAUCAACAAAAUGGGAAUGAGAACUAUUACUCAAUAGUUUUCAGUGGGUAAGCUGCCGACAUCAGUGAAAUACACCACUAGGUCAUGGAGGCAUAAGUAGUACAUAAACAUGUAAUUAAAAUAAACGACAUGAAUAUUGAGCAAAUAAUAAGAUUACUAAACUACUAUGUCUCUACUUAGCAUGAAGUUUCACAAUUAUUAAAGCUAUUCUAACAUGAAUGGCAUGUCCAACUAGUAUGCACUACCUAAUAGUGAUGUCCACAUUAUACUUUUUAAUUGUCAUUAUUCAAAUCAACUAGGACCUAUACAAGUGUAGUCCGACUUGCGCCGUGCCUAAUGGCCCCGUAGUAGUCAAUAUUUUCACUCUAGGAAUGAGCCUCCCCCACGGCAUCCCAUUUCAGCGUCCAAUCCCGCACGGGUGAGCUUGUGUCACGUAGGCUAUCUUCGGAGUGCCGGCUUGUGGGGAGCGACCCUCACAAGCAUGUGCGAAUGAGCACAAUGGCAAGCAAGUAUAAUCAUCCAUAUCGAGUCCUCGGUCAUCAUGUCUAAAACAUGAUACAAGUACUAACGACCCAUCGGUCGAUCUCUAUGUCACAAUUGUAAAAGUUCAACCGUUUACUAAGUGUCACCAUAUGACAUUAGUGUUCACUAUGUCAAGCAUAAGUCAUCUAUCCAUGAGCAUAUAAAACUUGUCAUUUUACUAAAUAAAACAUGUUUUCUUGUAAGGUAUAAAAAGUGUCAUUCACAUACAAGUUUACUAUGCAACUUUUCUCUCUACUACAUAGAGGCUAAAUCUUGACAUGUAACAUAUGUGACUUAAGCACAAAAAUUCAUUUAUACUCUAUCUAGCAUGAAUAUGCAUGAUUUUCCAUUUUAAACCCUAAGAAAUGACAUAGGAGGAGUUCACCUAUUUCAGUGAGGUCAAACCCACCGGAUACCCCUCGAAACACCUUCGUUUGCGCGAAUGAGGUUGUCCACAAGUCUUCUAGCUUCCUAACAAAAAUUCCAAGAGGGUUAGGGGCUUCGAACGAACACCCCACGAAUUUCUCAAAAACCAACUCAUAAAUAGGUAGAAAUAUACCUUGUAUGGCUAAGAACUCUCCCAAAGCUCCAAUGAGAGCUAGGAUACUUUAAUUCAAUCUAAAGGAAGGCAUUGGAACCAUCAAUUUAGCCCCAAAGGCUCUAGCAAGAGAAACCCCAAACAAAACCUUAGUUUUCAAAAACUAAGUUUACAACCCAAAAAUCCUCUCCAAGCACAAUCUAAGGAAGCAAUCAAAGCUACUAACCUUUCUUAAGCUCCAAACCAAGCUAGGAAGGUGCUAGGGUUGGAGUUCUUCCCUCAACAAAGCUCUAAUGCGUCACUCCAAAGCUUCUCCAAGGUCCAAGUAGCAACACCCAUGAAGAAGAAGCAAAAAAGAGGAGAUCAAUCCAUAAAAUCUCUCAAGAAAUAAAGAGAAAAUCAAGAGAGGGGAAGAGGAGAUGUUUACCUCUCUUCUCCUCAGGUUCCAGCACAAAAGAACCCCUCAUGGGGGUGUGGGGGAUUAUAUAGAGAUGUAACAAUCCCAAAAAGACCCCUCAAGAACAUGCAGUUUGCAACUGCACUGCGUAUCGGUACACGGGCUGGAGUACCGGUACCUGGCAGCCGAACGCGCAAACCCGAGCCUCUGUCAAGCGAACAGCGCGCAGUGUACCGGUGCACGCGUAUGCUAUACCGGUACCAAGCUCCAGUACCGGUACUCGGGCAAGUCAGUACCGGUACUCUGCCUCGCAGAGCCCAAACUGGAGAGCACCCUUCUCGGUCGCGCGAUGGGGUUUCGGUACCCCUCUGUGGUACCGGUACCCAGCACCCCAAAACCUGCAGUUUGGAGGUUUUGGUGCUAAGUACUAACCCCUCACUCCUCAAGAUGUGAGUAAAUGGUUGGAACACAGUCUAAGACCCUCAAGAAUACCUGGAAUAGCUCAAAAUAAUAUUCGAACACUAGAACCUUGCGAUUUGCUAAAGUUCAGUGUGCUACACUUCCUCAUUUUUCAUGAGAAUUAAUUGCACUCCUUCUUUAGUCACCCGCACGAAGGAGAUUUGAUCGGGAUCAGUAUCGGCCCAACUGAUGUGGCCGAUUCCCUCUAAAUUAAUAUCCAUUAUUUGGGGCCGCCUCUCGGCCCGAAUUUCUUCCACUUUGUCUCCUAUCCAUUGGAAUAACUUUCCAUGGAACCUUGAAGGUAUACACUCGUUUGCAUGAAUCCAGUCACGUCCGAGCAAUAAGUUGUAGUGGCUAUCUGCAUCCACCACAAAAAAGGCUGUUCGUAAAGUUUUAGAUCCUACCGUGAGUUCAGUUGUGAGCACUCCUUUGGCUUGUUGACUGCCGCCAGUAAAGUAGGUCAUGAUUGUGUCGGUAGGUUUUAGUUCAUCUUCACUUUUGCCCAACUUCUUAAAGAAAGAUGUGGGCAUAACAUUGACCAUUGCUCUGCCAUCCACCAUCACUCGGCCUACUGGCCGACCUUCUAUCAAAGCGCUUAUGAACAAGAGUCUCACAAACCUUGUCUGCAUGAUCGAUGACUUUUCAAAAACCACCGAAUCGGCUGGCUUGACAUCGUCUAACUGAAGUUGAGCCACUGUGAGCUUGUUUUCCUCAUAUAUCGCUUCCUCGUAUUCAACAGACUCCACCUUAAAUGAUUGAGGCAGAGUAUUCACCAUGUUUACAUCGGCUGGUCCCUCAUCAGCCGAUUUUCCUUGUAUCUUUUAUUUCUUUUCUUCUGAUUCCUUUGCCGUCUCGGCUGAGGAAUCGCUUUCUAUGCGUGUCUCUCUCUCCUUAGGAGGCCAUCUAUCACGCUUAAUUAUGGUCUCCAACAAGGCUAUUUUCUCCUCCAACUCCUUUCAAGUGACUUUCUUUUCUGGUUCGGCCGGGAGCGGGGUCGUUCUAUUUUGGACUUUAACUAGGGGAUAGGUGCCGAACCACCUGCCUCGUGAUUAUUCCUCAUUGGCCGAAAGGGAUGUUGUUGCUCAUUAAGUCACCUCCAUAUGUUCAACUUUAUCCCUUUAGCCUACUCAUAGUGUUGUCUUACUUCGGCUUAUAGUCUUUGUUGCCGACGCUUCUGAGUUUUUAUCAGCAUCGGCCCAUGCCAUUUGGUCGAUGUUUCUGCCUUGUGCCAUUGAUCAAUUGGCACAUUUGCUGGUACCUUUACUGUCCUGAGAUGAUUUCUUAAGAUCUCUCUUCUUUCCCAAGGUCUCGGCCAAGGCUGUAUACCGAGUUCAUUAACUAACCUUCGACCAAGGAAUUAUAUGUCCUAUUCAGUCAUUCCUUCAAAUUCAGGUUCAGGUCUCGGCUUGGUCUGGUGCUACCAGUUUGGCCGAUAUCUUGGAAACCUUUGUUUAGAGCCGAAUAAUUUUUCAGGAUAGCUCCAUCGGCUAGCGCGCUCUUCUCUUCAACUGUUGUAGUAGUCAUUCAAGACCUUUUGCAUUAAUAAGUCUUUCUUAUCUUUCACUGAAUCAACUUCGUGUUUGAAUUUAUUAGAGGCUUCCUCCGAGCCCUCCUCCGAUUUGUUCUUUGCCUCGGGAAUUUCCUCCCAUUCUUCGGGAAACGCCAUGAACUCUCCCUACUCAUUGUGCGAUUUCUUUUCGCGAAUGAUCGCUUUCCAAUCUCUCCUGGUCAUUUCAGCCUUGCAUCUUAUGCACAACUGUAGUGUCCUCUUAGUAUAUAGGCAAUGCCCUCAUCGGCCUUCCUGUCCGCGGGUGCCUUUCCUUUAAUGUCCACUAUAUUGACUUACGAAGGAAACGGAUUUUUGUCAACUUCCAUAUUUUUGUUUUCCUGGUCGACAAAUAUGAACCGACCUUCAUUUAUUUCCUUUUGAAUCUGCCUUUUGAAAGCAGUACACUCAUUUGUUUUAUGGCUCAAUGAAUGGUGCCAGUUACAAUAUCUACUUCUUUUCAAUUUUUCUCCAGAAGGUAUAGUUUGACACUCUUGAAGCUAAAUCCGUCCGUCUUUUAACAACCGAUCGAAAAUUAGAUUGAUUUUCGACAUAUCGAAAGAAUAGGUAUAUGCUGCCACUCGUGCUUUCGCCUUACUGGAUUUUGCGGGUUUUAGCACAACACACUUAUAUUGUAGUACACUGAACUUUGGCAAGUUGCGAAGUUUGAGUGUUAGAAUGGUAAUUGGAACUAUUCUACAUCUUUUGAAGCGUUAUCGAGAGGUUUCGGCAAGUUAUUGGAGCGAACAAGAGGCCAGAAGAGCAAAAGUGCAUUGCAAAUGCGAAAUUCUGGAUUUUUGCACUGUUAACCGGUGACAGAAUUUCGGGGUACCGGUACCAGCACUGUAGCUGCAUGGCAGCAAGGUUGUUAAUUUUGGUCAUUUCCUUCUCCAGCUUUGUUCUUAUCCUCCAAAGCUGAACUCCGAGCUGAUCCUUAUCAGGUUUAAGGCUGGGAACAGGGUAAGAACACCUAUCUCUUUCUCUCUCUAGGUUUUCUCCCAUUUUGAGAAGAAAUCAAGUGAUUUGAGCCCAGUUUUCUUCCUCUUUUGUUACUAGCUGAAUUAGAGGGCUUUAAUGCUGCUAUAGAAGGACAGAGGGGGAAGAAGCUGAGCCAAAAGCCUUGUGAGGUAAGUGAUUCUACUAGCUACUAAGUUUGAGUGGUUAGUAGUGAAGUUGAGCAUGUUUUGGUUGCUUUGCUAGCAGCUGGUUUGAGAAAUGCUACUAGUAGCUGUGGAAGAAAGUUUUGCUGUGGUUUCGCAACUUUAAUCCAAAGGAAAGCUGGAUUGAAGUUUGGAAGGUGAGCCAUUAGCUAUUUUCUCUACUUUGAUGCUGUUUUUUGGUAUAUGGUUGCAGCAGCCUUGAAUUUUACCUAGAGUUGAAUGUAACCUAUGUUUUGUGGUGGUUAGCUAAGUUGGGGAGGGUUGAAUCAGUUUGAAAGGAUUUGUUUGCUGAGGUUCUUCAAUCCUAAUCCAAGAAAGAGCUGAACUAAAGCUAUUGGAAGGUAUAUUGCCUACUAGUUCUUUAGUUGAAUGGACUAGUUGUGCCCUUCAUGCAGUUUUUAUGCAAUUCGCCGCAGAUUCGCAGCAGGGGAUUGGACCCUUUUUGGGCUGAGUUGUGGUCAUUAUAGGUGAGGUUAGGGUGCUCUAACCUGCAGGGAAGUGAAGAUUUAACCUAUGUCUAAACCUAGGUGAGGUUCUAACCUAUACUAAGUGGUUAUGCAAGCGUAUUGGGGCUGUUUUUGAAGCUAAAUCGCAGCAGGUUUGCAGCGCACCAUUUGAUCUUUUUCGGGCUCAUUCUGGAAGCUUUCAAAGGUUGAAAUUAGUGUUCUACACUGAACCGAAGUGGGGAUUCAAGUCUUAGCAUUAUACUAGGUAAGAAUUUACCUAAAUAUGAUGACUAUGUGAAAAUUAUGUGAAUUUUAGUAUAGAAAUACAAGUUCAGCUUUUAGCUGAUUUCAGGUGGAUUGUUAAGGUGCUUGGAAGCUGGAGAACAUCUUCGCUUGUAGGAUCGAUGAGAGUCGCAAGCGAUAUGGUGGGUCGGACCUUCCCGAAAUGGGUGAAUUUCCUUUAUGUCUUCUUGACAUGAUAAAAGUGGAAUUGUUGCAUAUUUUUGUAAAUAUAUGUAUAGUUGAAUGGAUUGGAUUUGCAUAAAUCUGCAUAGCAUAUCGGAUAAAAGAGAAUCUCUAUGUAGUAGGGGUGAAUUAUCAAAUUGCUUUUCAUCUAGAGAUUACUUGCUAGUCUAGCAUGCAUUACAUGAUAUUAAUAUACUUGUGUAGACAGGUUAAAGAGAGAACAUCACUUACUAGUGCAUUGGGAUAAAGCGAUGAAUAUGGCACUUAGUUAGAUGUAUAACUAAGUGAACAGUGUAUAAUGGUUUUAACCUCCAAGUUAAAUCAUGCAAUUCCAGGUUGUAAACAUGAUGUCUGAACUUUGAGCAUAUCAUGCAGAAUGGAUUUACCUAAGUAUACAUUCAUAGUGUAAAAUGAAUUGUAUAGAGAUCACGAGAAGAGUGUUUUAUAGAAUAUUUUGUCUACUUAUGUUAACCAGUUAGUUUUCACUUUCACAUGAUAGAACUAGUAUGAACUUCAUGUUAUUGUGUAUAAUCUAGUUAAGUAACUAGAAUAUGGCAUUAUGACAUAACUUGAAUGUUAUACUAUUGAAUGUAAUCUAGUAAAUAACUAGAAAUAGACAUAAUGAUUUACUUGUACGGUCAAGCAGAAGUAAUUGCAUAUUACUUAUUUACUCCAAGUAGUGGGGGUAAGUAGAACUAUAGAAUAUGUGCCAUGAGUUAUUGGAUAUGACCUUAGUAAACCACUUUCCUUAUGUAUAAGGAGUAGUGAGAGGACUAUGGGUGAGUAUGCAAGUAUAACCUGAUAGAAUCAUCAUUAUGAUGUAAGCAUGUACUUGUUAAGUCAUAUUAUCUAUGGAUAGAAAUAUGUCACCAAGCAGAUGAUAGUGAACUAUGAUUUAGUGUUACAGUGUUGACCUUGUGUCGAGUUGAGAUUCCAUGUUAGAGACAUGAUGAACUUGGGAUACCUAUGCUAUGUAUUAUGCUUACUUGCCAUUGUGCUCAUUCGCACAUGCUUGUGAGGGUCGCGCCCCACAAGCCGGCACUCCGGAGUUAGCCUAGCGACAGAUUGCUCACUUUUGUACGAGACUGAGCGCCGAAGUGGACUGCUGUGGGUAGUGUUGACUUCCAUAGGGCCAUUAGGCACGGCACGGGCUGAGGCACGGCACGGGCUGAGACUUUACCAUGUGUAAGUCUCCUGUUAAUUGAGUUAAUGAAAGCGACUUUAACCUUAGAUGGAUAUGGUAGUAAGGAUACUUUAUGUCAUUAGUUGAAUAUACCUAGUAAUAAACAUACUAGAAGAUUGACAUCCCCGUUGAUUAGUAGUAUAGUGACAGUACCUGAAUGUUUACACUCUUGCUAGUGUAGGGGAAUGGUUACAUGAUGUCAUUAGCUAGUAAAUUAUGAUGAUAUGCUGCAUAUAGCAUGACAUAUAGUUGAUUAAACUGAUAAUUGGCAUGACUUAGAGAACUUGUUAUGAUGAACUAAUCUAUAAGACAUGUUAUGAAACAUAUUUUGUCGAGGCAUGGUAUAAGUGAAUUAUUUCCUUUACUAGUUGCAUUUACUUUGCUUACUUAUUGUUGUUUACUCAUGCCUCAGUUGACCUAGUGGUGUAUUUCGCCACUUUCGGCGGCUUACCCACUGGGAACUAUUGUUUAAUAUUUCUCACGUUCUUUUGUUGGUUGUUUUUAUGCAGAGCCUUCCACAGUAGGAAAGGCUAGGGUUUCUCGCAAGGGGUCAGCGGCUAGCUAGAGCCUUCUUGACGUUACUAGAUGAACCUCUACAAGUUUAUUUGUGGUCUGUUCAAAUAUGUAGAUUGGAACUGUUUAGAAUGUACUUUAUACUUCACUUUGUAUGCUGUAAUAAGGUUAUGUAUUUAUAUAAGCUUAUGAACUUCUAGUUUUUGCUCUGAUUACCUGGUUAAAUGUUAUGCUUUCACUAUGUUGAUUGUAGACGCCUUGUCACGCCCCAAUCCCCGCCAAUUUGGUCGGGUUCGGGUCACGUCAACAGACGCCGAACGGACAGAGCCUCCCCUGUCCGCCCAUGGCUCUAAAACAUGUAUAAUAAAGCAAUCAAAUAAUGAGAUUAGCAAUUAUACAAGGCUUGCACGAGGGCAAGCAACAACGGAAGCGAAAGCUCUAAGCUAAUAUAUACAACCAUACAUAAUACUUGAUUACAUUUGAACCAAAUAAAAGUAAACUGAACUAUUACAUUUCUUUGCUUUCACCCAUAAUUCCUUACAUUUAGCCAUUCACCAAAUUACAUAAUUGUUCUCAACUUUACAAUUUUCUAAAUCAACAAAAGAAGUUGAAACAUGUAAACCAAAAGGAAAAUGACUACAAAAUGUGGAAUUGUCCAGGUGGCCGCUAUCUACGGCGCUAAACCUUUGCCUCGGUCCUCCGCCGCCCCGCUCGUGCUAGGACCUGUAGGGUUAGUGGUGUGAGAACUACAACGAAGUUUCCAGUGGGUUCGGCAACCGACCUCGCCGACUUACCCACUAGGUCUAUUCAGGCAUAAGUAUUUCAAAGGAAAGGAAACUAUAACCGUACUAAUGCUAAUACUUUGCCUGCAAGAAAAAUGUCAGUGGAUAUAUAUAAUCAAACAAUGAUUGCUCAUGCAUGCAUGCUUAUUUUAUAUCUUUACUUUGGCCUUUACCCAAUCUUGCCAGUUAACUAUGUUAACCCCAAUAACUCACAAUUCGAAAUCCCUUAAUAACGGGGGACUCGAACAACCCUAGGGACCGUCCUCUGGGGGGACUUUACCACGCCCAGUGGUGACCAACUCCGGAGCGCACCGCCCGAGGGGGAGUUACCUCCCUCAAGCCAAGACUUAUCAUGAGUAUCGAUCCAAUUCCCAACUUGGGAACGUAUAGCCACUUAUCACAAUGCCACUUUACCAAUGAUAGGUCUCUACCGUAUCAUAUUUGCCACACUCUAGGCUACUCUUGCCACAAUGCCUCUAAUGGUUAAACUUUGUUUAACAACCAAUGUCUUAAUGCCAAUCGUGUCUCUAUUGUCAAUGUCACCUUUGUUUACUAUUGUCCAAGUCCAAGUCUCACAUUCAUACAUCUUUAGGGUUCUACCCAACAUGUCCAUUAUGGUUCUUGUUCAAUCACUAUGUUUAUUGUAAGGAAGUGAAUCCUCGAAAUCCGAGGAUUAGACUUCGAUUGGAAUCGACUAUUUGUCGAGUGCGUAAGCUUCGGAAAGUCCGAAGGUGAUUACAAUGCCUAAAACGCAUUAAGGAAAAGGUCCGCGGGAGCACCAGUGCGAAAUCUGCACUGGAGCAGAAAUGCUCUCGGGGACCGGUCCCUGGCAGGGAGGGACCGGUCCCAUCGGGCUGGGCUGCGGGGGUCUCUGAUGAGACCGGUCCCUGGCAGGCAGGGACCGGUUCCCGAAUGUUGGCCCAGCGAGAAUUAGCCGAAAUUUGGCUAAGUCCCGAGAACCCAGCUCUCGGGAACCGGUCUCUCGGGCAAGGACCAGUCUCCCAGGGACCGAUCUCUCAGGCAAGGACUGGUUCCCGAACGCGAAAACCCUUCUGCUCGAAAUGGCAGCUCUCGGGGACCGGUCUCCCCGAGCUGGGACCGGUCCCUCACUACGAAAAUGGCCUAGUGAGGGCUGUUUCAAAGAAUGAAAAGUUGAGGGGGUUAUCUGCAAAAUGGCCUUAUUAGAAGCUGGGGGAUCCCUCUCUUUCUCUCAUUUGCUCUCUAUCUCUCUCACACUCUUUUUCUCUCUCUCUCUAGGAAAGAAAAGAAGGAGAAGAAGAAGGAGAGAAAGGAGAGAAAGGAAAAGAAGAAGAAGUGGAAGGAGAAGUCCAAGAAGAAGAAGAAGGUCUUCUUCCCUCUCCCCUUCAAGCUAGGGCAAGCUUGGAGCUUGGCUUAGAGGUAAGCUCCAAACCCAUCCAUGGUAGAUUUCUUAGGAUUGAAUUUUAUUGUUUAGGAUUGGUUCAAAUGGAACCUAGAGGAGAUGAAUAGAUGGUUCGGGCUCGUAAUUGAAGCUCGCACCACGGAUUUCCUCACCGUUGCUAAUCUAGGGCACGGAUUUGGGAUUUUGGCAAAUCUAGGAUUUUGAUCUAGUUUGAUGGGUCGCAAACCUAAUUGCUAGGCCUUUGGGCGCGUCGGCGAAGACAGUUUGCCGAUCCGACGAGCGAGCGCGGAGAAAUCGCCGAAUCGGGUACUCGAGGGCUCGCUUCGCCCCAAGGAGUUAAAGCGACGUGCAAAGACCACAGCGUCGAGUUUUCUACCGUCGCGGCAUCGCCAAGAGGUGGGUGGUGUCCAUCCCGAAACAAUCGGGCUCCCUAUUAUGUCUUAGUGUUUUGAGAACUUGCAUCCUGUGUUUACAUGCAUUGUAGGAUAAUUGUGCAUCGCCUUUCCUUAUGCUUUCCUAAUUGAUAUCGUAUUAUGCAUUAGUUGCUGGAUAUAGGGGAUUGAUGAGGAUUGGGUCGAGACUAGAAAUCCUACAGCAUAGCGGUGAGAGAAUGAUGCAAUAGCUGAAAUAAAAGGACGAGUGGCAUCUAGUUGUUAAUUAAACAAAGAACGAGUGGCAUAUGUGGCUUUCGGGAGAGCGCGAACGCCUCAAUGCAGAGCAAGCACGGAUUUCAGGGGAUCAGGCCAAAAUAGUUACUGACGUGGCUCGAUUAUCCAAGAAAAUAAGCAAGAUUUCACGACUGUUGAAGGCUUUAUUUGAUAAGAUGGGGUGUGGUACUUCAGAUUUACCUCCACCGAGUGACGAGUCGGAUUGAAUGCUUUGGGUUCCUCUUUUUGGCGUUUUGGCGUUUUCCUGACAAAAAGGGGGAGAUGAUGAUGAUGCCUAAUGAUGCUUUGAAGCUUGAUGCCUGAUGAUGCUUUGAAGCUUUUUAGAUGAUUGCUUUUUAAUGCUUAUUUAGAUGAUAAUGUUUUUAGAUUUUUGGUUUUCUAACAACUCUUGACUUGACUGUAUGAUUGACUGUAUGACUGUUUAUGUUUGAUCUUUAAUGAAAAUUUUUUAAUCUUGAUUGUGCUUUGAGAAUGUUUUUGCAGGAACUUUCAAGACUUCAAGACUUCGUGUCUUCAUGUCUAAGUCAUAGAGUUUGUAUUAGGAUUGUGAGAGAAAUGUAAUUUUAUUUUAUUGGAUCGAUUAUGCAGGAGAUUGUCGUUUGGUGAUUGCGAUAAUCUUUUUUCUUUUUACUGUUUCUGAGGUUUGUAUGAGUAUUGUAAUAUGUUUUGUCAUGAAAUCGCCAAAGGGGGAGAUUGUUAAGGAUUUUCUAAGUUGGCAAAUUUCGUAAAGUCGAAUGGAGUCUUGAAGAGCUAAAAGCGAAGUUUUUGGAAAGAAGAUUCACUUUGAAGAUCAAAGAGUCAGUUGGGAAGCUUGGCACCUCAAGUAUGCAAGAUAGAUCAUUUGUGGUGAAUCUAAAAGUUCAAAAUGUAUUUAGAAAACUUAGAUUGCCUUAAUGUUUUAAAAUAUUUGAAUAUGAGCUUUUCAAGGUUCAGGGACCGGUCUCUGAUCAGAAGGACCAGUCCCCGUAGGUCCUCGGUGCGUAUUCAAGCAAUGCAAUCGGUCCCCGAGAUGAGAGACCAGUUCCCGUAGCUUCGGUUUUCAACUACGCAAUGAGGGACCGGUCCCCGAGAUGAGAGACCGGUUCCCGUAGCCUAUGAUUUCAGCUAUGCAUCGAGGGACCUGUAACACACUCGACCUUUGCAAAUUGCGAGGUUCGAGUGUUUGGAUGUAUUUCGAGCUUUUCCACACUUGGUGGAGGGUUGUGGAAUGUUUUCCGACCUAAAAAGUUCGAAAACUGAAAUUCUGGACAAGUCCUGAGAGUUUUUACUCUCGGGGACCGGUCCCUGGAGGAGAGACCGGUCCCCCAGUGAGCAGUGUUGCGGCGGCCUCGAGGCAACCUGUCCCUGACGGGCGAGACCGGUCCCCGAGCGCGUCUUCGCAGUGAGAGACCGGUCCUGCGCAGGGAGAGACCGGUUCCCGAACGUUGGUUUUUCGGGUUCGCAGCGAGAGACCGGUCCCUGCUGUGGAGAGACCGGUCCCUCUGGGCGAAAACUGCCCAGUUCGGGCUGAUGUAAAUUUGAGUUUUUGAGGGGCCUCUUCAGAUUUUGUGACACUAGAUGGGCUUAUUAGCCAUUUCCCUCUCUUCCCUCCUCAUUUCUCACCCUCACCCUACACCUUCUAGAGAGAGAAGAAGGAGAAGGUCGAGAAGAAGAAGAGGAGCUUGCUUGAGGGAGCUUGGAGCUCAACCCCUUUCUCUCCUUUCCACACUUGCUUGGCUUGGAGCUUGCUUGUAGAGCUUGGUGGUGGACCAAUCUUCAACCCUAGAAGAUUUGGGCUUGUUUGGAGGUAUCUUGGGAGGUUAGUACUUGGAUUCUACCCUUUGAUUUUUGAUUUGGUAGGUUUUACCAUAUGGAACCCUAGAAUGGAUAUUAGGGUUGAUUUUUGGGGCUUUUUGAUUUAGGGCUUUUGAGGCUAGAUUGAUUGGAUUAGAACCUUCCUUGGGCUUGGAUUGGAAGGGAUUUAGCUCUCUUUUGGAGCUUGAGAGAAAUUUCCUACACAUUAGGUGAGUUUUAGCCCUUUUGCUAUGUUUGUUAAAGUUUGAUCUUAUAGUUGAUCGUAAUGCUCGUGUAUCUCUUCGCUCGAUACUUUUAGGGUAUUUUGGGACUUGUGGACAACUUCGUUCAACGAAUCGAGGGAGCACACGACGGUUCGGUGGGUUUGACCUAGCCACACAAUGGAAAAAUCUCAUUGAUGUUGAUUUAUGUGUUAUAAAAUGAAAAAGCAUGCAUAUUCUUGUUAUAUGUAUUUAUUGUGAAUUUUAGAAUGUUUAAAGUGCCUAUGUUACACAUAGUAAAAUUUUGGACCUCUAUGUAGUAGAGAGUAUGCAUGAGUGAUAUAACAUUUUGAUUGAGCUUUGAAACUAAGAUCCCUGUUUGAAAACGAACAUUGCUUUCAUGCAUUUUACCUUUAUGCCUAAUUGUGACAUUUGGGACUUUAGAAGCCUAGAGAGGCUUGGGGACUUAGAUUAUUUGGGAUUUUGGGUCAAUGUCAUAAAGAGGCAUUGGGCUCGGGCUAUAGUAAUCAUUGGUAUUAAUGUUUAAAUGAAACAGAGAACAAGAAUUGGGCUUGAUCAGUGUGAUGCUUAAGUGUCAUAAAGAGGCACUAAGCAAGUGAGUGUUGGGACAUCACUUAGAGACAUUGGGCUAGAUCCUUGGGAUGCUAGUGACCUUGCCAUGUUAGAGACAUGUGGAUAGAGUAUUUGAGACAGUGACCUUGCUUGUUUGCCAUUUGUGCUCAUUCGCACAUGCUUGUGUGGGUCGCUCCCCACAAGCCGGCACUCCGGAGUUAGCCUACGCGACUUAUGUUCGCUCGUGCGGUAUUGAGAAGCCUACGGGGUCGAGUGGGACAGACACAUUCCAAGAGUAGGGAUGUUGGGCUACCACAGGCACUUAGGCGGCACAAGCUGGACUACCUUGGGUAGGUCCCUAAUUGGAAAUGGAAACCGACACAGUGUUGAGUGUGUGACAAUCACUACUAGAUAGAGAGUAGUAGUUGGAUUACUUGGGUUUGCUUCUAGCAUAGUGUUGGACACAUGAGUAUGCAUAUAUACAUGUAGUAUGCUAGGAGAUGUUGCCAUUACAUUCAUAUAUAUAAUGUCGCCAUGUUAAAGUAUAACCAUCAUAGCUACAUAAGGUAAAUCUUGAAAGUACUCGCGAAUAUGUAGAGACAUACUAGUCAUGACAAGGUAAAAGUGCAUCAUAUAAAUGCCAGAUCCAAUUGCAAAGUUGUAAUUUAGCAAUUUUAUUUAUGCUUUCACAUUUGCAAUUUAUUUAUUGUUAUUACUAUCUUGGACUUACCCCUUUCUCUUUUGGGGCCUAGUGGUGCAUUGAGCUGAGGUCAGUAAUUGCCCACUGGGAACUAUAAAUUAUAGUUCUCACGCCCUCUGUUUUAUGUUUUCUUUCAGAGCCUUCCACGCCGGGAGAGGCUAGGGACCGCGGGAAGGGAGUUGCUUCGAGCUAGUUUCCUUCGAGAACGAUUUGAUAGGUGGUCUACCUCUCGUGGUUUUAUUUUGGGAGAGGUUGUGAGUUGUACCUGUAUAUGUAUAGAGACCACCCUUCUUUUGGAUCUUUGUAUUCCUUUUGAGGAGAUAGUACUGUACUACUUUAUGGCUACUUUUAUUGUCUAGUUAUGUUUCUUUUACUCUGGUUUAGAUGAUAGAACUUUACUCGCUCUGAUAUCAUUAGUUGCUAUUUAUUCUAUUUGUUCUAUUUCUUGCUUUUACUUCCGCUUUUAUUAUAGACGCCUUAUAUGUGUUGACAUAUGGCGGGUCUGGGCACGCUACCGGGAGGGCCACUGCCGGUCCCGGGGCGUGACAGGACCAGUCUCCACCUGAGAGGACCGGUCCCCCAAGGACCGGUCUCCUCGAGAGGACCGGUCCCUGAGGACAUCAUAAGUUUUUAAAAUUGUGUUUUUGAAAUCCUAGUCAAUCUAGAAGUCUUCUAAAUCUAUAAAUAAGCUAUAAGGGUUACAUUAUGCUUAAGGCUUUGAAUUUAGACCAUCAUAAACCCUAGAAACUUGUUUUUCCAAGCUUUAUGAUUCGAUUCUUAAAGCAAGUUUCAAAUUAUUGAUCGUCGACUUGAUUCUAAGGUUUUUAAUUUGAAUGUUUCUUUGAGAAUCAAGUUGAUGAUUGACUAAAAGGGAAUAACUCAUAGCUUAUGGUUUUCUAAGUUUCAAUCACCACAAAUUGUCAUCUCUACGAGCUCCGGAUGGAGGAUUUGUGCAAGGAUUGCGUGUGAAGGCCGUGGAUUCGGUGGGCAUUUCGUGGUGUCGAUGCGUGCUUGCUGCAAGGACUUGCGGCAUGAUCGGUUGGAGGAUUCCAUGCGAUUGAGGACCGGCAAAGACAAUCUACAACGAGGAUUCGGUAAAUUGAGUCGUGUAUUUUCGUUAAAUCACUUAUACUCAAGUUUUCUUAGUGGAUUUCUUUGUGUGAUCGGUCCCCGAGUUUUUUUCUCCGGAUUGGAGUUUUUCCACGUUAAAUUUCGGUGUGUUGAUUUAUUUUCUGCAUUCUCUUUUAAUUUCCAUCGAGUUUAUUUGUUUUUGCCGUUUACACUUAUUCACCCCCCUCUAGCUGUUAUUUACCUUUUAGAUCCUUGGGAUCCAUAUCUUACAUCUUUCACAGCCCACACCUCACUCCCUCUCAUUUCUCUCUUUCUCUCUCUAGAAACCUCUCCAAAGAGCAAGGAGGAGUAGGAGGAGAAGGAUUUUUGGAGGGUUUUGGAACUUGGAGAAGAUCUAGAACUCUCCUACAAAAUGGACAUUGGUGAGCUUGUGACCAAGGUGAAGUUUUAUGAAAAGUUGAGGCUAGGGUUUGGGUUUUGUACCCUAGAAAGCUAGGUUUUGGAGCCUCUACAAGUGUAGAAACCUCUAAUGGCCAUGGAAACAUGAAAACUCAUGUUUUCUUGAAGUGCUCUAAUGGUGGAUUUUUAGGGUUUGCAUUCUAAGCCCUAGAAUUGGUUUAGAUGGUUCUAGAUGAACUUCUAGGUGUUGGACAAGCUCUCUUUUGCUUGUUUUAGAGAUCAAAACCUAGGAUUUCACAAAUGGCAACAUUAGGGCACCCAAUUUGGGGCUUUUGUCUCCAAAUGUUUUUAAGGUAAAUUGACCUUGUAGAAACCUAAUUAGGGGUAUUCCCAACACGUUCGGCAACUCGGUUUGACGUUACGAAAAGGUCUAGAUAAAGUUAUUGAGAAAAAGCCUAAUUUGGCUUAGUUUUGCAACAGGCGAAAAAGUAGGGCUUCAAAAAUUUCAAGAAAUUUCUUUUAUGUCUAAAGUGUCAUAUUUGAGCAUAUGUAUGUAUUGAGCAUAUUGCAUAGUAGGGUAAUUGUGAGCUUCUUAUUGCAUAUUGUGAGUUCAAAUGCAUGUGAAAUACUUGUAAGAAUGUGAGAAUUUUAUUAACCCUAUGUAUGCAUGAUAAAUGACAAGAACUUAGUGGAUUUAGAGAACAAAUGUGACAUGUGGACAUGAAUGUAGAAAAUGGCAUUGAUGAGUCAAGAGUGCUAGAGUUGAACACUUAGAAAACAAGUAUGGCAUUAGUGAGUGAGUACAAGAACAAAGUAGUGUAUAUGACACUAGUGAAAGCAAAGAAUGCAAGAAAAAGAGGGAUUGUGGCAUCAUGACAUAACAACCUUAGAGUUAAGGGUCAUAUGUGUAUUGUUUCCUUAUAGUUAAGGAAUGAAUUGAACUUCACAUCCUUAUAGUUAAGGAUUGGAUCAUACUCACCUGUAAGUCCUUGCUCGAGGGUGGUAGCUCCCCCUCGAGCGAUGUGCUCCGGAGUUGUCAUCACUGGGUCGUAGUAGUCUCCCGAGAGGACGGUCCCGUCGGGCGUAGUAGUCUCCCCGAUACUUAGGAUUUGAGUUGGUGAGUCUAUUGAGGAUGAAACCUACGGGCUAGCCAAGAAAUUGGGUAAUGAAACUAUGAUCUUGCAUUCAUCAUGAGUAUUCUAUCGAGCAUCGCAUUACUUAUUGUUCAGGCAUAUUAUCUGCAUUUGUUUAGAGACUGCCCGAGAUACUUUACAUUUUGUAGUUGCAUACCCUCUUACAUCAUCUUUUGCAUUUUGAUGAUUAUAGACGUUUAAAGUAAAUGUACUAAAGAUAUUAAAGAUGUCAAAUGCAAAGGCAUAUUUUGGAGAACUUGAGAUGUAAAAAGAAAUAAUGCAAAUGUUGUAAAAGAUUCUAAAGUAAAACACAUGUAUGUGAUUUAAAGUUAAUCAUAUUACUUGUUUACUUGUUCAGUUAGUACUUUCACUUUGGCUUUUGCUUGCCCUCGUGCAAGCCAUUAUGUAUGCUUCCGCAAGUACAAAUUUUAUACUCUAUCUAUACCUGUUGUUGAGCCUUGGGCGGACAGGGGAGGCUCUGUCCGUUCGGCGUCUGCUUGACGCGCUCGAACCGGCCAAAAGGAUCGGGCUUGGGGCGUGUCAACUUUUGAAACGAUUCUUUUGAAACUUUCUGUACUAAGACAUAAAAUUCUUAUGAAGCUUUUCAUCCGGUACUUUGUAGGAAAUUCUUGUAUCUUAUUCCACAGAGAGAGAGAGAGAGAGAUAAAGAUGCCUGCAUCAUAGCGAGCCACAAGAACCUAUUGAACGAAAAUGCCAACCUAUUGAAAGAAAAGGCUAUGGCUUUCUAUGAUCCACUUUGGAUCUAGGAAUCCUUUCUUCAAAUCUCUUUCUUAGAGGUUUUUUAAUCAAAACCCUAAUCGGAGAAAGGAGGGAAGAAAGCAAUGAAUUCCCCUCCCCUUUCCUAAGGAUCUAUUUUCAAGGUUCAUUUGCUUACAACUUUCAUAUAUAUAAAAUGUGGAUGUAUUAAUUAGACGAUAAUAACACCCCACUUCAAGAUAGUAUCAUCUGUGGAAAGUUAGAAUUAGCAAUUAGAAGAGUAUACUUGUAUCUCUUCGAAAUGAGAAAUACAAUAUACCAACCAAUGUGCUCACACAAAUCUAAAAAUAUCCAAACUGAGAGAUUAAAAUUCUAAAUAUCAGAAGCAAAAAUUCUGGAAAUUCGAACCAUCUAUCAAUUAAAUAUGUUGAGAUGCAAUUGCUCACUCUACAGAAAACAUCACUCCCCAGCAUCCAAUCUAGUUUUAACAUCCAUAAAGCAAGAAAUCAAAAAAAUCAGAUGGUCCAAAUAGAAUAUAAACAAAUAGCAAAUAUAUUUUGCAUUAAUAAUUAAUUUCACUCCUAUGAAAAACACAUUGAGAUGGCCCGCAUUAAAUUCAAAACACUACACACAACAUCUAUUUCUCCUAUAUCCACAUAUUUUCAAAAUGCCAAAACACAACUAUGACUGUGACAACAUGUAAGCCAAGGAAUAUAUUUAAUUUAUAUGGAAAGAGGCCUUAAUGCUUUCAGCACUAAUCCUUAACCAUGUGUAGUCUACAAAUAACACCCGAAGUUUUAUUUUCGUAGAAAUCAUGUUUAAAAUCCAUUUAAGCAAGUAACAGGGCAAUCUUAGGAAGAGAAAGUAGAAAUAAACAAUAGAUUAAAGUAGAAAUAUAACAAAAGUUAUAAGUAAACAUAAACCAAGUGACACACUAAAUUAAGUACAUCAAAUGGAAUCCUUGCGAAGCGGAAGCAAUUAAGCUAUAAGUACCUCAAUAGCCUCCUUAGUGGAGGCCUUCCUUUUCCUCCUUUUCUCUCUUUCUCCAAUCUGUUAUCCCUUCCUCUCUGCCUCUCUUUCUUUCUCCGACCUGUCCGCUCUCUCUCUCUCUGUCCCUCUGUCUUUGUCUGUAACAGUAAGGACAUGGUAAGCAUUGCUCAUAAAUUACUCAGAAAUUGCAUUAGAAAAAGCGAAAAGGUUCACACAACAUAAACAGGAAAAGCAAAAUUUUGAACUUCUAGUAAAUGCAUGGCUAUCCAUUGAUGAUGAGCGGCAAUCAAAAAGUAGAAUAACUAAUUGAACUCCUCCCAACCAAAAUUUAAUCUCUUAAACUGCACCCAAUUCUUCCUGCCUAUUUCUGCUUUCGGAAUCUAAUAUGAUUAAAAAAAUAGCUAUUUUUAUAUAAAAAUAGUUUGUUCUCCUAACAAUUGGGAAUAAACUAAGUUAGAUUCAGCAGCCUCAAAUAAUCUCAGAAUAAAUUAACUUUCCCAACAAUAGAAUCAACAUAUAAAAUUCAAACAAAACGAAAAGGGAACCAAAAAUCUCCUAAUGCCGAGAGAUGGGGGGAGGGAAAAAGUCAUCUUUCACCUCUUCCAAGUUCUGAUUCUUCGUGAUCUCCUCUUUCCACGUCUCGGCGUCCCCCUUCUUCUCCUCCUGCUUCUUGCUCCUGGGUUCGCGGACAUGAGCUCGGCGGAGAAGGCGGUGUGCGGGAACCUACGUGCGGCGGAGGCGGCGUGGGAGAUGGUGUAGGACAGCUCCACUCAGGGCCCUGGAGCGCGAUGGUGCCUACGUGGCGCGACGCCUAUGCCAUUGUCAUAACCUUUAUUUUAUAAAAAUGUCUUGAUGUUUCUUUCCAUCAAUGACCUUCAGUGAACUUAUUUGAAAUAAACAUACAAUUACAUUUCCAAAUGAACUUAUUUGAAUAUACUUAGCCAAACAACACUAAAUUUCAAUUUAAAAAAAAAAAAUGGAGAAGGGAAUAGCAAGAAGCACCAAAUUAUAUAAAUCUGAAGCAAAAAACUAUAGCAAUGAAUUUUAUUAUUUUUUAAAUUGAUUUGCUAUUUAUUUAGAAACGAAAAAGAUGCAAUAGAAUCUUACGAACAUAGGAAAAUGAUAAGAGUAAAGCAACAAUCAAAGAUAAUACCUUUGCCUGCUAUCAUUAACUCAUAUCAACAUCAAUAUCAAACUACCUCUCUAUUUUGCCAAGUCGUUGUCCUAAGUAAACUUUAAUAAAUUCCCGUUGGUUGCCAACUCCCUCUCCCUUGAUUUCUUCUUAAAACUUAUAUGACUCACAGCAAAUCAACACACCUUUUCUUCAAUAAAUGAAAAUAAUCUUACUGUGUAAUGGGCACAUAUAUAUAUAUAAAGAGAGAGAGAGAGAGAGAGAGAGAGAGUAGGACUGCUGUCACGCCCCGCGACCGACAAUUUGGUCGGUUCGGGCACGUCAACAGACGUCGAACGGACAGCACCUCUCCUGUCCGCCCAAGGCUCCACCAACAUGUACAAUCAAGCAAAUCAAACAAAAAGAUUGCGAUUAUACACGGCUUGCUCGAGGGCAAGCAACAACAAGUAGUGAAAGCUCUAAGCUACUACAUACAACCAUCCACGCAUGUCAUUUGAUUAUAUUUUAACCAAAUACAAGUAAACUAUACAUAUUACAUCCAUUCUUUGCUUUUCAUACAUGAAUAUACAUCACAUGAUUCAUCCAACCAAAACAUAUAGAUUACAUCUUUAUACAUCAUGGUUCAACAUACAAAAGUUGAAACUAUACAUAGGAAAUGACUAUAACUCUCCUGGCCGCUAACUACGGCGCUAUACCCUUGCCUCGAUCCUCCGCCGCCCCGCUCGCGCUAGGAUCUGCACGGUUAGUGGUGUGAGAAAUAAAAGAAGUUCCCAGUGGGUUCGGCCGCCGACCUCGCCGACUCGCCCACUUAUUCAGGCAUAAGUAAUGAAAGGAAAGAUAGAUAGCAAACCACACUAAUUGUAAGAAAGUGAAUUCUCGAAAUACGAGAGUUGGACUUCGUUUAGAAUCGACCAAGGGUUGUGUUGGUGAGCUUCGGAAAGGCCGAAGAUGUCUAAAUCACCAAAAGUGCCUUAGAGGCGAGUCCACGAGAGCAAAUAGUGCAAAACCUGCAUUGGGCAGAAGUUGCUCUCGGGAAUCGGUCCCUGGCAGGGAGAGACCGGUCCCCGAGGCUGGUGGUUGCGGGGUUGCUCGAUGCAACCGGUCCCAGGUUGAGGGGACCGGUCCCCGAACGCGAACCCAGCAAGAAAGCGAGAAAUUUGGCUAAGCCCUGAGAAUCCCACUCUCGGGGACCGGUCCUAGGUCGGGGAGACCGGUCCCUCUGGGCAAAAAAUGCCCAGUGAGGGGCAGGGCACAGAGUGAAAAAUGGAUGGGCUUAUUGGGAUAUUGUUACAAUAUGAGGGCAUAUGGGUCCACUCUCUCUCUUAUCCCCUCAUUUCUCCCUCACUCUCUCACACUCUCUUUCUCCCUCUCUCUCUCUCUCUAGAAAGGAAAGAACAAAGGAGAGGAAGAAGAAGAAAAGAGAAGGAAAAGAAUGAGGAAAGGGAAGGAAAAGAAGAAGGAGAUCAAGCUAGGAAGGCUUUUGGACCUCUCCCUCUUCCUCUCUUCUCUCUUUGAAGCUAACAUAGAGGUUAGGGGUGGAACUGGGCAGGGUUUGGGUCGAGUAAUACUAUGCCCAAGCCCAGCCCAAAUAAAAAUGUUGGGCUUCGGGUCGGGCUUUUAUCCAAUUUUUUUUGAAAAUUAAGGCCCGGCCCAAGCCCAAGCUCAAUGCCCAAUACCCAUUGGGCUUUGUGGAGGCCCAUUUUAUUCAUUUAUCAUAUAAUACAUAAAUACUUUUAUUUGUAUAAAAUUAAAAUAAAAUACCUAGUUUUAGUUUGAUCACAUCAAAGAAAUUAAUAUCUAACAUCAAAUAUAUCAUAAUAUGAACUAAAUAUUUUGUUAAUAUAUAAUAUAUCCUCAUAUAUAUAAGCACAUAUCAUUAAUAACAAUAUAUACUAUAUAUGAUAUACUAUAUCAUUUAUUUCUUUUAAUAGAUAAAUAAUAUGUAUAUAAUAAAAUAUUUUAUUUUGAUAAUUAAUAUAUCGGGGUUUUGGGUUGGGUUCGAGCCGGGCUUAGACAUGCCCAAAUAGGCCCAAAAUUUUUUUGGGCCUAACUUUUUAAGCCCGGCCCGAAUCCAACGUUACAUUUUUAAUACCCAAAGCUCGGCCCAAACAUGGCCCAUCAGGCCGGGCCUUGUUUAGGCCCGGACCCAGUUCCACCUCUAAUAGAGGUAAGCUUCCAACCCUAGCUUAUGAAACUUAGGGUUUUCGGGUUUUAGCUCUUGAGAUGGGGUCAAAUGGACCUCUAGCACCAUGAAUGGUGGGAUUAGAGCUAGAAUCUAGGGUUUUUGAAGUGGGUUUGCAUAGUGCUAAUCCUAGGGCACCCAAAUUAGGGUUUUUGGAAAAGUAGAGGAUUGAUCUUAUUUGACCCUCCUCUAACCUAAUUGCUAGGUGUCUAAACGCAAGGGCGAAGUCGGAUUUUCGAUUCGUCAAGCAGGCGAAAAGAUAUUGGCAAAACAAGGCCAACCAAGCUUCAUUUUGACCUAAGAGGCUGAGACGUCGUCGUAACGUUCGUUGGAGGGCAUUUCUAGAACCUCCAUACCCUCAAGAGGUGGGGGGUGUCCAUCCCGAAGCAACCGGGUUUCUCUUUAUGUCUAAGUUCUUUAUAUUGGUCAUAUAUGAAUAUUAUGCAUUAUAGGAUUAGUAGAUAGUUGCAAUUCUAAUUCCUUGCAUGCUUCUUAGUAGUGUAUGUAAGUUAGACACAUGGACUAGGGUAGCAUGAGGAUUGGGUCUUGUGACAUGGAAUCCUAUAGUGGCAUAAAGAGCCGAACUUGGACAUAUGAUAGCCUAGUAGAGUAGCAUUGAACUAGUGUAGUAGAAACACUAAUUGGACGAGUGGCAUGUCAACUAGUUAAAGAACAUUACUACAAUGACUAAACGAGUGGCAUCGAGUCUAGUGUAGUAAACAUGACAUGGUUCUAGGGAUAGUAGAGAUCCCGGCAUCUAGGAUGCAUUGUAUACUGUGCAGCAGAGGCACAUUGACCCUAGUAGAUAGGGUAUCCUCUUGAGAGGAUUGGAUCAUACUCACUAGUCUGUUUUCGCUUGUCGGUGGUCGCUCCACCGAAGCACGAGUCUCCGGAGUACUUCACUAGGGGCAGACGUAGUUGUCCCGCAGGCGGUCUCGGUGUGCGAGUGCAGCUUCUCCUCACCUAUGAGAUUGAGAGUGAGUCGAGGGUUUAACUCACGGGUUAGCCAAGUAGAUUGGGUAAUAAACAUGAAUGGCAUAGUAGAAUUGCAUUAUUACCUCGAGUUGAUAUAGUGUAUGUUGUAGAUUGCAUUGUUAUGUACUUUUAUAUACUCAUGACAUGAUACUAGCAUGAUGGUAGGCUCAUUGCAAAUGAAUUUUGCAUGCAUUGCUCAUUAUUGAAGGCAUGGUAGAAUAGUUACAGUUUACUUAUCUACCUAUCUAUCUGCUUAUCCCUGCUUAGACCUAGUGGAAAAAUUGGCGGAGUCGGCGGCCGAACCCACUGGGAACUAUAUUUAUAUAGUUCUCACCCCACUUUGUUGCAGGGCCGAGUACUAGAUAGCCAAGCGAGGAUCGCGGCAAGGGCAUAACGCCCUCAGUGAGUUAGCUAGUAGCUUUCCUUAUGCAUUAGAGUACUCUCGUGUACAAGAUACCAUGUAUAUUUUGGAUAGAUAUUGGAGAGCUAUUUGUACUUCGAGAGAAACAUGUAUUUAUAUUUUGGAAGAUGAAAAUGUAAUGUAAUCAAUGAUGUAACUGUUGAAUGGUUGUAAUAGCUAGAUAUUUCUCUCUUUAUACACUUGUACAUUUACUUGUGGUUCUUGCUCUUAGUUGUAUUGCACUUGUGUGCAUCGUAUUGAUCAUGUAUAUUAUUUAAGCAUUUCCUGGGCGCUUAAUUGUACUUGAUCUAGUUGUUUAGUCUUGGACGAAAAGGGGAGGUGCUGUCCAUUCGGCGUCCGUCCGCCGCGCCCGGACCGAACCAAAUUGGUAGUGGUUUCGGGGCGGGGGCGCGACACUAAUGCUAUUACUAUGCCUGCAAGAAAACUGGCCAACAGAUAUAUAAUCAUGAGUAUGAUAAAUGCAUGCAUAAUUUACAUUCACUUGGCUUUCACCCAAUUAACUCGGUUAACACUUGUUAACCCCAAAACUCACAACCAAAAUCCCUGUCAAUCGGGAGGACUCUAACCACGCCUAAGGGACCGUCUUGUGGGGGGACUUUAACCAGGCCCAGUGGUGACAACUCCGGAGCACACCGCUCGAGGGGGAGCUACCGCCUUGAAGCCAAGACCCUAUGUGAGUAUGAUCCAAUCCUUGAUUUUGAGGACGUAUAGCCACACUUGCUAUUUUGCCACAAGCCACAAUGCUAUAAUAGGUUUAUACCUUGUCAUGAAUACCACUUGCUAGGCCACACUUGCCACGAUGCUAUAAUAGGUUUAUACCUUGUUUAGCCAUUCAUGUUCUUGGUGCCAAUCUCACCCCACUAAUGUCAAUGUCACCUUUGUUUACUAUUGUCAUAGUCCAUAUCACACAAUCAUAGGAUUCUAACACUCAUGGUCUAUUUCAAUUUAUAUGUUCUCUAACCUAGAAGCAUACAAUUGAUUCCCAACCAUAAAUAUAUAUCACAUAGCCAUAUGAUGCAUGAUUUCUACGAUACAUAUAUGCUCAAAUGAAGGCAACAUAGACAUAAUAGGAAAUUCAGAGAUUCCGGAUAGCACCCCCCACCUUGUAGGAAUGCCGAGAUGCUAUGAUUCAAUUCUCGUGAUUUUUAGACACCUACGCUGCUCGCUACGGCAAAACGAAGCCAAAACAGGCUUUUUCUUUAAUAUCUCCGCGUACACUCGUCGGAUCGCCGAACCGAGUUCGCCAACGCGUCAGAAAACCUACCAAUUAGGGUCACAAGAGAUCAAUCCCUAACUUAGACCUCAUAUUUACAAAACCCUAAUAUAACCCCCAUAUAUAUCAUCUUCUCCCAAUAGGUCCCUAAACAUGGAGAAGCAUGGAGAAAAACCACCAUAGAAACCUUUAGAUGCUACUACUAGAAGCAAAAAAGCUAAACCCUAGCUCAAAACAAUGGAAACCUACCUUAGGUUCCAAGCUUUCCUCCCAAAGCUCUUGCUCAAGCUAGCCUCCACCUUGUAGGAAGCUUCUUCUCUAACCCAAGCUCCUCCAAAACCCCCUCUUGCUCAAGCUCUAGAGAGAAGGAGAGAGAAAGAAAAGUUCUUUAGAGAGAGAGAGGGAAACCUCUUUGGUGGUGUGUGUGAGAAAUAAGGCCCAAAACCCUAGCCAACCAACACAUACACACUCACACUAACACAUUUGCACUUUGCCUCCUCACAAUUCACCAAAACAAGGCAGCCCAAACUGGGCAAUUUUCGGCUAUGGGGUCCGGACCCUGCACAGGGUCCGGACCCCGAGAGCACAAAUUUCAGUACUUAGCUGCAAUUUCACAGCUUUGCUCUCCUGGGUCCUCCAACCCCUAUGCAAUUCAUUCCAAAGCGUUUAACACUUUGCGGACCGUUCCAACUCGUCCGAACCCGCGCUUCGAUCAAUUUGACGAAAGCUCGGCGCAACUCGACGGGGAUGCGAUACGUUACAUUCCUCACCCCUUAAAAAUAGUUUCGUCUGCGAAACUUCACACAUACCUUAGCUCAUUUGCUCGAAUAAAUGAGGAUAGGUCUCGCGCAUCUUCUCCUAGAAUUCCCACGUGGAUUCACGCCACGAGUGAUUACUCUAUUGGAUCUUCACAUACGGAAUGGUUCGAUUCCGUAGCUUCCGCUCCUCCCGAGCAAGGAUACUCACCGAAAAAUCUUCAUAAGUGACAUCCUCGUGUAGCUCUACCGGCUCAUACUCCAACACAUGUGAGGAGUUACAAAAGUACUUGCGGAGAUUCGAUACGUGAAACACAUUAUGCACUCCCGCAAGCUUCGGCGGUAAUGCAAGCUUGUACGCCACCGGCCCAAUCCGCUCUAGAAUCUCAUACGGCCCAAUGUAUCGAUGACUAAGCUUCCCCUGAAUCCCGAACCGCUUCACCCCACGCAUAGGCGAUACUUCGAGGAAUACAUGGUCACCAACCGCGAACUCUAAAUCCUUUCGGCGCUUAUUCGCAUAAUUUCACUGCCGCGAUUGUGCCAUCAACAACCUUUGGCGAGCAAGGCGAACUUUCUCCUCCGCCUCUCGCAACACAUCCGGACCAAGGGUGACUCUUUCACCCACCUCGCUCCAAUGGAUAGGGGAGCGACACUUACGUCCAUAGAGUGCCUCGAAUGGCGCCAUCGCUAUACUUUCUUGAUAACUGUUAUUGUAAGCGAACUCCGCCAUUGUCAAAUACUCAUGCCACCCACCUUUAUAAUCAAGUACACACGCUCGAAGCAUGUCCUCGAUAAUCUGAAUUGUCCUCUCCGAUUGACCAUCACUUUGACGAUGAAACACCGUACUGAAGUCGAGCCGUGUGCCUAGAGCAUCCUGCAAGCUCCUCCAAAACUGAGAAGUGAACCGGGGGUCUCGAUCUGACACAAUCAAUGAUGGAACCCCAUGCAAUCUGACUACCUCAUCCAAAUAGACUUGCGCUAACUUGUCCUCGGACCACGUGGUGUGGAUCGGCAAGAAGUGAGCCGACUUCGUCAAACGGUCCACCACCACCCAAAUAGCAUCAUGUCCGGCUUGCGAUCGGGGUAGACCGACCACAAAGUCCAUCGCAAUGUCCUCCCACUUUCACACGAGUAUCGAUAAACUUUGCAACUUUCCUGCGGGAAACCGACGCUCCGUCUUUACUUGUUGGCACGUCAACCACUGCGCCACAAACUCCCCAAUGUCUUUCUUCAUUCCCGGCCACCAAUAAUGCACUUUCAAGUCCUUGUACAUUUUAGUGCCGCCCGGGUGUACACUAUAAGGGGAAUGAUGCGCUUCUUGCAACACCGCCUUGUGGAUCUCAUCAUCCUUGGGCAUACACCACCGGUUUCUCAAACGAAGUGCACCGUCUGAUCCCACGCUGAAGUCACCGAUGCAUCCGCCCUCAAUAUCACUCCGCACCUUUUGGAGAUAUGGAUCCUCAGCUUGAUGCUCCUUAAUUCUCUCCAACAAGAUUGGUCGAAUCACUAGCGCCUCUAAAAUGGUCGGAACCUCCGGCGCUACCACUUCCAAUCCAAACCGUUGCAUCUUCUUUUGCAACAACGGUUGAUGCGUGAUCACCGUCACUAGAUUUUCCACCGACUUUCUACUUAGCGCGUCGGCUACCACAUUGGCCUUCCCGGGGUGGUGCAAGAUAGUGACAUCAUAGUCUUUCAACAACUCCAAUCACCGUCGUUGCCACAUGUUCAACUUUUUCUAGGUGAACAGGUACUUGAGGCUCUUAUGAUCUGUGUAUACCUCACAGUGCUCACCAUAAAGAUAGUGCCUCCACAACUUUAGAGCGAAAAUAACCGCGGCUAGCUCAAUGUCGUGUAUCGGGUAGUUCUUCUCAUAGCUCUUUAACUGGCGCGAAGCAUACGCAAUGACUCGCCCACCUUGCAUAAGAACACACCCGAGACCACUGUAGGAAGCAUCAUUGUAUACCACAAGCUCUCCCCCGACGUCGGCAAGGCAAGUACCGGGGUCGACGUCAACCUUUCCUUUAACUCCUGGAAGCUUCGGUCGCAACCGUCACUCCACACAAAUCUCACUACUUUGUCCGUAAGGCGUGUGAGAGGAGUAGUCAACUUUGCAAACCCCUCCACAAACCGCCGUUAGUAGCCCGCCAAUCCGACGAAACUGCAAACCUCCGCAACACUUGUUGGGCUAUUGUCAUAGUCCACAUCACACAAUCAUAGGGUUCGAACACUCAUGGUCCAUUUCAAUUUAUAUGUUCUCUAACCUAGAAGCAUACAAUUGAUUCCCAACCAUAAAUACAUAUCACAUAGCCCUAUGAUACAUGAUUUCUACUAUACAUAUAUGCUCAAAUGAAGACAACAUAGACAUAAUAGGAAAUUCAGAGAUUUCGGAUAGCACCCCCCACCUUGUAGGAAUGCCGAGAUGCUACGAUUCAAUUCUUGUGAUUUUUAGACACCUACGCCCCUCGCUACGGCAAAACGAAGCCAAAACAGGCUUUUUCUUUAAUAUCUCCGCGUACACUCGUCGGAUCGCCGAACCGAGUUCGCCAACGCGUUAGAAAACCUACCAAUUAGGGUCACAAGAGAUCAAUCCCUAACUUAGACCUCAUAUUUACAAAACCCUAAUAUAACCCCCAUAUAUAUCAUCUUCUCCCAAUAGGUCCCUAAACAUGGAGAAGCAUGGAGAAAAACCACCAUAGAAACAUCUAGAUGCUACUACUAGAAGCAAAAAGCUAAACCCUAGCUCAAAACAAUGGAAACCUACCUUAGGUUCCAAGCUUUCCUCCCAAAGCUCUUACUCAAGCUAGCCUCCACUUUGUAGGAAGCUUCUUCUCUAACCCAAGCUCCUCCAAAGCCCUCUCUUGCUCAAGCUCUAGAGAGAAGGAGAGAGAAAGAAAAGUUCUUUAGAGAGUGAGAGGAAAACCUCUUUGGUGGUGUGUGUGAGAAAUAAGGCCCAAAACCCUAGCCAACCAACAUGUACACACUCACACUAACACAUUUGCACUUUGCCUCCUCACAAUUCACCAAAACAAGGCAGCCCAAACUGGACAAUUUUCGGCUACGGGGUCCGGACCCUGCACAGGGUCCGGACCCUGAGAGCACGAAUUUUAGUACUUAGCUGAAAUUUCACAGUUUUGCUCUCUUCGGUUCUCCAACCCCUAUGCAACUCAUUCCAAAGCAUUUAAAACACUUUGCGGAUCGUUCCAACUCGUCCGAACCCGCGCUUUGAUCAAUUUGACGGAAGCUCGGCACAACUCGACGGGGAUGCGGUACGUUACAACUGCUGUGCUUUGAGAACACGGAGGCCUCCGUGUUUCUGAGCCGUUUUUUAUGAUGGAAUUUUCGAAUCGACGAUCGGUUCCGCUAGACUUGAUAUAGCGUAUUUGAAGUUUCUAGACAAUAAAUUUUACGAUUUUUCGAUAUCAUUUAUCUAGUGAUUGAAAGGGUUCAAAAUCAAUAAUUUUUAAUAGUUGAUGUCUGUUAUUUUCAAGUUUAACAGUGUAGAAGUAUUCAAAUCAAAUAAAAUUUUGAUACAAAUUUUUUUAUACUAUUUACAAGAGGAUCAAUAUCUCUGAUCGAAAAUUUUAGUACCAUAUCACCACUUUUUAUAGGAUUUUUAUUUUUAGCCGUUGAUGUUAAAUUCUUUCGAUUGCUAGGUAAAUGAUAUCGAAAAACCGCAAAAAUUAUUUUCUACAAACUUUAAAUACGCUAGAUCAAGUCUAACGGAGCCGGUCGUCGAUUCGAAAAUUUCAUCAUCGAAAACGGCUCAACAUACAUGAAUGGGUAUGGAAAUAUAGAAAUAUACUCUGCUCAAACUCCCCUGGUCAUCAAAUAUUAUGAGAUUGGCGACGACGGCUUCUUGAUUCAUUUCUUGUAUCAAUAGGCCUUGUAUAUUCAUGAUUGAUUCACAUUUAACUGACUAAUUGUCCAAUGGCUCAUUCUUAAAAACUCUCCAAUAAUGCCUGUAAGAAGCAUUAUUGCUUAUUUGGAUUAUGCAACAACCGUGACCUAGUUUUGGGAGAUUCAGCCUAAUAGUUCUAACCUGCUUAUUUGUUGCGUGGCCAGGUUUAGGAUCGAGGCGAAAGCUCCAGGAUCAUCUUCCAACUCUUUGUUACACAAUUGGCUUAUAAAGAGAAACAAAUUUCCAGUGUUUUUAGAUCAUUUUUGUAAGGACUAAGAUUUUGGCAGUGUAGCUAAACUCUUUGUUGAUGAUGUUUUUGCGUGUAUUUUAAUUACAAAAGCACUCGUCAAGUUUCGGGAGAAAACGAGUUUGAAUAGAGAAGUUACGCGACUUUUACUUUUCACUUAAAGUGAAUAGUAACCUACAUUUUCAGAGAGGCCAAAGUGUAGAGUCGGCUUCUGGCGCGUAUCGGACUCCGUUCAUAGCGAUCCAAUAGCUCGUUUUCAAUGGUUCAGCUAUUUUGGAACCAUUGGCGCUGACGGAUUUCAGGUUUGACACACGGAUUUCGAGAAAACUGGAGAUACAUGAAUUCUAUGUAUUUGUGCAUGGUUUUGCACUUUGGUGAGAGAAUGGAUUUCGUCGUGAAUCCAUGACCAAACCAGGCAAAACAAAGUCGUGCAGUUUGUUGUCUCCGUUGUGCUGAUCGCACUGGUGCGAUCCGUUCGUAAAUCUGACGAACAGAUCUCCUGAUAUCGCACGUUGAUCGAGGAGGGGUCACUAAUGGCAAACCUGUAAUUUUGGGAAAACCUCGACAUUUUAUGUACCGUUUUGCAUGAAAUCAUUUGUGGAGGUGUAUUCGCGCGUUUACAUGUGCUGUGAGGGACUCGGUGUAAAAUACUGAGUUUUGGAGGGCUUUUGCACAAUUGAAGCUAUAUAUAUAUAUAUAUAUAUAUAUAUAUAUAUAUAUAUAUNUAUAUAUAUAUAUAUAUAUAUAUAUAUAUAUAUAUAUAUAUAUAUAGUGUUCUAGGGUUUGCACUAUGCAAACCCUAACCCCAUUAGCUCCUAGCUGACCUAGCCGCCCCUCCUCCCUCACCUCGUGUGUCGCGCGCCUCCCGGCCGUCGCCGAUCGAGCCCUGGCCAGCCAGUUGCAGCAGCAGCCUUCGUCUUCUUCCUUUUCAUCUCCUCCACCAUCCCUCUCAUUGUCUUCUUUGGCCGAGGGUGGUGCUGGGCACUCCCCUCCCUCUGGCCCCUCUUCGGUACCUUCCCCUGAGCCCCAGCCACCCUCAUCGUCGACUGCCACGGCCCCCAAACGCGGUCGCCGCGCUGUAGCCACCCUGUUGCCAGCUAGGGCAAGCUCGGGCCGAGGUCUACCUGCGGCCUCUCCCCCACACCGUCGCCGCCCUGGGCCACCACGCUGCCUCCCUCCGACCUCGGGCAACCCGUCGCCGCCGCCCCGAGGUGCCCGAGUGCCGCCGGGCAGUCUGUGCGUUCUUCGGUGAAAUUCGCUGGCGAAACGCGAUUUCGGUUCGGAUUUCUUCCGACGUCAUUUAUUUGCCCUGAGUGUUGUCGCUGAGCCUUGUCGGCUAGUCACUUUCGUCAUCUCGUGAGUUCGGAGAUGACUGGUGAGCGACGGUGGGUUCCGGUAUCAAAAUUGACACUUCCGGGAACCCGGAUCCGAACAAUUAUUCGACGAUAAUUGUUUGUUUGUGUCACCUUGUGUUUGCUGCCAAGAUAUCCAAAUCGAUGUGUUUUGUGGCAGCGGGUGACUCAUGGCACGAGUCGGCGAGUUUCGAGACACUUAGUGGGUCCUGACGGCGUCCCGGUAUGAUUUUCGAGACUUCCAGCGAGUUACGGUGAUCGGUUUAAGGAAACCGAUUGUCACGCCCCGGGACCCAGUGGAAGCCCGCCCGGCACGUGUCCAGACCAACCAUAUGUCUAAAACAUAUAAGACAUCUACAAAACUACGAUAAAUAAAGUGAUAAUAAAAAGACAACUAGGAGUAUCAGAGCAUAGUACAACUAGGUUCUAUAAUAGAGAAAUAAGCAAAAGGCUAAAAAUCCACUAAAAGAAACCAUAAAUAGUACAUCUGAAAAUCCGAAUACAAGUGCUAAAAAUAAUACAAGGUGGUCUCUAUACAUGGUAACAAAACUCUCCCUCACAACAGAACACAAAAAGGGAGAACCACCUAAAGCAAAAAGCGAACUCCACGCUAUCUAGUGAGCGAUCCCCUUGCCACGGUCCCAUGCCUCUACCGGUGUAGAGGGCUCCGAAAUAAAACCAUAAAACAGAAGGCGUGAGAACUAUUAAAUAAUAGUUCCCGGUGGGCAAUUACUGACUUUAGUGCAAUAUGCCACUAGGCCCGAAAACUAAGCAAGUAAGUAAGAAUGAUUAAGAAACAUGAAUGACAGAUAUUUAAAUAUGAAUACUUACUAAACCAUGAUAUCUUUACUUAGCAUGAAUUUGCAUAAGUAAGAAAGCUAUUCUAACAUGAAUAAGCAUGAAUGUAUAACCAACAUAAUGUCCACAACGCAAAUAGUAAGAUGUCAUUAUUUACUAUUCUAGUCCAAGCCCACUUGGCAUAUUAACUACUCAUAGUUCCAAUCUUAUAAGACCUACCCGUAGGCUGUCUGGUCUACGCCGUGCCUAAUGGCUCCGUGGUAGUCAACAUCCCCACGCUAGGAAUGAGCCUCCCUCACGGCAAUCCACUUCGGCACCCAAUCUCGCACGGACGAGUAUAUAUCGCGAUGGCUAUCUCCAUAGUGCCAGCUUGUAGGGAGUGACCCUCACAAGCAUGUGCGAAUGAGCAUAAAGGCAAGCAAGCGUAUAAGUCUGUCUCAAGUACCAAGUCCUCAUAUCUAAAACAUGAAAUAUAACAUAUGUCUCAAUGGCCUAUCACUAUGUCAUCAUGUCUAAAAUAUGAAAUAUAGUCGAUGUCACAAUGGCCUAUCUCUAUGUCAUCAUGUCUCUAUGUUGCAAUUUAACAGUUUACUAGUUCGAGUGCCCCUUUAUGGCACUUUUGUUCAUCAAGCCCAAGCACGAGUUUUAGGUUCAAGAGUAUCCAAAUCUAGUCAUUUUUCUCACAUAAGACAUGUUUCCAUCAUACAAUAAGAAUACUUUUCAUAUGCAUGCUUAAUACACAUAUGGCUCUACUAUAUAGAGUUGAAUUUUCAUGAUACAUAACACAUACAUUUUAAGUAUUCUAAAAUUCAUAAAAAUUCUAUUUAGCAUGAAUAUGCAUGCAUUUCGAUGAAACGACAAGUACAAAUGACAUAGGGGACAUUUCUCCCAAAAUCCAUGAAGUCAAACCCACCGAAACUCUCGAAACCUUUCGUUUGCGCUGACGAAGGUAUCCACUACUCUCCUAGUACCCUAAAAGUAACAAAAGGAGGGAUACACGAACGUUACGAACAAUCAUUUACUCAAACAUUAAGCAACUCAAGCUAAGGUGAAGAAAACUCACCGAAAAUGGUGAAAAUCUCUCUCGAUAUCCUAAAGAGAGCAAGAACCCUUCAAAACCAACCUAAAGGAAGGUUCUAAUAAAAUCAAUCAAGAUCAAGAAGCCUCAAAUCAAAAAUCUCCAUUUUAAACCCUAAGGCUGCGUUUGGUUCGGGUAUAAGUAAGAACUGCUAGUUCUAGGGAUAGGCACAAGUUUAGGUAUAUGCAGGAACUAGACCAAUUUUGCGUUUGGAUGAAAAUUGGGUUGUUNAUCUCGUGGAUUACUUGCUCUUCUGGUUGUUGGCACUGUUUGUGCCCUCGUUGAAUGUGUAUGUUUAGGAUUUAAAUUCCUGGGUAAAUUCUUGUACACAUUCCUGUUGUUGAGCCUUGGGCGGACAGGGGAGGUGCUGUCCGUUCGGCGGUACGUCGCCGCGGCCGAACCGUGCCAAAUCGGUAGUGGUUUCGGGGCGGGGCGUGACACUUAUUCCCCGCUUUGUUCUCGAACCAAACACUACCUAAAUCUCAUUUCUAGAGUUCCCACAAGUAAAAUCCACUAAAAUAUGGAUUAAAGAGGAGUUUAAGCUUACUAACCUCUCCAAAGCACCAAUUCAAGCUAGCAAGUGAGCUAGGGUUGAAGAUCAAACCUCAAGCAAGCUCCAAUCCCAAAAUCCAAGCUUCUCCUAUGGAGGAAACCAAUAAAAAGCAAGAAAAAGCAAGAGAGAGGAGAUCAAAACAUGCAAUAAUCCAUCAAAAAUGAAAAUCAAACAAGUGGAGGAAGCCUCACCUUGUUUCUCCUCUAAUUAGGGCUCAAAAGAGCUCCUAAGGGGGCAGGGGUGAGUAUAAAUAGAGUUGCAACAAAUGCAAAAACACCCUUCUACAAAAACAGCUCGCAGAGCAAAGUGUACCGGUACACGGGAAAGUGUACCGGUACAAAUCCUGCGCGACAGCAACCCGAGUCUCGGGUUGGCAGAAAAUCCCACUUAUACCGGUACAACCAUCGAGUUGUCACCGGUACACUUUCUGUACCGGUACAACCAUCAAUGUGUACCGGUACACUUUCCAGAAAACUGCAACCCGAGAGCAGCCUAAGUCCAUCGCUUUGGUGACCUUAGUGCUACUUUAAAUACUAUAAUUCUCAGGAUACGAACCAUAGGUCGGAGCUCCGUCAACGACCCUCCAGAAACUGUGGAAAGGCUCGGAACACAGAUAAAACACUCGAACCUCACAAUUUGCAAAGGUCCAGUGUGUUACACCGAUUUUGGGGUUUUGUGUGGGGUUUGUGAGUUGGGUAUUUUGGAUUGGUCGGUUGGUUACUGACUUGGUGGAUCUUCGUAGGUCCGAUUGACUUGUUGCGCAUCCAGGUUUCCGGCGCGAUUGUGACAGGUGGGUGCUUCGAGCUGGUAGUCGGUGAGAUCGUUUCGCUUUCCUCUUCCUUGCUCUUGUAUAUCAGUACUUUGGCCUCUACAUGUCAGUUGCUUUUGUUUAUCGCUCGUUCAUCUAUACUUGUUGCUUUCAUGAUGAUAGUUGAUAGUAGACAUGUAGAGCAGGCUUGUAUUUAUUUUAUAUCUGUGGACCUUGGUUCUAGGCAACACAUCGACUCAUCUGUCGUGUGUUUCGAUCUAGUUGAUUACGGUUCGACGUUGUACGCCCUUGCAUUUGACUUCGGCCAAGGCACCGGUUUUCCACCGGUAUUUGUAUUGAGCAUAUCAGCAUGAUUUAGUCACAGCACUGUGUAUUCUAGACACUGGUUGGUCUGGCCACAAACCAGGGCGUGUACGUAUCUCGAUAGGUCGUCGGUGACGCAUGAAUCAAUGUCAGUGUCUGCUCUGUGACAGGCAACGCUUGAGGUCUACGGACCAAUAUGGCAGCACUAGAUUGCGUUUGAUUUUGGAUUAUAUACCUUUGAGGCAUCUGUUUCAGUUGAGUUGUUGAUACAGUAGUAGUUGGUUCUUACUCAUUUACUAUCCUAUUUCUAUUACUACUGUAGUUGCUCUUUUAUCAUACCAUGUACAUAUCUAUUGUUCUAUCUCCUUUAUUUUUCAGUGAAUACGAUUUGCCUUCGUGGCUCUGUCGUACCCACUGGGAAACCUUGAUUAUGGUUUCUCACCCCCCAUUUCCCCAGGUGACUUGGGCAAGGAGUUAGCUUUUGGACCGACGGGAGGACGUUCUAGCUAGCAUGCAGUAGCAACCGUCACCCGGGUUACUUUUAUUUCUGCUUCUAGUAAUUUAAAUAAUUAAAUAGUUCAGUUAGAUGAUCCCUUGAAUGUUUGAAUGUUCAUGAACUUGUUUGAGUUGGUGAUUUCCAUUAUGCAUGCGAUUGGAGAUUUGUGGAUAUGUGGUUUUAUGGAUAAUUGGUUUCGGAUUUAUGUAUUUAUACAUAGUGGUUUUCUAUCCCUCGAGGUAGUCGGUUUUCAAAAUAGAGUUUCCGUGUGGGAAACAGUUUUAAAGGAAUGGUUUUAUGAAUGAUUAAUUAGAGUUUAAAAAUCAAAGCUUCUGGAUGGAGAGCACUUUUAAAUAGGAUGCUUGUUGUACUGUGCACUACAUCAUCCAGCGCCUAAGGAGUGCUUAGAGACAUGCAUCAUCUCUAAGGAUCGCUAGCUGUAUGUAAAUGCAUCGCAUAUAUUAGUUGUUGAUUGGUGAAUGUAGGUUGUGGUUAAAAUCCUGAUAUAUUGUUGGUACGCCGUGCAAAUACAAAGGAGACUCUAUCCGAGUGGAUAGAGGAACUUUGUAUUUGUGGCGGGUCUGUACGUCACGUGGGCCAGGUUGAAAAAAAAAUGGCACGUUUUUUUGCAACUUUGAUUUCAAAAAUUGUAUCCAUUACAAAAAGGCUUUUAAAAUCGGCCCCGGGGCGUGACAAUCUUCAUAGGCAAUCUAAAGUUAUAAUAUUACUUUUCAUGACCGUAAAUUCGGAGGUCAAGAUUGCAUUGUGCAUCCAUAUUAUUAAGAUAUCCUUGAGAAUUUUGGCUCCGUGUAAGCAUUUCACAUACUUUGGGCAUAGGUUGAUAAGCACAUUAGUAGCUUCACUUAGUUUUGCAAAGGGAUGCUAAAAGUAAAAAAUGAUGGGGGUUUUUUUUUUAUUUCUAAUGCUAUUUUGAAACAAUUCAUGAGCUUAAAACCUCUAGGCAUCCUAUCGUCAGUUUUAUGAGAGCCUCAUAUUAUAGACCUAUAAGACUCAAAUAAGGUUUUCUUGCCAAGUUUGUGAAUAAUAUUAUACUUAAUUGUAAUGUAUUCAACAUUAUAAACAAUACACAUAUAGAAUGAUGGCGUAAUUCAUUUAGUAGGCAGCUUUAUUCUUUUAGACAGAUCAUCUCAUAUCAACUGCAACUUUCAGUAUUUUGUGCAAUGCUGUCUUACUAGAUCAAAAAUUUGCCUAAUGUUCACUGUUUUCAAGUCGAUUNUACCUGUAAAUCAAACACUACUACGAACAGUAGUAGAGAGCUGCUAGAGAAAACAUAAGCUAAACAAACUGAGUUUCAUAUACAUAGUCCAAAUCCAAAAUACAGAGCUACUCGCACUGGCGAGUUUAGUCUACUAUGUACAGAAACUAGAAACAAAACAUCUACCUACAGUAGGGGCACCUCUAGCUCAGCAGAAUGGGUAGGGCUCUAACUCGCGACGCCCUUGCCUCGAUCCUGAUCUGCGGAAGGCGCAGCAGCCGGAACCUGUGGCUCUGCAAAACAGAGGUAACAACUGGGCGUGAGAACUACUGUAAAAACAUGUAGUCCUCAGUGGGUAUCGCCCAAAACCACAUCGGUCCACCCACUAAGUCUACAGAAGGGAGCAAGAGUAGUCAGAAAAGCAUGAAGCAAACUCUACCGCUAUCGAUCACUACACUAUUAUGCUCUAUACUAACCAACUGUAGUAAAUGUCAAAUCUGACCCAAUCCAAUCGGGACUGUAAGCAUACCCGUCCCCGGGACUGUGAAUACACCCGUCCCUGCCCCGUUGCGACUAUCAGGCUCUAUCCACACUAACUGGUCCGUGGAGAGCAAGUCCAACUGGCAUGAGCGACACCAACGCGAAAGCACAAAGCCUGUCUCCGGAGUGGCACUCGUGGGCGCUACCCAACCGAGUAUGCAGUGUAUCUCUAUCAAGCUCAAUCAGGCUCUGAAAAGCCAAAGUCAAGUAACCGACUAUAACUAGUCUAAUAACCAACAGUUCAUGUGCCCUCGGCACAAUCUGUCGCCAAAAAGGCGAUCCGGGUCCACCGUCAACUCUGACGGCACCCAACAAUUCGAAACAGUCCAAACGACCAUAUAAAAAUCCACUCGGCGCACCAGCAUGAGCGUAAAUAUAUUCUAAACAACCUGAAGUACUCGUCUCGAAGAUACUGCGACAGUACAAUUUUAUAACGGCUCCUAGAGCUAAAUCAGGCAGUUUAAACAUGUGACAGGUCCAAAUCGCAGGUUUUCUCCUAAUUCAAAUUCCAAGUCCAACAUGUAUAAACUACUCAAUUGAAUACCACAUGCUCCAAAUUCAGAUUUGCAAUCUACCAUAUGAUUCAUGAAUUCGAGCUAGAAUAGACUAUACUAAAAUUUAAUUUUACACAUGUCGACGAUUAGAACUUAGGAGUCAAAACCAAUGUAACCCACCUCAAGAAGCUAGCUCCUGGCAGCGAACGAGGCCUCGAACCAAAGUGACCCCUGCUGGAUCAACGGGAACCCUCCAAGUCUAGCACUCGAGCUAACUCCAAGCUCUACGAUCAAAAUUCACCAAUUCAGUCCGAAUUUCGCAGCAAUAGAGUAGAAAAGGGAUUCGACCAAGCUAACCUUCACCAAAUCCAGCAAUCAAGGGCUUCGUGGAUUCCUCUCAAAGUCCCGAAUCCAACGAACCAAGUCUCGUCGCAAUCCGAUGCUCCUACGUCGAGUACGAGCUAAAAUACUAACAGUCGACGAUGAAUUUCAGCAAAACAGCAUCACUCGAGCUCGAAAAAUAUAUCAACGGAGAAAAACUAGAUACCCACCUCGCUAGUGACUCUAGCACCAGCGCGACGUCAAGGACGGCGAAAACGUACCCUCGCCCGGCCUCCUCGCGAUGCUACGACGGCAACUGUACCCUCGAGCGGCUCUGCGGCGCGACGUCGGCGAAAACCGAACUCCACCCGAGCUCCUCCUCUACGUACGGCUCAAAAACUAUAUAUAUCGGCAAUGCACAGGUAUUAAAGUGAUAAGCAAGCUUGGGGGUAAGGUGCACGUGGCAUCCUUAUCCCCAGCUAGCUUACCAACUCAAAAGAAAUAAAAAGAAAAAGGAAAAGAAAAGAUAAAGAAAUAAGGAUACUACAUCCUCCCCCACUACAAAAAGUUCCGUCCUCGAAACUUAAAACAUACCUCAAGACGGGGCAACGAACAGGUCGGGGUAGGACUCCCUCAUCACUGUCUCAGGCUCCCAAGUCGCCUCCCGCUCCUCGUGAUUGCUCCACUGCACUUUCACAUACGGGAUGACCCGGUUGCGCAAUUCCUUCGUCUCGCGAGCAAGAAUCCGCACCGGUCGCUCCUCAUAUCUCAAAUCCUUGCCAAUCUCUAGUGGAGUGAAGUCAAUCACGUGAGAAGAAUCGAAAACAUAUCUCCUCAGCGCCGAGACGUGGAACACAUCAUGAAUCCCAGCUAGUCGGGGUGGUAGAGCAAUCCGGUAAGCAACUGGUCCAACUCGCUCCAAUACCUCAAAAGGGCCAACAAAUCGUGGACUAAGCUUUCCACGUACUCCAAAACGGCGUAUCCCUCUGGACGGCGAGACUUUGAGAAAAACAUGAUCUCCAACCUGAAACUCUAAGUCUCGUCUCCUGGUAUCGGCGUAGCUCUUCUAUCGGCUCUGUGCUGUCAGAAGGUGUCGUCGGACGACUCUCACCUUUUCCUCAGCCUCAAGUAAAAUCUCCGGUCCAAGUGUCUUCCUUUGACCCACAUCACUCCAACACAAAGGGGAUCGACAUCUGCGUCCAUACAACGCCUCAAACGGAGCCAUCUGAAUGCUCGCUUGAUAGCUGUUGUUGUACGCAAACUGAGCUAGUCUCAAAUGUCGAUACCACCCUCCUCCAAAAUCCAGGACGCAUGCUCUCAGCAUGUCCUCUAGAGUCUGAAUGGUCCGCUCUGACUGACCAUCCGUCUGUGGGUGAAACGCCGUGCUGAAUUGCAGCUGUGUACCCAAGGCUGUCUGCAAACUCCUCCAGAAAUAUGAUACAAACCUCGGGUCUCUGUCUGAUAUAAUCGACACUAGCACGCCGUGCAGCCUAACGAUCUCAUCUAAGUAUAGCUGCGCGAGUCUCUCUCUGGACCAGGUGGUCUGAAUCGGUAAGAAGUGAGCAGACUUGGUCAGUCUGUCCACUAUCACCCAAAUCGCAUCAAAGCCACCCUGUGCUCUAGGUAAUCCCAUGGCGAAAUCCAUCGUAAUCUGCUCCCACUUCCACUCGAGCAAUGGCAAACUCUGAAGCUUGCCAGCAGGCACCUGAUGCUCGGCCUUCACCUGUUGGCAAGUCAAACACUGAGCCACAAAUCUGCCAAUGUCUCUCUUCAUUUCAUUCCACAAAAACUGUGCCUUUAAAUUCUUAUAUAUCUUGGUUCCCCCAGGGUGAACCGUAUAAGGUGAACAAUGAGCCUCUCUCAAAAUAGCCUCUCGGAUCUCUGAAUCAACAGGCACACACAGCCGGUCCCUGUACCGUAGUACUCCCGAACUGUGCACAGCAAAACCCUUGGCCUGCCCCCUGUCUAACUGCUCUCGAAUCCCCAACAGGUACGGAUCUCCACUCUGUUUCUCUCGGAUCCUAUUCAACAGAGUGGGCUGCAAAACUAGAGAUAUCAGUCUCGCAGUAGAUCCAGGGGACACUAUCUCAAGCCUCAGCCGCUGCAGCUCCUCAAGUAGCGGUCUUUGCUGAGUGAUCAUCAAACUUAGGCUCUGCACUGACUUCCUGCUCAACGCAUCUGUCCCUUUUGAGUGAACAGAUACUUGAGACUUUUAUGAUCAGUAAAAAUCUCACAGUGCUCGCCAUACAAGUAAUGCCGCCACAACUUUAACGCAAAGACUACCACGGCAAGCGCCAAGUCAUGCGUAGGGUAAUUCUUCUCAUAAUCCUUUAACUGCCGUGAAGCAUAAGCAAUUACCCUACCAUGCUGUAUCAGCACACAACCCAGUCCACUGUGCGAUGCAUCACUGUAGAUCACGAAUCCUUGCCCCAUAACAGGAAGGGCAAGGAUAGGAGCUGACAUCAACCUCAGUCUCAACUCGUCGAAGCUCCUCUGGCAGUCCUCACUCCAAACAAACCGAAUCCCUUUCCGUGUCAACCUGGUAAGGGGUGUGGAAAGCUUCGCAAAGCCCUCCACAAACCGACGGUAAUAUCCAGCUAGUCCCAGAAAACUCCGCACCUCAGUCACCGUCGUCGGUCUGGGCCAAUCCCGGAUAGCGUCGAUCUUCUUUGGGUCCACGGCUAACCCAUCUGCAGAAAUCACAUGGCCCAAGAAAGCAACCUCCCGCAACCAAAACUCAGACUUCUUUAACUUGGCAUACAACUUCUUCUCUCGCAGAAGUUGUAACACAAUCCUCAAAUGCUCCUCAUGCUCCGCAUCGCUCCGGGAGUAUAUCAAAAUAUCGUCGAUGAAGACUACCACAAACCUGUCCAAGAACGGCUUUAAUACUCGGUUCAUCAAAUCCAUGAAUGCGGCAGGGGUAUUCGUCAAUCCAAAAGGCAUCACUGUGAACUCAUAAUGCCCGUACCGAGUCCGAAAAGCCGUCUUGGGUACAUCCUCGGCCCUCACCUUCAGCUGGUGGUAACCUGACUGGAGAUCAAUCUUAGAAAAGACACAAGAUCUUUGCAGCUGAUCAAACAGGUCAUCAAUGCGCAGCAAAGGGUACUUGUUCUUGAUGGUCACUUUAUUCAGCUCCCGGUAAUCUACGCACAACCUGAGCGACCCAUUCUUCUUCUUUACAAACAGCACUGGCGCUCCCCAAGGCGAUACACUGAGUCUCACAUACCCCUUAUCCAUCAGAUCCUGAAGCUGUGCCUUUAGCUCUCUCAGCUCUGCCUGUGCCAUCCGAUAAGGUACCUUCGAGAUUGGUGCAGUUCCAGGAACUACAUCAAUCACAAACUCAAUCUCCCUCUGCGGCGGCAACAAAAUCAACUCAGCGGGAAACAUAUCCGAAAACUCGCGGACUACUGGGAUAUCCUCGAGUCCCGGCGCUGCCGUAGGUACCUCAGCAAUCGUCGCCAGAAAUGCGACACAUCCUCUACUCAUCAGCUGUCGAGCCAUCGCCGAAGAUAUCCAGGUGGCAAACAGCGUGCUCCUGCAGCCUCUAAAAGUGAACUCCUCCUGGCCGUUCUCAUGGAACGUCACUGUACUCGUUCUACAAUCAAUAGUAGCAUAGUACCGCGCCAGCCAAUCCAUACCGAGCACGAUGUCGAAGUCCUGCAGCUGCCCUAAUACCAACAGGUCUGCGGGCAUGAUCCACGAAUCUAACUGCACCGGACACGACCAACAACGCUCUGCAUCCUGUAAAACAUGAUCGGGAAUCUGCAUCUCUCGUACCUGUAACAAUGUCCCUAACUCUAGACCAUGCAACAAUGCAAAUGCUCGGCUAACAAAAGAAUGCGAGGCUCCAGUAUCAAAAGAGUACGAGUACGAAUGCCGGAGAUCAAAGUGAUACCUGCCACCACUCGAUCGGCUACUGUAGAGUCCUCUACCUGUGCUGCAUAAACUCUGCCACUCAGAGCCUGCUGUCGCCGCUCACCCUGCUGGAUCCUCUUCAAAUCCUCCUCGAUCUUCUGUUUCAUGCUGUUGGGGAAAUACAUCCCAUACAGCAUUCCAUAGAACUCAUCCCACCUCAACAAUCCAGGCCUCAGUGCCUCUGCCAUCGAAGAUCGGUGGGUCAAAUUGCCGAAAACGAGCUAACCUCUCCGUCCACUGCUCCUGCUCGGCCUCAGUCAACGGUACUGGCCCCCUAGCAGGCGCAACUGGCGCUACUGGAACUGCUGCCGACGGAGGAACUGCUGCAGCUGGUGCGGUCACUGGAGUAGUCGGGGGUGGCACUGGCAACUCUGGUACUCUCGGUGCUGAACUCUGGGGCGAGGCUAACCUCUCGCACAUCCUCUCCAACAACUCCCCCUGCCGCCUCGUCACCUCUGUCAGGGCGGCUAACUGUGCACUCAGAUCUGGGGAUGCACUCACCUCUAGUCGUGCACUCUGCUCUACAACUGAGGGUGCACUCACCUCUGGUGGUGCACUCGGCUUUGCCUGCUCAGGCAUCUCGGAAGGUCCCGCAUGAUCCUGCGACAACUGGGCACGCUCCCGUAACGACGGUCGACCUCGGCGAUAAUACAUAGCUGAAAGAAACAGAUCGGGGUUAGAUAAAACACAAACACUCUCGAACCAAUCAACGAAAGUCUGGAAAGGCGGCCCCUGUUUUCCUCCAAAAUUAUGUCGUCUGCAGCCAACAUAAUUUCUCAGGGCAAAACAGGAACUCCUUCAGUCACUCACCCCCACUCUAGGAGGAGUUAGAACAAUUAAUCAUUGACUUUCGCAAUAAAUUACGCCUCUCGCGUCUUGCCUUCCUAAGGUUUGCCAAACUUAGAUUNAGUUUAAAAAAUUUAACUGCAAACUUGUGAAGUUUAGAUAUGCAUGCUUGUCUUUGCAUUCAUUCAUACUCAAACUACUCCAUGGAGCAUUUUCUGUAAGAUUUGAGGUUUCAAUGUACAUGCAUGCCACAUGGGGCAGUUAUGAUGUAAAAUAAUCAAGCAUUCGAAGGACACUGAAACUCCCCCCAAAAAAAUAAAUGUAUGUAAGAGUAAGUCAAACAACACAGUUUCUACAAAUCAAGUUGUUGCAUGAAUAAUUGCAUAUAGCAUUUACUUUAGAGCGCGAAUUUGAGUUUUAGUGACGAGAAAGAGUAAAAGAAAAACAUUAAAUAAAUGACAACAUGCACUUUAGAAGAAUUCAUACAAAACACGUAUAAAACUCAAUAUGAUACCCGAAAAAUGAAAUUGGUGCAGGAAAUAAGAUCAAACUUAACCGGAACCAAAAAUAAAUUCAAGUUAUAUCUCUAAUACAUUACCAACCCUAGAACAGCAUGUAAGAUUAGGAAGAAAGUUGGAUUUCAAAAAUGGGUUUUAGUUCAUCUCAUAGAGACAUAACAAAAUAAGGAAAGUCGGAAACUCGGAAAUGAAAAUUGCACAAAAGUGUAUAUAAACCUGGACCUUUUUAAGGCACUCAGCUUGGUACAAUCCGAAAAUCGUGCAUCCACUCAGAAGCCGAAAGAGAACAGAGAAGAGUUUAGUGAAUCAAACCUGCAGCCGAUAGGAUUAAUAUAGGGAAAGAGCAGUAAUUUGAACAUUUACAGGUGAUAGGCACAACAAGGAUGCGUUCUAAACGGCAAACAUUAAACAACAGCAUAAAUCAUUACUUGUCGAACUUAAGGCACAAAUUUCGAUAUUAAGCACAAACUACAGCAUUUUGUGUAGAAUGCUUGAAACUUAAGCACAAAGUUGAGGGUGAACAUAGAAAACUUGUAGCUACUGUGUAAAAAAAAUUCAAGCAAAGUAUCGAACUAAAACUCAAAUUCGCUCUCUAAAGUGAAUGCUAUAUGCAAUUAUUCAUGCAACAACUUCAGCUAGAUCUAAUUAAUGCAAGUUUACAAUGACAUGUGCUAAGGUACUAAGGUUAACAUGUACAAUUGCAUUAGAACACCACAGCUUGGUACAAUCCGGAAAUUGUGCAUCCACCCAGAAGCGGAAAGAGAAAAGAGAAGAGUUUAAUGAAUCAAACCUGCAGCUGGCAGGAUUAAUAUAGGGCAAGAGUAGUGAUUUGAACAUUUACAGGUGAUAGGCACAAUAAGGAUGCGUUCUAAACGGCAGUGAAGAAGGUUUCGGUUAGUUGAGACACAUAGCCAAGCCCCUAAUCAUGUAAAGUAGAAUUUAUAUUUACGGUGGUUGCUGAAGUUUAGAUAGGAUUUGAAGGUAAAAGUUUUCGCUCACUACAUCAGAAAAAUUGAAAAUCGCCAAAUUCCGCACCCGUUCACAGUAUUUCACAUGAUUUACUCAGGAUGGAAGGCUUGUUAAGCUACACAUGUAGUUAUUAUACUAUGGCAUUAUCAGAUUUCCAGCUUUAAAUCCCCCUACAUGGCAUUUUGAUUGUGCAGGCAAUAGUUAGCAGUGAAAAAAAUCAAAGUUACAAAUGUGCAUAAGAGCAACAAUAAAAACAUAGUUUUGCUAAAUACCAACAGCCGAAUCACCAAGAGAACCCCUGCUUCUCUCCCAUAAACAGCAGGAACCAAAAAAAUUAAGCAUAAAAUCAAUGGUUCCCCGUAAACAACGGGAACAAAAAAUUGAAGCAUAAAAUCAAUGCUUGCAAGAAAAAUGAGAAGCUCCAUAAUAAAUUAGGCUGUGGAAAUCACACCAAACAGCAUACAUGAAUGGAGAUGCAAAUAAAUAAAUAUACUCUGCUUAGACUCUCCUAGCCAUCGAAUAUUAUUAGAUUGGUGCCGAAGCCUUCUUGCUUAGUAGUGCUUAUUGAGUUUGAACCCAUAUGUAUGACGAAACCAUCCUUAGCACAAAUGAGAGCAGCCGGUUGCCUAAGAAGUAGGCCAUCCAAAGUACCCUCAUAACAAACCAAGAAGGGCCACGACCCUCUUAAUUAUCGCAGCCAUCUAAUAUUUAAGGCAGAGGUCAUCAUAUCAUGGGGGAAAAGAGGGGUAACAAUAAAAAAAACAGCGGAAAGCUGCGAAUUUGCAUAAGAGAAGAAUAUAAAGUUGGCUUUGCUAAACACUGACAGUCUAAUUACCAAGAGAACCCCAGUUUAACCCCCGUUAAAAAAAAAAAACAAAAAAAUGAAGAACAAAUUCGCUGACCGAAAUAUAAAAUUAAUGCUUCCAAGAAAGAUGAAAAGCUUCAUAAAAAAUCAGCAUGCGAAAAAUCAUACAAAACAACAUAUAUGAAUGGGUCUAGUAAACAACGAAAAUUGAAAAUUGAAGCAUAAAAUCAUUGACCGAAGUAUGAAAUCAAUGCUUCCAAGAAAAAUGAAAAGCUCCAUAGUAAAUCGGCUUGUAAAAAUCAUACCAAACAACAUACAUGAAUGGGUAUGGAAAUAUAGAAAUAUACUCUGCUCAAACUCCCCUGGUCAUCAAAUAUUAUGAGACUGGCGGCGAAGGCUUCUUGAUUCACAUUUAACUGACUAAUUGUCCAAUCGCUCCUUCUUAAAACUUGUCCAAUAAUGCCUGUAAGAAGCAUUAUUGCUUAUUUGGAUUAUGCAACAACCGUGACCUAGUUUUGGGAGAUUCAGACUAAUAGUUCUAACCUGCUUAUUUGUUGUGUGACCAGGUUCAGGAUCGAGGCGAAAGCUUCAGGAUCAUCUUCCAACUUCUUUAUUACACGAUUGGUUUAUAAAGAGAAAUAAAUCUCCGGUGUUUUUAGAUCAUUUUCGUAGGCAAUCUAAAGUUAUAAUAUUACUUUUCAUGACUGUAAAUUCGGAGGUCAAGAUUGCAUUGUGCAUCCAUAUUAUUAAGAUCUCCUCGAGAAUUUUGACUCCAUGUAAGCAUUUCACAUACUUUGGUGCAUAGGUUGAUAAGCACAUUAGUAGCUUCACUUAGUUUUGCAAAGGAUGCUAAAAGUAAAAAAUGAUGGUUUUUUUUUUUUUUUAUUUGUAAUGCUAUUUUGAAACAAUUCAUGAGCUUAAAACCUCUAGGCAUCUUAUCGUCAGUUUUAUGAGAGCCUCAUAUUGUAGACCUAUAAGCCUCAAAUAAGGUUUUCUUGCCAAGUUUGUGAAUACUAUUAUACUUAAUUGUAAUGUAUUCAACAUUAUAAACAAUACACAUAUAGAAGGAUGGCGUAAUUUAUUUAGUAGGCAGCUUUAUUCUUUUAGACAGAUCAUCUCAUAUCAACUGCAACUUUCAGUAUUUUGUGCAAUGCUGUCUUACUAGAUCAAAAAUUUGCCUAAUGUUCACUGUUUUCAAGUCGAUUUGACUGCAAGGUUUAUGAUGAUAGAUAAUCAUAGUGAUUUCUACAUAGCAACAAUUUCUUGUUUAUCAACAUUACCUAAGCAUGCUACCUGUAAUAUAGAGAAAUACUGGUGUUCUCCAAUGUAUGCAAGUUUGACUAAUAUUUAAUAUUUAAUUGUCAUGGGCUCAAUAUGAAAGAUACAACAUCUAUUGUUUUAUUUUUCUUUGAAAAAUGACAUUGAAGUUUUGUUCCCACCGCCUUGUCAAAUGGUUUUCAGUUUAAAAAAUUUAACUGCAAACUUGUGAAGUUUAGAUAUGCAUGCUUGUCUUUGCAUUCAUUCAUACUCAAACUACUCCAUGGAGCAUUUUCUACAAGAUUUGAGGUUUCAAUGUACCUGCAUGCCACAUAGGGCAGUUAUGAUGUAAAAUAAUCAAGCAUCCGAAGGACACUGAAACUCCCCCCCCAAAAAAUAAAUGUAUGUAAGAGUAAGUCAAACAACACAGUUUCUACAAAUCAAGUUGUUGCAUGAAUAAUUGCAUAUAGCAUUUACUUUAGAGAGCGAAUUUGAGUUUUAGUGAAGGAAAAGAGUAGAAGAAAAUUAUUAAAUAAAUGACAGACAUGCACUUUAGAAGAAUUCAUACAAAACACAUAUAAAACUCAAUCUUAUACCUGAAAAAUGAAAUUGGUGGAGAAAAUAAGAUCAAACUUAACCGGAACCGAAAAUAAAUUCAAGUUCUUUCUCUAAUACAUUACCAACCCUAGAACAACAUGUAAGAUUAGGAAGAAAGUUGGAUUUCAAAAAUGGGUUUUAGUUCAUCUCAUAGAGACAUAACAAAAUAAGCAAAGCCGGAACUCGGAAACGAAAAUUGCACAAAAGUGUAUAUAAACCUGCACCUUUUUUAGGCACUUACACCCAAAAAAUCUCCGUAAAAAAAAGGGAAAAAACAAAUUUGUAAAACAGAGGUUUUAAUAUACAUGUUCGGAAGAUUUGGGUACAAAAAAUAGGACCAAUUCAGCUUAAAACAGACAUUUUUUUAACCUCUGUAGGUUAGAACUGUUCGAACAUCAACUAACUAUCCAAAUCAUCACAUGCUGAACUAAAGCAAGUAAAACAUUAAGCAGCUAUCUGAACGAUUACUUGCCGAACCUAAAUAUAAAAAGUAGAGCAUCCAAACAUCCAACCGUAGUAUAAAAUGAAUGCUUGCAAGAAAGAUGUAAGGCUCUAUAUUAAAUCAGCUUGUGCUUAGACUCCCCCCGACCUUUGAACAUUAUUAGAUUGGCACGGAAGCUUUCCUAAUUAAUAGUGCAAAAGAUGUAAGGCUCCAUAUUAAAUUAGCUUAUGCUCAGACUCUCCCUAACAAUCGAACAUUAUUAGAUUGGCACAGAAGCUGUAACGCUCCGAGCUCGAUCCUUUUGGCCGGUUCGAGUGCGUCGAGCAGACGCCGAACGGACAGAACCUCCCCUAUCCGCCCAAGGUUCAACAACAGGUACAAAUAGAGUAUAAAAUUUGCACUUGCGGAAGCAUAUAUAAUGGCUUGCACGGGGGCAAGCAAUAGCCAAAGUGAAAGUGCUAACUAAUCAACAUACAAGUACUAUGAUUAAAUAUAAAUCAUAUACAUGCAUACUACUUUAACCAAAUUCUUUUACAACUUUGCAUCAUUUCUUUUAUACAUCACAUAUUCCUCAAAAUACAACCAUUUGCAUUUAAAAUGUAAUCCUUUACAUCAUUCAUUUAAAUAUCUUUGAUACAACUAAAAUCAUCAAAUACAAAAGAUGAUGUAUAAGGGUAUGCAACUAAACCAAAAUAAGAAACCAUCUCGGGUGGUCUCUAUCUAGGGCGCGAUGCCCUUACCGCGAUCGUCUGCCGGCUCGCUCGGUCCGGGCUCUGUGAAAAAUGGGGUGUAAGAACUACAACAAAGUUCCUAGUGGGUUCGGCAACCAACCACGCCGACUUUCCCACUAAGUCUAAAUCAGGCAUAAUAGAGGAAAAGAGAUAUAGAUAGUAACCAAACUAUACAAAUGCAGCUAAUAUGCCUGAACAAUACUCAAUGCAAUGCUCAAUAGUAUGCUCAUGAUGAAUGCAAGAUCACAAUCUCAUUGCCUAAUCUCUUGGCUAACCCGUAGGUUUCGCCCUCAACAACUCACUAACCAAAUCCCUACUAUCGGGGAGAUACCCGCUACAACCCGACGGGACUGUCUUCUAGGGAGAUACUCGCUACGACCCAGUGAUGACAACUCCGGAGCACAUCGCCGGAGGGGGAGCUACCACCCUCGAGCAAGGACUUACAGGUGAGUAUGAUCCAAUCCUUAACUAUAAGGAAAUCAAGUCCAAUCCAUUUCUUAACUAUAAGGAAACAAUGCACAUAUGACCCUUAACUCUAAGUUUGUUAUGUCAUAAUGUCACUACCUUUGUAUACUUGCAUUCGUUAACCUUCACUAGUGUCAUAUACACUACUUUGUUCUUGUACUCAUUCACUAAUGCCACACUUGUUUUCUAAGUAUUCAACUCUAGCACUCUUGACUCAUCAAUACCAUUUUCUACAUUCAUGUCCACAUGUCACAUUUGUUCUCUAAAUACACUAAGUUCUUGUCAUUUAUCAUGCAUACGUAGGGUUAUUAAAAUUCUCACAUGCAUUUGAACUCACAACAUGCAAAAAGAAGCUUACAAUUACCCUACUAUGAAAUAUGCUCAAAUACAUACAUAUGCUCAAAUAUGACACUUUAGACAUAAAUGGAAUUCCGAGGUCCUUGGUAUGCACUAUCCACCUUGUAUGGUUGCAAAGGUGCUACGGUAAAUUUCUUGAAAUUUUCGAAGCCCUAUUUUCUCGCCUGCGGCAAAAUGAAACCAAAUUAGGCUUUUAUACUUAGAACUCCUACAUAGGCUUUUCGUAAUAUCAAACUGAGUUGCCCAACGUGUUCGGUUGAUCCCCAAUUAGGUUUCUAUACGGCCAAUUUGCCUUAGAAAUAUACGAAAACAAAAGCCCCAACUUUGGUAUAACAUACCAGAUUUUGGUAUAAAAAUAAAAAUAAAUAAAAAUAGUGUGAGAUACUAUUUUUAUUGAAUUUAGAGAGGUAAAAUAUAAGUCAGAAAUGACUUGUGCUGAAAUCAGAAUGAAAGUAGAAGAUUUAGAAUUUUCUGUACGAAACGAGACUGAUAUUUCAGCAGAAAAUGCAGUGUCAGAAAAUUAUGAAAACUGGAGAAUAUGUCGGAAUUAUUUUUGUGAGACUAGAUUUAAAGUUUCAUGUCAAUCCGACACCCGGAAGGUUGAAAAUAAAAUCCGACUGCUAUCUGCCAGAAAUUACAGUUCGGUAGAGCUCUCGGUGACCAAAUAUGGUCGAAACUGAAAGAUUAAAAAAAAUUUUGUACUUAUUAAGUAAAACCGAACCUGACUGUCAAAUUUGAGUACAAACGGACAUUCAGAAGGGCUCCAGCAAAAAACGUCAGUUUGUAUCUGCUAAACUGAUGUGAAUAGUGUAUUGUUGAGGGGACUUUGUGUAAAACCAGCACUAGCCUUCUUCUCCUCCCUCAACCGUGCAGCCACAACACUCACGCACACACACGCAUACAUGGAGGGGGAGAGAAACCUCCCUUUCUCUCUCUAGAUCUCUUCCAAAAAUGAAGGAUUUGGUGGAGAUUGAAGCUUCGAAGUGAAUCAUCUUCAUCUUCUUCAUCUUUUCCUUGGUUUGGAGCAAGCUUUAAGGUGAGCUUCUUGAACCCUUCUCAUGGUAGAUCUUUAGAGCUUUAUUCAUAUGCUCUAGGAAUGGGUUUAGAGGACUCCCUAGGUGAUAACAACAUGCUAUUUGCUUGAAUCAUAAAUCAAUUUGGAGAUUUAUUGCAAUAGUAGCAUGUUAGGGUUCAAAAUAGGGUUUUUGUAAAAUGUUUGGGUUUGAUCUAAAUUAACCCUACGUAAACCCAAUUGCUAGGUAUACGAACGCAUUGGCAAAGUCUGUUCGGCGAUUCGUCGAGCCUAUGCGAAGAUAUUAAGAAAACGGACGUUUCGGCUUCGUUUCCGCCUAGAGGGCCGAGCCGACGUCCAAAAAUCACGAAAACGAAUCCGGAGCAUCGUGGCAUCAAGUUAUAGACCUUCAAUUUCCGAAUCGUGGAUUGGUGGUCAUUUGGGUGGUCGCGCGGAAGUUUGGGCCGAACCGGGUCACGGGUGCCGCGGGAGGCCGAUUGCAAGUGACUACAAGCAAUCGGAGAGCGUUACGAGGUGGGUUGUGCUCACCGAAGAUAUUAGCUCGAGCGUUGUUUAUUAUUGAUGCAUAUAAUAGUAGCUAGUUGAAGAAUGGUAAAUGUAUAAGAAAUAUGCUAAGUGAAUGCAUGAAAAUGAUACUAUAAGAAUGCAUAAAAUGUUAUAUGAAUGCAUGUCAUAGAGGUUAUAUGAAUGCAUGAAAGUGAUACUAUAGAAAGGCAUGUUGGCAUAGUUUGGAUUAUGCUAGAUGAUGNUGCAUGUCAUAGAGGUUAUAUGAAUGCAUGAAAGUGAUACUAUAGAAAGGCAUGUUGGCAUAGUUUGGAUUAUGCUAGAUGAUGUAUAUAUGUGUAUUGAUAUAUCAUGAGAUACUAGUUGAUAUAUGUGCAUGAUGACAUAUUGUGAAUUAACAUAUUGUGGAUUAUGUUAAAUGGAAAUAUAUACAUGAUGACAUAUUACAUAUGAUUGAUGAACUAUGCAUGUUGACAUAAAGAGGAUUAUGUUAAUUGACAUUUGCAUGUUGAACUUGGGUCGAUAAACUCUAGGUGAAUUAGAGAACUCGACAUUGGAAAAUAAGGANUUUCACUUCUUUUAUUUGUUCUAUCUCCUGCUUUACUUCCGCUUUUAUUGUAGACGCCUUAUAUGUGUAGACAUAUGGCGGGUCUGGGCACGCUACCGGGAGGGCCUUCGCCGGUCCCGGGGCGUGACAAUUGUGGUAUUUGACAUAACAAUGAGAACAUAGAGACAUUGUAGAAUUUGACAUAACAAUGAGAACAUAAAGACAUUGUGGCAUUUGUGGCAUUGUGGCUUGUGGCUAUACAUUCCCAAAUUGGGAAUUAGAUCAUACUCACAUUGAGUCUUGGCUUGAGGGUGGUAGCGCCCCCUCAAACAGUGCAUUCCGGAAUUGACACCACGGGGAGGGCGGUCCCCGAAGACGGUCCCUCGGGUCUUUGUAGUGCUUAGAGCGUCCCCGAACAAAAGGGAUUUCGGGUUGUGAGUUUUUGGGGUUAACAAGUGUUAACCGGUAAGAUUGGGUAAAAGCCAAAGUGAAUGUAGAGAAGCAUGCAUUAUGAGUUAUGGAUUUGGUAUCCUAGUCGAGUUGAUUUAGGGCUGGGGUGUAUGUGAGACGUCCAUCACCUCGAGCCCGGUUGUAUGCGGUAUUCCGCAGAUGAUUGACUCGAGGCCGAGUCGGGUGGUUAGCUUGGCUAAGGUAGAGGAAAACCUUAGGAGCAAAUAACGAAUAAUGUAAAAUGACAAGAUGUAUAAAUUGUGGAAAAGCUACGGAUAGCGGGAUAAAGAGUAGAAUCAAAUGAUCUACUUGCAUUGUUGCAUACAUUACAUAUUGCAUGUCUUGAGGCAUAAACAUGUAUUUAAUAUUGCAUUAAAUAUUUGUGGAUAUCUGUUGGACUAACAUGUUUACAGUGCCUCCUUUGGACCUGGUGGGUCGAGCUUUUCCCUUGGGUGGCCGUACCUACUGAAAACUAUGGACAAUAGUUCUCACCCCCGUAUUGUUUUUGGGGGUACAGGUUCUGUAACACACUGGAUCUUUGCAAAUAGCGAGGUCGAGUGUCUGGUUUGUGUUCCGAGCAGUUCCACCUUUUGUGGGAGGCCGUUGACAGUGUCCCGACCUAUGGUUCGAGUCCCGAGAAUCGUGGUUUAAAGCUGUGCACCAAAAUCCAAAAAGUUGGAUUUUUUGCCAGCUCUCGGGUAGCCUUCAGCAGGCUGUGUACCGGUACGGCUUCGCUUGCUGUACCAGUACGGGAUUGAUGGCUGUACCGGUACGGGCUCGUGUACCGGUACGCAGAGCAUUUUCCAGCCAACCCGAGGCUCGGGUUUGGCUAUUCGUGGGUUGUGUAUCGGUACAUAAACCCGUGUACCGGUACACAGUGCAUAUUGGGGCUGUUACGUGGAGGGGUGUUUUUACAAUUGUUGCAACACCUAUAUAAGUGACCCCAGUCCCCUUAGACAGGGUUUCGAGCCCUAGUCUGUGGAGACAAGGUGAGACUCUCCCCCUUUGAGUUUUCUUUCCAUUUUUGAUGGAUUUUGGUAGGUUUUGAUCUCUCCUCCUUGCUUUUCUUGCUUCUUAUUCGGUUUCCUCCAUGAGAGAAGCCUUGAGCUCGGGAUUGGAGCUUUGUGGAGGGAGGAUCUUCAACCCCAUUUGAAUUGGAGCCUAGUUUGGAGCUUCUAGAGAGGUUAUGUAACACACUGGACCUUUGCAAAUUGUGAGGUUCGAGUGAUUGGCCGUGUCUGAGCUUUCCAGAUUUUCUGGUGGGUCGUUGACUGUGUUCCGACCUAUGGCACGUGUCCCGAGAUUUGUGGUACAAAGCCUUGCACCAAAAAUACGAAAAAACGGGAUUUGGCUGACUCUCGGAUUGAGUUCUGGUGGGCUUGUAUCGGUACAAGGAUGUGCUUGUACCGGUACAAGGUUGAUGGUUGUACCGGUACAGAGCCGCAGAGCCCAGCGACCCGAGCCUCGGGUUUGGAUUUCGUGGGCCUUGUACCGGUACAAGGGCCCGUGUACCGGUACAAGGCGGCAGAUUUUGAGCAGUUUGAAACUGCAGGGGCUUUUUCGCGAUUGUAGCCUCUCUAUAACAGCACCCUCGCCCCUUAGGGCUUUUCUUGUGCUGGAACCACAGGGAAACAAGGUGAAGAGCCCAUCCAUUCCCUCUUUUUGAUUUUCCUUAGUUUUAUUGGAGAUUUUUGAGGAUUAAUGCCUCAUUUUGCUUCUUGUUGCAUCUUGGAGGCUUUUACCACCAUUGGAGAGGACUUGGAGCUUUGAUAGAGGCUUGUUGGAGGAAAGAUCUUCCACCCCAUUUGAUUUGGAGCCCAAGUUGAGACUUCUAGAGAGGUUAGCAACAUGAUUUGAGCUUUUGUUCCAUGNUUGUGUACCGGUACACAAACCCGUGUACCGGUACACAGUGCAGGUUGGGGCUAUUACGUGGAGGGGUGUUUUUGCAAUUGUUGCAACACCUAUAUAAGUGACCCCAGCCCCCUUAGACAGGGUUUUGAGCCCUAGUCUGUGGAGACAAGGUGAGACUCUCCCCCUUUGAGUUUUCUUUCCAUUUUUGAUGGAUUUUGGUAGGUUUUGAUCUCUCCUCCUUGCUUUUCUUGCUUCUUAUUGGGUUUCCUCCAUGAGAGAAGCCUUGAGCUCGGGGUUGGAGCUUUGUGGAGGGAGGAUCUUCAACCCCAUUUGGAUUGGAGCCUAGUUUGGAGCUUCUAGAGAGGUUAUGUAACACACUGGACCUUUGUAAAUUGUGAGGUUUGAGUGAUUGGCUGUGUUCUGAGGUUUUCCAGAUUUUUCUGGUGGGUCGUUGACUGUGUUCCGACCUAUGGCACGUGUCCCGAGAUUUGUGGUACAAAGCCUUGCACCAAAAAUCCGAAAAAACGGGAUUUGGCUGACUCUCAGAUUGAGUUCUGGCGGGCUUGUACCGGUACAAGGUUGUGCUUGUACCGGUACAAAGUUGAUGGUUGUACCGGUACAGCCAUCGGAGCUUGUACCGGUACACAGCCGCAGAGCCCAGCGACCCGAGCCUCGGGUUUGGAUUUCGUGGGCCUUAUACCGGUACAAGGGCCCGUGUACUGGUACAAGGCGGCAGAUUUUGAGCAGUUCGAAACUGCAGGGGCUUUUUCGCGAUUGUAGCCUCUCUAUAACAGCACCCUCGCCCCUUAGGGCUUUUCUUGUGCUGGAACCACAGGGAAACAAGGUGAGGAGCCCAUCCAUUCCCUCCUUUUGAUUUUCCUUGGUUUUAUUGGAGAUUUUUGAGGAUUAAUGCCUCAUUUUGCUUCUUGUUGCAUCUUGGAGGCUUUUACCACCAUUGGAGAGGACUUGGAGCUUUGAUAGAGGCUUGUUGGAGGAAAGAUCUUCCACCCCAUUUGAUUUGGAGCCCAAGUUGAGACUUCUAGAGAGGUUAGCAACAUGAUUUGAGCUUUUGUUCCAUGUUUUGCUAAGUUUUUGAGAUGGAAUCUUAGAUUUGAUACUUAGGGUUUGAUUUUGGGCAUUUUAAAUCUAGGGCUUUUGGAGCUAGAUUGUUUGGAUUAGAACCUUCCUUGGGCUUGGAUUGAAAGGGAUUUAGCUCUCUUUUAGAGUUUCAGAGAGAUUUCCUACACAUUAGGUGAGUUUUAGCCGUUUUGCUAAGUUUGUUAAAGUUUGAUCUUAUAGUUGAUCGUAAUGCCCGUGUAUCUCUUCGCUCAAUACUUUUAGGGUAUUUUGAGACUCGUGGACAACUUCGUUUGGCGAAACGAGGCCCUACGCGACGGUUCGGUGGGUUUGACCUAGCCACACAAUGAGAAAUUCUCAUUUGUGAUGAAUUAAGUAUCGUUAAUUGAAAAAGCGUGCAUAAUCAUGUUAGAUAUAUUUAUUGUGAAUUUUAGGAUGCUUAAUAUGCCUAUGUUAUGUGUAAGGAAAGUUCGGACCUCCAUAUAGUAGAGAACUAGCAUGUGGUACUCGCAUAUGUUUGGCAUCCUAUUGAGACUUGGAAUCAUAAAUCCUAUUGUGAAAAUGAGCAUCUUUUGUAUGCAUUUAAAGUUAUUCCUAUAUUGAACUGAAAGGUUCUUAGUAAGCCAUAAAGAGGCUCGGGGACUUGUGCUAUUUGUGAAUAAUUGGGCUAAUGUCAUAAAGGGGCAUCGAGCUCGGGUCAUAUGUGAACCUAGCGGAUAGUGCCAUUGAGAGAGUUGGAUAUACUUGUUCAUUAAAAUGUCUAAAUGUCAUAAAGGGGCACAAGACUUAGUAGUAUUGGAACUUCAUGUUGUGACUUAAACUAGAUCUUCGGGAUGCUAGCGACUAUACCAUGUUAGAGACAUGAGGAUUGGAUACGUGAGACUUGGACUAUGCUUGCUUGCCAUUUGUGCUCAUUCGCAUAUGCUUGUGAGGGUCGCUCCCUACAAGCGGGCACUCCGGAGUUAGCCUACGCGACUUUUGUUCGCUCGUGCGGUAUUGAGAAGCCUACGGGGUCGAGUGGGACAGACACAUUCCAAGAGUAGGGAUGUCGGGUUUAACCACAGGCACUUAGGCGGCACAUAGCUGGACUACCUUGGUAGGUCCGCUAAUUGAAAUGGAAACCGACAUCAAUGUUGAGUGGUGUGAUAAUACACUACUAAAGCAAGAGCUAUAGCUGGAAUUACUUGGACUUAGGCUUCUUAGCAUAUUGGAACAUUUGGUAUCUCAACAUAACAUGUAGUAAUGCUAGGAGAUGUUGUUUAUUAGCAUCAUUUAAAUGCAUUGUAGCCAUUGACAAAGUAUCACUUUCAUAUGGGUAUAAAUAAGUAAAUCAUUAAUAUUACUUGUGAACAUGUAGAUAUAUAUUAUCCACGACAAGAUAAAAGUCGCAUUAUAUAACCAUGUUUAAUUGCUAAGAUUUGUUUUUUUUUUUUUUUUUUUUUGUGUUUUUUGUAGCUUAGUAUCCUUAAUUAUGCUUUCUUUUAGGCAUAUUACUCGUUACCUGAUACUGUGGAGCUUCCCCUUUUCCUUUGGCGGCCUAGUGGAGGCAAUGAGUUGAGGUCAUUAAUUGCCCAACUGGGGAACUAUAUAAUUAUAGUUCUCACGCCGCCUCUUUUUCUCAUGCUGUUUUUUUCAUCGAAGCCUUCACUGGCAGGGUGAGGCCAGGAUCGUGGAAAUAUCAUAAGGGAUGUUGCUUCGAGCCCUAUGCUCCUUCGAGGACGUAGUUGCAGGUGUCUACCUCUCGAUAUAUAUUAUUUUGAUUUUUACGACGAGGUGAGGGUUUUACACAGUGGACUAAACCACCAUUUUUGUACUUUCUGAACUGAUAGUGGUACUACUUAUGGUUUCUUUUAUUUCUAGGCUUAUUUUCUUUACUUUGGUGUAGAUCGAUAGAAACUUUACUCGCUCUGAUAUAUUAGUUGCUAUUACUUUCCACUUCUUCAUUUGUUCUGUCUCUGCUUACUUCCGAUUAUAUUGUAGCGCACCUUAUAUGGUGUAGAACAUAGAUGGUCGGCGUCUGGGCACCGCUUCGGGCAGGGCGCUCCGCUCGGUCCCGGGGCGUGGACAGGUUACGUAAGCAUGUAUUUCCCGCUUUUGGUGCAUGUUUGAUGUUCUUUUGAUUGAAACCCUAGAUUUGGAUAUUAGGGUUAGAAUGGGGUUAUUUCAGAUUGAGGCUUUGAAACCAAAAUUGAUGGUUUAGAACCUUCCGUUUCAGUGUAGGUUGAAGACUCUAGCUCCAUUUGGAGAUCGAGAGAGCUUUACCUCUCAUCGUGAGUUUUCUGCAACCCUAGCCCGAAAUUGUAUGCAUUGAGCAAUCCGUUUGUUCGUGUCCGUUGGGUAACGAUUGUUUCCUACAUGCCCUUAAAAGGUACUAGGAGCUAGUGAACACCUUUCUUUCGACGAAACGAUUAGAGUUCAAAAANNNNNNNNNNNNNNNNNNNNNNNNNNNNNNNNNNNNNNNNNNNNNNNNNNNNNNNNNNNNNNNNNNNNNNNNNNNNNNNNNNNNNNNNNNNNNNNNNNNNCGCGGCUGUUGAUGCACAGGGAUAGUAGGGUUAGGAGUUUCCACGAAGCCCUAGGUUCCAACACACAGUACUAUAAAUGUGGCAAUACGCAUAUAGCACUCUAAUAAGAAAUUUCCUAUCCAGCCCUCACAACGCUGUGAAAUAUGCGCGAAUACACCUCACAAACAAAUUCACGGGAAACGGCCCACAUAAACAAUUCCACUUUUUGCGAAAUUACCCUUUUUCACAGCCGACCUCUCCUCGAUCAACGCGGCGAUCCGAAUGAUUUCCGCCGGUCAGAUUGCGAACGGGAGCUAUGCACCCAGUGCGGAUCAGCACUCGGAGACCAAACAAAACUACGAUUUUGGUUCCCACGAUCGACACGGAUUCACGACAAAAUCCAAACUAUUCUUUCCAAAUAGAAGGAAAUAAACAUAAAGGAACAUAUUAACAAUGUAUUUUUGGAUGUUUCUCGAAAUCCAGGUGCAUCACUCAAAUCCUCAGCCCUAGUAGUCUCAGAAUACUUGAACGCCGGUCCGAAACGAGCUAUUGAUCGGUCGCUAGGAACGGAUAGGUCCGAUACACGUUAGAAAGCAAAACUCUACUCCGUGGCAUUCACCGAAACCGAGUUUAUAUUCACUAAAGAUGAAAAAUAAUAUGCGACGUAUACUUCUCCGUUUAGCUCAUUUUCUCCUGAAACUUGACGAGUUGCUUAGUAAUUAUAAAUUUUCACCAUAAACAUCGUUCAACAGAGAAGUUUAGUGUUGCACUGUGUAAAACCUCCAGUCGUCUUACAUAUAUAUAAUAUUAUAGAUUAUAUACAUAUAUAUAUGCAUAUAUAUGUAUAUAUGUAGAUAUAUGUAUAUAUAUAUAAUAUUAUAACAUAUAUCUACUAUAUACAGCAAUUUAUAUUAAUAUAACAUAUAUACAAUAUUACAUAUAUACACAUAUAAUAAUUAUAUUUAUAUAUUACAGUAUAAUAUAUUUAUACUAUAUAGGUGAGCCUGCGAAUGCUAUCGUAGCAAAUGGGUUCAGUUGCCACGCGUUUGUUUUUAUGUUGCGAGCCUUUCAAAUCGACGAUUGGCACCGUUGAACAUGAUUCUAUAUCACUUUGAAGUAUUAGAAAAUCAAUUGCUAAUCGGUUUUCGACAUCAUUGACCUAAAUGAUCAAAGGCCGGAUUGGCGUUUUAAAUUUGUAAUUUUAUAGGGUCGAUAUGAGCGUUUUCUCGCGUUUAACGCGUAUAAGCUAUCCAAAUCAUUGAAUUUGGGUUUAGAAAAUUGUUUUAAUAACUAUUUUAGACCAUAUCUAAUACUCUUGAUCUUGUAUUACAAGAAUUCUAUUAUCACUUUUUAGAGACUAUUUAUUUUCAGCCGUUUCAUCUUUUACGCACUGAUGAAUACAAGGAACAAUAUCGAAAAAUUAAUGAAAUUUGAUUUCUAGAUAUUUCAAGUGGUAUAAUCAUUUUCAAGGUUACUGAACGCGACUUAUGGCUCCAUAUCCGAAACAACAUGGGUUGGCAACGGAACCCGUUAUGCUAAGCCGAUAGUAUGUCAAGCUCAACUCUACUCUCUUAGUUAUAUAUAUAUAUUAUAUAUAUAUAUAUAUUAUAUAUAUAUAAUAUAUAACAUAUACAUAUAUAAUUAUAUUAUUAUACACAACAGAUAUAUAUAUAUACAAAUACAUAACAUAUAUAUAUAAUCAUAAUAUACAAUACAUGAUUAACAAAAUACUAUAAUACAAUUACAUAUAUGUAUAAUACAUAAUCAUUACAUUAUAUAAUAUACAUUAUACAUACAUAUUAUAGUAUAUAUAUAACUAUAGUAUAUUAUAUAUAUAUUAUUAUAUAUAUAUAUAUUGUGUAACAAACUGCACCUUUACAAAUAGCGAGAUUCGAAUGUUUGAUCUGUGUUCCGAGCUUUACCAGAUAUUCUGGAGGGUCAUAGACAGUGUUCCGACCUAUGACUCGCAUCCCGAGAAUUGAGGUUUAAAGCUUGUACCAAAAUUCAAAAAGAUGGAUUGUUGGUCCUGCUCUCGAGUCAGCCUUAGCCAGGCUGUGUAAGUUGUACCGGUACAGGAUUUGUACCGAUACACCUUGAUGGUUGUACCGGUACAUUAUGGGUUUUCUGCCAACUCGAGGCUCGAGAUGGGCUGUUUCGUAGGAAGUUACCGGUGCACUUUCCCGUGUACUAGCACACAAUACAGACUCGGCUGUUUUCGGGGUGGGGUGUAUUUACAAUUGUUGCAACCUCUUUAAAUACCACCCCAGCCCCCUUAGCUGCUCUUUUGAGUCCUUAACCUAAGUUGACAAGGUAAGAACUCCCCCUUUUGAGUUCUUUUUCAUUUUUGAUGGAUUCUUGUGGGUUUUGAUCUCCUCCCUUUUGCUCUUCUUUGCUUCUUGUUGGAUUCCUCUAUGGAAGAAGCUUGGAUUUCGGGAUUGGAGCUUGUUUGAGGAUCAACCUUCAACCCUAGAGGACUCUAGGCUUGGUUUGGAGCUUUCAAGAGGUAAGCAACAAGUUUCUUUCCUCUAGAUUUGUGUUGUGUUGCUUUUGUUAGUUGAAACCCUAGAUUUGGGGAUUUAGGGUUAGAUUUGGGGAUUUUUGAUUAGAGGCUUCUAGAACCAAAUUGAUUGGUUUAGAAUCAUAGUUUAGGUUGGCUUAGAAGGACUCUAACUCCCAUUUGGAGAUCGAGAGAGUUUCCUUCGCGUUCGGUGAGUUUUCACCCUUUUCUUGAGUUGCUUAAUGUUUGAUUACUUGGGUGUUCGUAAGGUUCGUUUAACUCUCUUUUCUAUACAUUUAGGGUACUAGGAGAGUGGUGGACACCUUCGUCGGAGAAAACGAAGGGUUUCGGUCAGCUUCGGUGGGUUUGGCUUCAUUGGAAUAGGAGAAAAUGUCUCCUAAGUGGUUAAAUGCUUUCGUAUCAUCGUGGUUUAUGUUUCAUCCUAGAUAGGAUUUAUGUGAAUUUUUGAACGCUUAGAAUGCAUACAUUAUAUAUCAUGAAUAUUUCACUCUAUGUGUAGAGCCGUAUGUGUAGUAACUAUGCAUGUGCUAAGUAUUCUUAUUGCAAUCAUUCAUAUACUUCGGUGUAUAGUAGCUUUUACUUAUGCAAUUUCAUGCUAAGUAGUGACAUCAUGCUAUAGUGAGUUUUAAUUUCAGUUGCUUAUUUGUUCUUAUUAUUCUUACCUGCCUUACUUACUUACCUUGCUUGCAUAGUUGGGGCCUAGUGGUGCGUUCACUGAAGUUAGUAAUUGCCCACUGGGAACUAUUAUUUAAUAGUUCUUACGCCCUCUGCUUUAUGUUUCCUUUCAGAGCCCUCUACACCGAUGGAGGCACGGGAUCGCGGCAAGGGGAUCGCUUAGAUAGCUUGUGAGCAGCGCUCCUUUUGCGUUUUGGUAGUUCACUCUCCUUUUGUUGUAGAUGAGUGAGAGUGUUGGUACCUUGUAUAGAGAGACCACCUAUGUAUCCGGUUUAGCGUUUGUACUUCGGAUGUUUAUUGUACUACUUCUUGUUUUUACUUAGUAGAUUUAGCUUUAUGUUCAUAUCUAUUAUUGUAGCAUCUAGACAUACUUGCUCUGAUAUCACUAGAUCUCUUGUAUUAUUGUUUUAUUUACUGCUUUUUCGUAGACGCCUUAUAUAUUUUAGACAUAUGGCGGGUCUGGACACGCGCCGUGCAGGCUUCCGCUGGGUGCCGGGUGGGCUUCCGCUGGGUCCCGGGGCGUGACAGAUUAAUUUGGUAUCAGAGCCUAGGGUUGAGUCUUAGUGGACCUAGCAAACCUUAGGCCGGUUGGACUAUUGGAAAUAGGCUCGCGAGAGACGAGGUCUAUUUGACUUAUAAGCCAAAGUCUUAUGAUUGGGUAUCUCGAUGACUCUAAAAAAGCUAGAGUUGAAUCGAAGUGUCUGACUUCUAACUUCACGGAAGGUUACGUUGGCGGCCGACAACGUAACAUCGGGAGUUAGUAGUGAAGCCACUUCAUUACUUUCGCAUGAUUGGGAUAUUGUAGCUAUGAGCGGGGCUGCGUUUGCAUGGGUUGUUUUAACCCGUGCUUGAUAUGCUUGUUGCAGCUUGUGAUGUCGACGACACCCACGAUGGCAGCCGACGCGACCGAGCCGGGGAAGCCUCCAUCCCUUCGAUCCGGCGAGAUUCGGGAGUUGAGGGAACAGUUGGCCACCUUAGUUGGCGUGGUGGAGCGGCAGACGAGUGUGGUGCUACUUCAAGCCGAGACCUUGCGCCGAUAGGAUGAAGAAAUCAGGCGAUUGGAGAGCCUGUUGAUCAGACAGACGGCUGACCUUAGGAGGCCCCAGGAGGGUUUGGAUCAAACAUUAGCCGCGGGGAAAGGAAUGAGAGUUACCGGAGUGGCAAAGAAGACCACCGAGAGCGGCCAGUUGCACGUCGGAGAAUCGUUGAGAAAAGUCAAGAAGGACCGAUUUCGAGGACAUGGUUUAGCUGCACGGCGUGGAGGAUCUGAGCGUCGUCGGGCCCCGAGCUGCGUGAUCUGCAGUGGUCGUCACUACCCAUGGCAGUGCUCGCAGAGUCGGAACAGGUGCUACUUGUGUGGCCAGGCGGGCCAUUUUCAGCUGGAAUGCCCGAGGAAGGGCAGGAUUAUUGGAACGUCGGUGCCAGCCUCGACUCGAGAGGCACCCAGUGGAUGUGUACCCGCGGACUUGCUGGAGCUGGAUGUGGUGAUCGAGAGAGCUACUGCAGGUAGCAUGUUUUUUAAUGCUUUUUGAAUUUCAUCAUGAUUGUGAUGAUUGCAUCACUUGCAUCCAUUCCUUGAUUGGCUACUUGCCGAGCUGCAUGGUAUUCAGCUGAUUUGCUAGUUGCAAUGACUCUUAGCUUUCUCGAGUUAGGUGGUUGAUUUGUGGGUUGGGUAGCAUGCCUUGCUAUGCUUUGUCGAUCUCACGACGAUCGCAUUAGCUGCAACCCUUGAUCGGCUGUUCGCCGGAUAGUGCUUGGGGACGACCCGUGUCUGGACCGUUUGUGGAGCCAGGGCCCUUUGGGCAGGCUUAGAUAGCUGCAAGUGACAGCGGCCGGUACCUACAGGUAGGGCAGAAUUUUGGUCAGGACGAUCGUCCGAGCUUAGACCUGGAAGCGUGGUGUGCCACGUGAAGGAUUGCGAGAUCGAGGACACGCCGAGUGUGUAGUGACCCAACCCAAGGACUUGCUUGCAUUGACCCUUUCGAUGCAUGUGGGACAAUCGGUGGAUCGGGUGUGUCACCCUACCUCUCGAGGAGGUGUUGUGCGCCAACAAAUGGAUUGGCCUUAUUUGGUGUGGUGCGAUUGUGGGGUACCUGGUACCAUAGUCUUGCGAGCUGACUUAACUCGCCCCGAGGUUGUGAGCACGAAUUGUGCAAUUUGAGGAAACUAGUUUCGCUGAAUGCGGCGACUGUCUCCAUACCCAAGAUCGGAUAAUUGGAGAGGGUUUGGGGCCUAAUCGGCCGCUAGCUUUUGGUUGAUCGAGAAUCCUCAUAAUGGAGGAUAUCUUUUAAAUCAUUGUAGUAUUCCCGACCGAGUCACCAAUUGUGAGCUCGAAUUGGCAGGGAAGCUUUUGUACCGGGCAUUUUGUUUCUUGGUGGAGCAGCCCCACUGGUUGUGGGACCGGUUGGAUUGUUCAACUGUAUGUCGACUAUCGUGAUUCAAAUUGAACCACGAUUAGAUACCUGGACUGUUGUAGAGGCUCACUGAUCUCUUCAAUUAGCCGAUAAUGUCGGUGUACUCGAUGAGAUUGUGAUGCAAUCUCAGUACUACUGUUUUGUUUUAGAAUUUGAGGUGGUACCUCAAAUGGGUUGUUGCUGGGUUGGGACAUCACGAGGGUUACCAUGGUGUUGCCUAAGCCUAUUGUACUCCGCUAAUGUUAGGGACAUGCUGACAAUAAUUCCAAGCCCUCUGGAUGGAUUUGUAGAACCAGUGGUGGAUGACAAUGAGUAUUCUGAUGAAGAAUUGCGAGGAUCGACUGCAGCGGCAGAUUGGCGGAAUUGAGGUGAAGCCCUCACUGUUUGAGCGGACAAUUUGGGAACUCUCGGGGGGGGGGGGGNGUUUCUUGGUAGAGCAGCCCCACUGGUUGUGGGACCGGUUGGAUUGUUCGAUUGUAUGUCGACUAUCGUGAUUCAAAUUGAACCACGACUAGAUACUUGGACUGUCGUAGAGGCUCAUUGAUAUUUUCAAUUAGCCGGUAAUGUCGGUGUACUCGAUGAAUUGUGAUGCAAUCUGAGUACUACUGUUUUGUUUUAGAAUUUGAGGUGGUACCUCAAACGGAUUGUUGCUGGGUUGGGACAUCACGAGGGUUACUGUGGUGUUGCCUAAGCCUAUUGUACUUCGCCAAUGUGAAGGACAUGCUGACGAUAAUUCCAAUCCAUCUGGAUAGAUUUGUAGAACCAGUGGCGGAUGACAAUGAGUAUUCUGAUGAAGAAUUGCAAGGAUCGACUGCAGCGGCAGAUUGGCGGAUUGAGGUGAAGCCCUCACUGUUUGAGUGGACGAUCUGGGAACCCUCGCGGGGGGCGGGGGGCUGGGGGGCGGGGGGGAUACUAGGUUACCUAUUUCCCUCGUCCGGUUCUUGUGCGGAGAAUUAAGUUCUUUGGGAUAGAACGAUAUACAAACUCAUGGGAUUGGCAUUUUGACUGAUUAGUCACAUCAUGAUGACAUUGAUAGAGAGCUAUUUUGAAUAAUGAAUGGAUCCCUCUCUAUCACUUGAAGUUGAACUCGGUGACCUUGGACACCGGGAGUAUCCGUUGCUAAGGAAGGUAUUGAGGACAAGAAUUCCGAGUGGCUCGUCAUGAGCACUUGAGGGGUCGGCGCUGUGCGCCAGUCNCGAAACUUGACGAGUGCUUUUGUAAUUAAAUUACACACAAAAACAUCGUCAACUGAGAGUUUAGCUACACUGCAAAAAUCUCAGUCCUUACAGACGCACUGGAUCUUUGCAAAUUAUAAGGUUCGAGUGUUUGUUUCGUGUUCUGAGCUUUUCCACACUUCGUGGAGGGUCGUUGAUAGUGUUCCGAUCCAUGGUUCGAGCCCCGAGAUUGGAAGUUUAAAACCUAGCACCAAAAUCAGAAAAGUCGAAUUUUUGGUCAGCUCUCGGAUAGCCUUAGCAGGGCUGUGUAUCGUUACAGGGUUGAUGGCUGUACCGGUACGCGCUUGUCACGCCCGGGUACCAGCGGAAGCAUAUCCGGUACGUGCACAGACCCGCCAUACACCUGUAGUAUAUAAGGCGUCUACAAGAAACAAGUCGAUAGGAGUAAAAACAUAACAUAAUCCUAUCUUGAUAUCAGAGCAUAGUAAAAGUCACAAAGAUUAUCAACAAAAGAAUGAGAGUGUCCAACUCAAAAUAUAGGUACAAAAGAAAGUACUAAAACUGCCACAUCUUGAUCCAAAACAUAUAUACAACACAGGGUACACAAAAUGUCGGAACAAUGGUAGUCUCUCUAUAAACUGGACAUCACCCUCGGCUGUAACCCGAGUAGUAAGGUGAUCGACUAGCACGCUCCUAGCAAUGUCUAGCUAGACGCGGCUCCCUUGCCACGGUCCCUAGCCUCUCCUGUAGAUGGCUCUGUAAAAACAACAAUAAAAAGGGCGUGAGAACUAUUAACAAUAGUUCCCAGUGGGUAAGCCGCCAGCCUCGGCGAAUUACACCACUAGGCUCCAGAUGUACUAAAUGAAAGUAAAAGCGAUAAUUACAUGAUAUAAAUAUGCAAUGCUAACAGGCAAUAGGCAUGUAAUCACAUGUAAUCAUGAUUUCUGCAGUAAUGAAUCAGUUGAGUAAUAGAAGCAUAGCAACUACUAUAAACUACUAUAAACACAAGCAUGAACAUGGAUGUGUAAGUAAAUACUGUACACUAUAACUGAUGAGCAUUCAUUACUGUCCUUUGUCAUUUAGUACUUUCUUUUCAUUCAUAAGAAUCUUCCCAAGGUAGUCCAACUUGCGCCGCGCCUAAUGGCCCCGUGGUAGUAUACACUCCCCACGGCAAUCCACUUCGGCACCCAAUCCCGCACGGGCGAGCAACUGUCGCGUAGGCCAACUCCGGAGUGCCGGCUUGUAGGGAGCGACCCUCACAAGCAUGUGCGAAUGAGCACAAUGGCAGCAAGCAAAUCCACAGCCCAACAUGUCUCAAUUAUCACUUUCCAACUUACAAUGUUCUUGCUCUCGAUCCUUUAAUCAGAAUUCUCAAUUCAAUAAAUAUUGACAAUAACUAGUAUCCACUAGAUGAAUAAACAUGCAAGAAUAAGGCUAAGUUCACAUAUGGCAUUAGAACAUCUUACUAUCAUGGCUCUACCAGUAUAGUCAUAAACAUGUCAUUGUUCUUUCCUUUAUUAUCAAUAAAGUCACAAGAAUGUUAUUGUUUUCUACUCUAUAGGAACAUAUUAAGAAUCAUUCAACUGAAUUAAACAUGAACAUAACAACUUUUAUGUAUAAAUGUUCUCUACUCUAUAGAGAUUUUAACUCAAUUAUAUAUCCACCACAAAAUACACAAGUAUACCAAUUCUAUGGUACAUAUAGAACAUAGGGGAGCUCCACUUGCUCUGGUUAGGUCAAACCCACCUAUUACUAGGCUCCAAUCAGUCCAAAGGAAGUCCCAAAAUCAGCUCCACAAGGUCUCAACUCCACUGAAAAACGAACAUCAAAACCGGGUUGGAAACCAUUAUUAUAAUGUCCGAAAUCGGCACAAUUUCACUUGGUACAAAAUAGCAAUUUGAAUCUCUGUUUCGGCUAGUUCACUACCUCCAGUUAUGCCUCUAAGAGCCCUCACAAGUUAACUGAAGAUGAUCCAAAGCUCGAUCGUACUCCUGCUGCGAACAAUAUCAAAACGGCGUCAAAAUCAUUGAAUGCGAGUAAAUAUAGCCGGAAACUUGCGAUUCCAGUUUUCUAAUAAAAGUUCUCGCUUACCCUUGGUUAGAAUAGCUUCCAAAUCAGUUUCUAAGAGCACAAGUUCAGCUCAAUGAAGCUCGAAGACCUGCUGCGAAGAAAUAAUCCCCAAUUCGCAACAAUUCACUCAACAAUUACAUUUCGUUCCAAUUUAGCUUCAUAAAUGGCUAAUAAUUCCAAUUAAGCUUUAAAGUAGCUUAUCCCUAGUGUAAGAAGGUUAAAUCACAGAUAAUUAACUCCUUUCUAACAGCUGAAACCUCAGCCUAACCCAGUUGGAAGCAGAAACCCGAAAUCGAUACUUAAAUCGACUAUUAGAACGUUAAUAACGAAGAAAUUGAGUCGAUUACCUUAUCAAGCCUACAACCAGCACCUUGAUGGUCUAGAGCUGCGAAAAUCCUUCCAAAGCACUCCCUCACACGUCCACGAAGGUUCAGCAACGCUCGCAACCAGCGGAAAACCAACGUUGCGACGAACACGAGCGAAAUCGGCGAUUUCUUGUAGAGAGAGAAAAAGCCUUAGAGAGAGAGAGAAAAGAAGGUGGGAGAACUCCCUCCUGAGCUCCAGCAACCCUUGCUGAGCUCCUGUGGUCGUGCUGGGCUUAAAGGAUAAGAACAGGAAGCAAAAAGACCAAAAAAUCCUUACUGCCACGCACCUGCUGCAGCUGCUGCUUGCUGUACCGGUACAGGGUGAUGGCUGUACUGGUACAGAAUGCAAAAUUUCGAAAAAAAACCACAGCAAUGCACUUUCUAGCUUUUAGCCGUCCAAUUAUGCUCUAACUUGUUCAAGAACUUGUCCAAACCUUUUAAAACAUGUAGGAUAGUUCCACACUUCAUUCCACCCACUCGAACUCCGCAGUUUGUAAAAGUUCAGUGUAUUACAUUCACCCCUCCUAAAAAGAAGUUUCGUCCGCGAAACUUGUAAUCACUUACCUCAAGAUUCCGUCAAGAAAAGAUAGGGGUAAUGUUCUUGCAUUAUACUCUUCAGCUCCCAAGUGGCUUCCCGUUCCUCGUGAUUGCUCCAAAGGAUCUUCACGUCGGAUAUCUCGCGAUUUCGAAGCCGUUUUACUUCUCGAGCUAGUAUCCUCACUGGCUGCUCCUCCAAACUUAAAUCUUCUUGUAAAUCCACUGGAGUACUCUACAAAAUGUGAGUUGGAUCAAAAACAUAUUUCCGAAGUGUGGAUACAUGAAAUACAUUAUGUACUCCCGAUAGGUUUGGCGGCAAAGCAAGCCGAUACGCUACGGGGCCUAUCCGUUCCAAUACAUCGUAGGGUCCAAUAAAUCGAGGACUCAACUUUCCUCGAAUGCCAAAUCUUUUAACUCCUUUCGUCGGGGAAACCUUUAGGAAUACAUGCUCGCCAACUUGAAACUCCAGUUCUUGUCGACGUUUAUCCGCAUAGCUCUUUUGUCGACUUUGUGCUGUCAGUAGACGUUCUCAUGCCAGACGAACUUUAGCUUCAGCUUCUUGCAGUACAUCUGGACCCAAAACUAAUCUUUCACCCACUUCACUCCAAUGAAGUGGUGAUCUGCACUUUCUACCAUAGAGGGCUUCAAAAGGUGCCAUCUGAAUGCUUGCUUGGUAACUAUUGUUAUAAGCAAAUUCAGCCAUCGGUAGGAGCUGUGGCCAACUGCUCUGGUAAUCAAUCACACAGGCCCUCAACAUAUCCUCAAGGGUCUGGAUGGUACGCUCAGACUGCCCAUCACUCUGGGGGUGGAAAGCAGUACUAAAAUCCAAUCGGGUACCCAGAGCCUCCUGUAAACUCCUCCAGAAAUGUGAAAUAAAUUGGGUGUCUCGAUCUGAAACAAUAGAAGCUGGUACUCCAUGUAAUCGCACAAUUUCAUCAAGAUACAUUUGUGCGAGUCUCUUCCCUGACCAGACUGUAUGGAUUGGGAUAAAGUGGGUAGAUUUUGUCAAUCUAUCCACAAUUACCCAAAUGGCAUCAUGCCCUGCUUGUGAGCGUGGUAAUCCAACAAUGAAAUCCAUAGUGAUCCUCUCCCACUUCCACACUGGUAUGGGUAAGCUUUGAAGUUUUCCUGCAGGAAGUCGAUGUUCAGUCUUAACCUGCUGACAGGUUAAGCAUCUGGCCACAAAAUCAGCAACUUCCUUUUUCAUUCUAGGCCACCAGUAAAUUGACUUCAGAUCUUUAUACAUUUUUGUACUCCCAGGGUGUAAAGUAUACGGUGCCCGAUGUGCUUCCUUUAAAAUCUCCUCUUUAGUAUCUGGAUCGACAGGCACACAAAUUCUAUCACCGAAUUUUAGCAAUCCCUGAUCAUCCACUCGAAAAUCACUAUCAUGAUCAGCAGUGAUCUUUGCUCGAAUCUUUUGCAGGAAUUCAUCCUGAGCUUACUUCUCUUUAAUUCGAUCGAUCAGGGUAGGUCGUACCACUAACGACAUAAGUCUCCAAGGCGUGUCAGGAGCUAUAACUUCCAAAUUCAAUUGCUCCAUUUCCUUUAUCAGCAGUGGUUGCAUAGUUAUCGACAUCGCCAAAUUUUUCGUCAAUUUUCGACUUAAAGCAUCUGCUACAACAUUAGCUUUUCCUGGAUGAUAAAGGAUAGUCAAAUUAUAAUCCUUGAGCAACUCCAACCAUCUACGUUGUCUCAAGUUUAAUUCUUUCUGAGUAAACAGAUACUUUAAGCUUUUAUGAUCUGUGUAAACUUCACAACGUUCGCCAUAGAGGUAAUGACGCCAGAGUUUCAAGGCAAAGACAACAGCUGCCAGCUCUAGAUCAUGUGUAGGGUAGUUCUUUUCAUAAUCUUUCAGUUGGCGAGAUGCAUAAGCAAUUACUCUGUCAUUUUGCAUUAGAACACACCCUAAUCCAUUGAACGACGCAUCGCUGUAGAUCACAUAAUCUACUCCAGUAAUAGGUAAUGCCAGAAUCGGGGCGGUGGUCAAUCGUUCCUUCAGUUCUUGAAAGCUUCUUUCGCAAGCUUCAUUUCAUAGAAACUUAGCCCCUUUAUGUAUCAAUCGGGUGAGCGGCGUAGACAUCUUUGCAAAUCUUUCUACAAAUCUUCGAUAAUAUCCCACCAAGGAAACUCCGAAUCUCGGUGACAUUAGUCAUCCAAGGCCAAUCUUUAAUCGCUUCAAUUUUCUUUGGGUCCAUCGCGUUCCUAUUUCAGAAAUUACAUGUCCUAGAAAUGCCACUUCUCGAAGCCAAAAUUCACAUUUCUUUAAUUUUGCAAACAGUUUCUUUUCUCGAAGUACUUGUAACACCACUCUUAGAUGGUUUUCAUGUUCUUCAUCACUUCGAGAAUAUAUCAAAAUAUCGUCGAUGAAUACGACCACAAACCUGUCCAGAUAAGGCUUAAAGAUACGGUUCAUUAAAUCUAUAAAGGCUGCUGGGGCAUUUGUUAAUCCAAAUGGCAUAACUGUAAAUUCAUAAUGCCCAUACCGUGUCCUAAAAGCAGUCUUGGAGACCUCUUCAGGCUUAAUCUUAAGCUGAUGAUAACCUGAUUGCAAAUCAAUCUUAGAAUACACCUUCGAUCCUCGCAGCUGAUCGAAUAAAUCAUCAAUUCUGGGUAAUCGAUAUUUAUUCUUGAUUGUGACUUUGUUGAUUUCUCGAUAAUCCACGCACAAUCGAAGAGAUCCAUCCUUCUUCCUGACAAAUAACACCAGUGCUCCCCAAGGUGACACACUCGGUUGAAUGAAUCCUUUAUCUAAAAGAUCUUGUAACUGCGCCUUCAGCUCUUUCAAUUCAGCGGGUGCCAUCCUAUAGGGUGCUUUCGAGAUAGGAGUUGUCCCAGGGACAAGAUCAAUCACAAACUCGACUUCUCUAUCAGGUGGCAUACCCGGCAACUCAGCCGGAAACACAUCCCCGAACCCCCGCACAACUGGAAUAUCAUUAAUCUUGAUGGCUUCACCAUCACUCACAGAAAUACUAGCCAAAUAGGCUACACAACCCCUCCGAAUCAACUGUCGCGCUCGCGAAGAGCUAAUAGUCAUUGCGAACAAUGAACUCUGACACCCCUUAUAAACAAACUCUUGCUGAUCAGGUUCCCUAAAGGUCACCGUUCUGUUCGUGCAAUCAAUUGUGGCAUAAUACUGAGUCAACCAAUCCAUACCCAANCAUUGUGCUCAUUCGCACAUACUUGUGAGGGUCGCUCCCUACAAGUCGGCACUCCGGAGAUAGCCAUCGCUACAUAUGCUCGCCCGUGCGGGAUUGGGUGCCAAAAUGGGAUGCCGUGGGGGAGGCUCAUUCCUAGAGUCGGGAUGUUGACUACCACGGGGCCAUUGUUGGCACGGCGCAGGCCAGACUACCUACGGGUGGCUUCCACAUGAUUGGGUUACCGGUGACAUAUACACCUUUUGGACAUUGACUAGAAUAGUAAAUAUUGACAUCUUUACUAUUUACAUUGUGGACAUUGAGUUAGUUGCAUACUUAUGCAUUUACAUGUUGGAUACUCUUGUGCACAUUCUUGUAGUAGUUGCCUUCUUACUUAUGCCAAUCCAUGCUAAGUAGAGAUCAUGUGGUAGAUUAUUACCGAUGAAAGUAGUGACAUCAUGCUAUAUUGAGCUUCCAUUUCAGUGAUUUAUUUGUUCAUAUUAUUCUUACCUGCCUUACUUACCCUACUUGCUUAGUUUUGGGCCUAGUGGUGCAUUUCACUGAAGUUAGUAAUUGCCCACUGGGAACUAUUAUUUAAUAGUUCUUACGCCCUCUGUUUUAUGUUUUUCUUUCAGAGCCCUCUGCACCGGUGGAGGCACGGGACCGCGGCAAGGGGAUCGCUAGCUAGAUAGCGAGGAUUUACUUUAUGCUCUUAGGUGGUUCCGUCUCUUUGUAUUUUGGGAGAGCGAGAGAUCUGUGUUACCAUGUAUAGAGACCACCUAUGUACUCUUUUAGUUCUUGUAUUUGGAUCUUCGGUUGUACUACUUUAUGGUUAUUAGUGAUUUUAGCUCUCUACUCUUCACAUUGCUUUAGUCUCUAGAUGAUGUAUAUUGCUCUGAUACUUCUAGAUGUUUUUUUUUUAUUGUCUCAUUUAUCGUUUUGUUUUAAACGCCUUAUAUGUUUUAGACGUAUCACGGGUCUGUGCACGUGCCGUGCGGGCUUCCGCUAUGUCCCGGGGCGUGACAGAUUAAUUUGGUAUCAGAGCCUAGGGUUGAGUCUUAGGGGACCUAGCAAACCUUAGGCCGGUUGGACUAUAGAAAAUAGGCUCGUGAGAGACGAGAUCUAUUUGACUUGUGAGCGAAAGUAUCCUGAUUGGGUAUCUUUGAUAACUCUAGAAAGUAGAGUUAAAUUGAAGUGUAUAGCUUCUAAUUUCGCGGAGGGUUACGUUGGCGGCCGACAACGUAACAUCGGGAGUUAGUGGUGAAGAAUACUUCCUUACUUUCGCAUGAUUUGGGGUUUUAUCUACUUGAGCGGGGAUGCGGUAGCGUGGGUUUUACUAACUUGCGCUCUUAUGAUGUGGUAGUGGCGAUGCCGAUCACAUACUCUCAAUCUGCUGCAGCGGAUAAUGCGGCAGACUUGGAGGAGGUCAAGACCUCCGCUACCUCCAGAUCCGGCGAGGUCCGUGAGUUGAGGAGCCAGCUUGCAACCUUUACUGAUCUCGUGGCUCAGCAGGCGGCGACAGCCCAACAGCAGGCCGAUGCGGCGCGCCGACAGGAGGUGCGGAUGAAGCGCCUGGAGGACCUUCUUCUGCAGCAAGCGGCAGCUUCCAGGGAGAGCUAGGCCCCUACACCGCCAGCACCGGUUGUUGACGUCGCGCCGAGAGCGCCGUCCCCUGCGCCCAGUUCGUCACGUGCGGCGCCCGUGGCCGCGCCUCAGGAGGAGGGUUUGGCGGCGCCACCUGUUCAGGCACCCCCGAUUGGAGCUGUUUUUCCCGUGUUGGUUGAGGGAGCGGAGUGGGACCGACUGAUGGAGCGCCUCAACGAGGUUAGGAGGUGCAGUCCCCGGAUCUUCGACGGCGAGAAAGUCGACCACUGGAUCGUGGAAAAGUGGUUGAUGCAUAUGGAGAAGCUCUUCCGCUACACCUUCGUAGAGGAGAGAGAUCGAGUUUGGCUCGCUACUCACCAUCUGGACGGCGAGGCCUACCGCUGGUGGUUGGAUCUUCAGGAGAACCCCAGCAUCGACUUGGCGGCUAUUACGUGGAGGAAGUUCAAGGAGCUUCUACUGGCGCACUACUUCUCGACGAGCGUCUAGAGGAAGAUGGAGCAGGAUCUGCGCAGCUUGGGCCAGGGAGACCGCACUGUGGCCGAGUACGAGAGGGAGUUUUCUCGGCUUCUUCUGUCACGCCCCAAUUCCCGCCACUUUGGUCGGGUUCGGGUCACGUCAACAGACGCCGAACGGACAGAGCCUCCCCUGUCCACCCAAGGCUCUAACAACAUGUAUAAAUAGGCAAUCAACAAAAGAAUUGCAUAUAUAAUACAAGGCUUGCGCGAGGGCAAGCAACGACGGAAGCGAAAGCUCUAAGCUGAAUAUACAUCACACAUGAUAUUUGAUUUCCUUUAAACCAAAUUCAAGUAAACAAAACUAUUACAUUCUAUUCAACCAUCAUAUCUUUUUACAUUUAGUCAUCCACCAAAUACAUGAUUGUUUACACUUUUCNCUCGGGCACUCUGAGCGAAAGUGGCCCUCCUGACCGCAGAGAAAACACCUGCCCCCACGUUGUGGACACUGUGGCGGUACGUGAGGCCCACCACAGAUCACACAACGUGGCUGCGGACGACGCUCGGGUGCUCCACGGCGUACUGACGAACCUCGGCCCCUCGACUGGCCCAGCUGGCCCCUCGGAUAUUUUGGCGGUCUCCUGGAAGAUUGCUGACCAUUGCUCUCAGCUGUUGGCCUCUUUCCCUUGUUUCUAUCCACAACAUCCCUUUCCUUCAUUAUCUCUGCCCCCUUCUCAACAAUCAAGGCCCGGUUCACUACAUCCCUGUAAGUAGAUAGGUUUGACGCUUGGACCAAUCUGAAGAUCGCCGGCCGCAAACCCACCUCAAAAAUCCGAGCCUUGUCCUCAUCAUCUCUGACCACAAAAGGAACACAAUGCAGUAAUCGGGAAAACUCUCGCUCAUACUCAGCCACUGUCCUGUCCCCCUGUCUCAGGUUUCUCAAAUCCCUUUCCAUUUGCCUCUUAACACUCUGAGGAAAAUACGUAGUCAACAGUAAUUCUUUGAACCUCGUCCAGGUAAUAGCGGACAAAUAAGUACGGGGAUCCUCACGGAUAUCCACCCACCACCUAUAAGCCUCGCCAUCAAGGUGGUGUGUCGCAAACCAAACCCGAUAUCGCUCCUCGACGAAAGUAUCAUAAAAUAGCUUCUCCAUAUGCAUUAGCCAUUUCUCGACCACCCAAUGAUCAGCUUUUUCUCCGUAAAAAAUACGAGGGUUGCAACGACGGAAUUCAUUCAAUUGUUCCAUCAUCCGCUCUCGCUCCUCAGCCCCCACCAUCUCUAGUAACACUGUCCCUGAUGCGGCUACAGGUACUGGUGGUGGUACUACUGUCUCCUGUCGGGUCUCUACUCUCGGAGCUACUGGGGGUGUGUCUGGGACUGGUGACUGUGCUCUCACUGUCGCAUCCCGGUCUGGUACUGUAGGUAUAGGAUCAGGAAUCUCUCUGUCAGUCGUCUGCCGCAGUAGUAAAUCCUCUAACCUCUUCAUCCUGUCCUCCUGUCGACGCGCGACAUCCAUCUGCUGUCGUACGGCCACAGCCUGCUGAGCAACCAAAUCUGUCAGCUUCGCGAGCUGAUCCUGCAACUCAUGGAUCCCACUAGAUCCCGAAGUAACAGAAGUCCCCACUUUCUCUGCAUCCGCCGCAUCAGCUGCCCCGACGGCUUGCGAACGAGUCAAAGGCAUCUUGAGCUGUAGCACAAAAACAAUGUAUAUUAAUAAAACCUAUACUACUGAACCUUUACUUCAGGUAUAAGCCAANCUCGCCGACUUACCCACUAGGUCCAUCCAGGCAUAAGUAUUUCAAAGGUAGAAAAGUAACCAUUACUAAUGCAACUAAUACUAUGCCUGCAAGAAAGAAGUCAGUAGAUAUACAAUCUCAAUGCGAUAAUGGAAAUGCAUGCAUGCUCUAAUCAUAAUCAAACUUUGGCUCUUACCCAAUCUUACCGGUUAACUCUGUUAACCCCAAUAACUUACAACCCAAAAUUCCUUAAUAACGGGGGACUCGAACCUUCCUAGGGAUCGUCAACUGGUGGGACUUUACCACGCCCAGUGGUGACCAACUCCGGAGCGCACCGCUCGAGGGGGAGCAACCUCCCUCAAGCCAAGACGAAAUGUGAGUAUCGAUCUAAUCCUCAACUUGAGGACUCAUAGCCACUAGUCACAAUGCCAAUGUCACGAUAGGUCUCUACCUAUUUAUUCUUGCCACUCUCAAGGUUUUAUCUUCGACCAUAUCAAUAUGGGUUAAACUAUAUUCAACGGUUCAUCUCUCAAUGAAAUUCUUGUUUCUAUGUCAAUGACACCCUUGUUUUCUAAUGUCCAAGUCCAUUCUCACAUUCACACAACUUGAGGGUCCAAUCACGCAUGUCCAUUUAGUUCUAUCAUUCUCUAUGUUCAACUACAUUAGAAGCAUAUAAAUGAAGUCAAACCAAGUUCCACAUGUAGCUACCCUAAUAUGCAUGAAUGGGUAUAUAUAUAUAUCAUAUAUGCUCAAGAAUAGAGAAAACAGACAUAGAAGGGAAUCCAACGAUUCCGGCGUGCACCCCCCACCUCUAUUGGUCGUGUGGGUGUAGAAUAUUAAGGCCCCUGCACUUUACGAAAGCCGAUUCCGUGCCCUAUAAUCAAAAUAGUGUCAUAUUAGGCCUUUUUGUACAUGAACUAUACUCUAACAUUUUCGAAAUGUUAAACGAAGUUAUCCCACGCGUUUAGGACACCCCCAAUUAGGUUUCUACGGGGUCAAUUUGUCCCCGAACAAUCCUAGGGCAAAAGCCCCAAAUUCAAGCCCUAAUAUUGCCAUUUAGGGUUUUCCCACGAAUCGAUCCCAACCCUAAGCAAAGAAUAGCAUAGGAUCAUCUAUGAAGCAUCUUAACAAGGUUUCUAGACCUUUGGUACCAACCCUAGGGCUCCAAAUAUCACUUCUAAGGAUUCACCAUGAGAGCACCUUGAGCUCUCAUGGGUUCCAUGGUAUUCAUGGCUCAAAGAGCCCCUAAAGCCUCUAAGGAGCACAAGGCUCCAAAUCCCUAAGCCAAAAUCCAAACCCUAGAGGAAAAACCUACAAAACUUACCUCUAGUCCAAGCUCCACCAAGAUUCUCCUUGUUGGAGAGCUCCUAGAACCUCCAAAGCCUCCAAAUCCUCCUCCUCUUCUUUUCUUCUUCUUCUUCUCCAAGUCCUAGAGCAUGGGUUCUAGAUAGAGAAAAAGAGGAAAUGGGAGAGAAGGGUGAAAAUGGCUGUGGAAGAGAGGGGAUGAGUCAUAUAUAGUGUUGUAACAAUUGCACUUAAGCCCCUCCACUUGUUUCCACUUGAACUGCCCAGACUGGGCAUUUUUCGCCUUCGGGAACCGGUCUCCCCGACCAGGGAUCGGUUCCCGAACGGGGGUUUUCCAGGACUUAGCCAAAUUUUCGAGUUUUUUCGCUGUUGCGCAGCGAGGGACCGGUCUGCCCGUCAGGAACCGGUCUCCCGAGGACCGGUCUCACCACCAGGGACCGGAUGCCUCAGGAUUUCCUGGCAGGCUACGCGCACGGGGACCGGUCUCUCCUUCAGGGACCGGUCCCCGAGAGCACAAAAUCUGGGACUUAGCCAGAUUUCCAAAUUUGCUCUCCGGGUCCCUUUUUGUUUCGUUUAUGAACUCCAAUGUACUUAGGGUCCACUUAACUCGUUCAAUUUCGCGUUCCGCUCGUUUUGACGGAACUCGGCACGAUUUACGAGGGAUGUGGUAUGUUACAUCUUCACUGCGUGCCUUUCGUCGUGCGGGACAACGAGAACAAGGCCCGCAUCUUCGAGCGAGGGUUGCGACCGUCGAUCUUCCGGUUCGUGCAAUCCUCUAACCUCCAAACCUACCGGGAGGUAGUGGCAGAAAUGUAGGAGCGGCGAGAUGGCUUGGACAGGGGUAAGGCCAAGAGGCCUGCGGCGGAGGGUGCGAGCCAGAUGCACUCUAGAAGGCCGCUGAAACACCCUAGGAGCCAGCAACGUGGGCGCGGCCCGGCAGCGCAGCGAGGAGGUCCUGAUCGACGCGGACCUCCCCAGUGCAUGAUCUGCGGUGGUCCUCACACCUCCGCAGUGUCCACAGCGGGAAGGCAGGUGCUACUUGUGUGGCCAGGAGGGCCACUUCCGGACUGAGUGCCUGAGGAGAUCGUCACCGGCACCAUCGACUGCAUCGGCACCGGCUCUACCAGCCGCCAGCCACGGGACUCCAUCGGCGCAGUACCAGCCUGGCCGGCCACCCGUCCAGCGCCAGAGCGAGAGUUCUCGACAGGCCUCGAGUGGGCGUAUGCAUGGCGCUCAGACCAAGGAGGCUGCAGCAGCCGAGGAUGUGGUCGCAGGUAUCAUUUUACUUGAUAGCAUUAGAGUUCGUGCAUUAUUUGAUACCGGUGCAUCACACUCAUUCAUAAAUCGGCUGUUUGCCGAGUUGCAUGGCAUCCCUAAGCUUUCCUUGUUGCAUCUGGGACGUGUAGUUGUCCCCGACCACUCUUUGGAUAUUAGAGAGUAUUGCCCCAGUUGCCCUAUUCGGGUAGGAGAUUGGGUUAUGCCUGUGGACUUGCUAGCCUUGCGCAAGCUGGGGGAAUUUGUUGUGGUCUCAGGUAUGGAUUGGUUAACCAAGUAUUAUGCCACGAUUGAUUGCAAGAAUCGCACGGUUACUUUUAGAGAACCGGGGCAAGUUGAGGUGAUAUUUCGAGGAUGCCAGAGUUCGCUUUUUGCGAUGACGAUCAGCUCGUCUCGAACUAGGCAGCUGAUCAGCAGAGGUUGUGUAGCCUAUUUGGCUAGUGUUGUAUUGAGGGGCGAUGAUGACACCCCUAGGAUUGAGGAUAUCCCGGUGGUACGGGAGUUUCAGGAUGUGUUUCCAGCGGAGCUACCGGGCAUGCCACCCGAUAGGGAGAUCAAGUUUGUGGUAGAUCUCGUCCCUGGGACUACUCCAAUCUCGAAAGCGCCCUAUAGGAUGGCACCGGCGGAGCUGAAGGAGCUGAGGGCACAGCUACAGGAUCUUCUGGAUAAAUGCUUUAUUCGACUGAGCGUCUCGCCUUGGGGGACGCCAGUUUUGUUCGUCAAGAAGAAAGACGGAUCGCUACGCCUAUGUGUGGACUAUCGUGAACUUAAUAAAGUCACGAUCAAGAAUAAGUAUCCGUUGCCGAGGAUCGACGACUUGUUUGAUCAGCUUCAGGGAUCGUGUGUGUAUUCCAAGAUCGAUUUGCAGUCGGGAUACCACCAGUUAAAUAUCAAACCCGAGGAUGUAUCGAAGACGGCUUUCAGAAUACGGUAUGGACAUUAUGAGUUCACUGUUAUGCCGUUUGGGCUUACUAAUGCCCCGGCAGCUUUUAUGGAUCUAAUGAACCGUGCUUUUAAGCCAUAUCUAGACAGGUUCGUUGUGGUGUUCAUCGACGACAUUUUGGUCUAUUCUCGAAAUGAUGCAGAUCACGAGGAGCAUUUGAGACUUGUACUUCAAGUACUUCGGGAAAAGGAGCUCUAUGCCAAGCUGAAAAAGUAUGAAUUUUGGCUUCGAGAGGUAGCUUUCCUUGGGCAUCUGAUUUCGGGAUCAGGUAUUGCGGUGAAUCCCAAGAAGAUUGAGGCUAUCAGGGAUUGGCCGAGACCGACGAGCGUCACGGAGAUUCGGAGUUUCCUUGGAUUGGCCGGGUUCUACUGGAGAUUUAUUGAGGGGUUCGCCAAGCUGUCUACUCCCCUCACGAGACUCACGCAUAAAUGAGUCAAGUUCAUUUGGAAUGAUGCAUGCGAGAGAAGCUUCCUAGAGUUGAAGCAAAGAUUGAUGACCGCCCCGAUCCUAACCCUGCUGAUGGCUGGAGCAGGGUAUGUGGUUUAUAGUGAUGCUUCACUUAAUGAAUUGGGUUGUGUGUUGAUGCAGGAUAGCAAAGUGAUCACGUAUGCUUCGCGCCAGCUAAAGGAAUAUGAAAAGAACUACCCGACGCAUGAUUUGGAGCUGGCGGUCGUAGUCUUCGCAUUGAAGUUAUGGCGCCACUAUCUUUAUGGUGAGCGGUGUGAAGUGUACACAGAUCACAAGAGUUUGAAGUACUUAUUCACUCAGAAAGAGUUGAACCUGAGACAGCGCAGAUGGUUGGAGCUGCUCAAAGAUUAUGAUUUGACGAUUCUCUACCACCCAGGCAAGGCUAACGUGGUGGUGGAUGCGCUAAGUCGAAAAUCGACGGAAAACUUAGCGAUGCAUGUUGUUACUCAACCGCAGUUAAUCGAACAGAUGAAACGGUUGGAGUUGGAGGUGGUGACUCCUGACACGCCUUGUUUUGGAUUGGAUUAAAGAAAGGCAAGCUUCCAAUGUGGAGUUGCAAAGGAUUAAAGAUAAAAUGGUUGAUGGUUGCACCGGCGAUUUUCUUGUGGAUGACCAAGGAUUGAUGCGUUUCCGUGGACGGAUUUGUGUAUCGGCGGAUUCGGAAAUUAAAGAGGAUAUUCUUCAAGAAGCGCACCGAGCGUCCUACGCUAUACACCCGGGAGGCACCAAGAUGUACAAGGACUCGAAGUUACUUUAUUGGUGGCCCGGGAUGAAAAAGGAUGUUGGCGAGUUUGUAACUAGAUGUUUGACUUGCCAACAAGUGAAGUGUCACGCCCCGGGACUGGCGAAGGCCCUCCCGAUAGCGUGCCCAGACCCGCCAUAUGUCUACACAUAUAAGGCGUCUACAACAAAAGCGGAAGUAAAGCAGGAGAUAGAACCAAUAAAAGAAGUGAAAUAACUAGCAACUAAAUGACAUCAGAGCGAGUAUAGUUCUACAUCUACACCAAAGGAAAGAAGUAAAGUUAGACAAUGAAAGGAGUCAUAAGUAGUACAAAAUCUAUCUCCAAAAUACAAAAGUGGUGGUCUCUAGUACACUGGUAAAACUCUCAACCUCUCGCAAAAAGAAAUAAAAAUCGAGAGGUAGACCACCUAGCAACUCGUCCUCGAAGGAAGCUAGCUCGAAGCAACUCCCUUCCCGCGAUCCCUGGCCUCACCCUGAGUGGAAGGCUCUGAAAAACAUCGAGAAAAGGAGGGCGUGAGAACUAUAAUUUAUAAUUCCCAGUGGGCAAUUACUGACCUCAGCUCAUCGCACCACUAGGUCCCAAAAGAAAAAGGAGGGGUAAGUACAAUUAUAAUAACAAUAAUGACUGCGAUAUAAAGGCAUAAUUAAAAUGCUAAAUUAUUAAACUCAAGAAUAAACGAUGUCAUGGUGAUGUACAUCUACGAUAUCAAAAUAGUAUGUCAUUAACCUUUAUGAAUACAUUAUGCAUAAGUUCUGUCAUGGCAACUAAGUAUGCUUUAAUGCAAAAGGAGACUAUCAAGUAUACUACAUGUUUCAACACUAUGCUAAAAGCAUAUAAAUGCAACUCAACUACUAAACCUAUUUAGUAGUGAUUAUUCAUUCUCAACACCGUAUUGAUUUCCAUUUCCAAUUAAGGACCUACCAAAGGUAGUCCAGCUUGUGCCGCCUAAGUGCCUGUGGUAGCCCAACAUCCCUACUCUUGGAAUGUGUCUGUCCCACUCGACCCCGUAGGCUUCUCAAUACCGCACGAGCGAACAUAAGUCGCGUAGGCUAACUCCGGAGUGCCGGCUUGUAGGGAGCGACCCUCACAAGCAUGUGCGAAUGAGCACAAAUGGCAAGCAAGUAAAGUCCAAGUCUCAAAAAUCCAAUCCUCAUGUCUCUAACAUGGUAUGGUCACUAGCAUCCCGAAGAUCUAGUUUAAGUCACAAUAUGAAGUUUCAACAUUUGCUACGCCUAGUGCCCCUUGAUGACACUUAGGCAAUUUGAUGUUCAAUAUGUAUUCCAAAUCCCUUAAUGGCCCUAUCCACUAGUUCUCACAUAUCCCGAGCUCAAUGCCGCUUUAUGACAUUAGCUCUCUAGUUCACAUACCUUCUGAAUGGCAAUCUUGUCAUCUUUCAUGUCACAAGUAACCUCAAGUCUACAUGCAUGAAUCCGAACUCAUUUAUACUAUAAAAGCAUGAAACCAAGUCUCAUAGAGAAUGCUAAAUGCAACCAAAGAUCUCCUUAGCAACUCUCUACUACAUAGAGGUCCAAAAUUUCAUCAUAUAUAAUAUAUGCAUUUUAAGCAUUCUAAAAAUCAUAAUAAAUACAUUUGAUAUGAACAUGCAUGCUUUUUCAAUUUACGGAACAUAAAUAACCAUAUAUGAGAAUUUCUCAUAUGUAGGCUAGGUCAAACCCACCGAACCGUCGCGUAGGGUCUCGAUUCGCCGAACGAAGUUGUCCACGAGCCUCAAGAUAUCCUAAAAGUGAUCAGCGAAGAGAUACGAGAGCAUUACGACCGUCUUACACUAUCCAACAUUAACCUAGGAGCAAAAAGGGCCAAAACUUACCUCAAGAGUAGAAAUCUCUUCCAAAGCUCCAAAAGAGAGCUAGAACCCUUCUAAUCCAAGCCUUAGGAAGGUUCUAAACCAACCAAUUUAGGUCCAAAAGCCCUAGAUCAAAAAUGCCCAAAAUCAAACCCUAAAUCUCAUUUCUAGGGUUUCAUCUCCCAAAAACCACCAAAACAAGAAUCUAUAGGAAGAAACAUGGUACUAACCCUUUGGAAGCUUUAAUCCAAGCUCAAAAUGCCCUAGGGUUGAAGUUUGGUCCACCACCAAGCUCCAAAGGCAAGCUCCAAUCCACCAAAAGGGAGAAGAAAGGGUGAAGGUGAAGCUCCCAAUCCUCUACAAGCUCUUCUUCUUCUUCCUUCUCCUUCCUCUCCCACUCUCUCUCUCUCUAGAAGCAAAAGAAAUGGUGAAGUGAGAAGAGGAGAAGGAGAAGUGGCCAUAUAAGCCUUCUCUUGUAACAAAAUCCUGUGAGGCCCCUCAAAAAUCUAAAAUUGCAUCAGCCCGAACUGGGCAGUUUUCGCCCAGAGGGACCGGUCUCUCCCCAGCAGGGACCGGUCUCUCACUGCGAACCCGAAAAACCAACGUUCGGGAACCGGUCUCUCCCUGCGCGGGACCGGUCUCUCACUGCGAAGACGCGUUCGGGAACCGGUCUCGCCUGCCAGGGACCGGUUGCCUCAGGGCUGCCGCAGCACUGCUCACUGGAGGACCGGUCUCUCCUUCCAGGGACCGGUCCCCGAGAGUAAAAACUCUCAGGACUUGUCCAAAGUUCCAGAUUUCGAACUUUUCAGGUCGGGAAACAUUUUACAACCCUCCACCAAGUGUGGAAAAGCUCGAAAUAUAUCCAAACAUUCGAACCUCGCAAUUUGCAAAGGUCCAGUGUGUUACAUGAAGGCUGAGCACCGAGUUUCCGCGGGAGAACUUCAGAGUUUGCCUAUUCCCGUGUGGAAGUGGGAGAAGAUCACCAUGGAUUUCGUGACUGGAUUGCCCCGCUCUCAGGCUGGGCAUGAUGCUAUUUGGGUGAUCGUGGAUAGGUUGACGAAGUCGGCGCAUUUCAUACCUAUUCAUACUACUUGGACUGGGGAGAAGCUCGCACAAGUGUACUUUGAUGAGAUUGUGCGACUUCACGGAGUGCCCACGUCGAUUGUAUCAGAUCGAAACACACGGUUUGUGUCUCACUUUUGGAGGAGUCUACAGGACGCCCUAGGCACUCGACUGGAUUUUAGCACUACUUUCCACCCUCAGAGUGAUGGGCAGUCGGAGUGCACCAUACAGACCUUAGAGGAUAUGCUCCGAGCAUGUGUGAUAGACUUCUAGGGAGGAUGGUCGCAGCAUCUACCUAUGGCGGAGUUUGCUUAUAACAAUAGUUAUCAAGCAAGCAUCAAGAUGGCACCGUUCGAAGCACUUUAUGGACGGAAGUGUAGAUCGCCACUUCAUUGGAGUGAAGUUGGCGAGAGAUUAGCUUUGGGACCAGAUGUGCUUCAGGAAGCUGAGGAUAAAGUUCGAAUUGCUCGGGAGCGACCUUUGACAGCGCAGAGUAGACAGAGAAGCUACGCCGACCGACGACGGCGAGACUUGGAGUUCCAAGUUGAAGACCAUAUUUUCUUGAAGGUCUCGCCGACUAGAGGGAUCAAGAGAUUCGGAAUUCGGGGUAAGUUGAGCUCCCGUUUCAUUGGACCGUAUGGGGUUUUGGAGCGUGUAGGUCCGGUAGCGUAUCGACUUGCUCUACCACCGAACCUAUCGGGCGUGCACAACGUCUUUCAUGUAUCGGUCCUUCGGAAGUACAUCUUCGACCCGACUGACGUGUUGGAUGCCACACCUUUAGAGUUGCGGGAGGACUUGAGCUUCGAGGAGUAGCCCGUGAAGAUCUUGGCUCGCGAGGUACGGAAGCUAUGAAAUCGGGAUAUUCCGUAUGUGAAGAUUCUUUGGAGCAACCACCGGGAGCGAGAGGCCACGUGGGAGCUUGAGAGCGCCUUGCGGGAGCGUUAUCCCCCAUCUUUUUCAGAUGGAGUCUUGAGAUACGUUGCUUUCGAGUUUGGCGGACGAAACUCCUUUUUAGGAGGGGUGAAUGUGAUGCACUGGACCUUUGCAAAUUGCAAAGAUCGAGUGUUUGUUUCGUGUUCUGAGCUUUUCCACACUUCGUGGAAGGUCGUUGACAGUGUUCCGACCCAUGGUUCGAGCCCCGAGAUUGGAGGUUUAAAAUCUAGCACCAAAAUUCGAAAAGUCGAAUUUUUGGUCAGCUCUCGGGUAGCCUCAGCAGGGCUGUGUACAGGUACGGGGUUGAUGGCUGUACCGGUACGCGCUGAUGGCUGUAAUGGUACGGGACUGGUGUACCGGUACAUAGACGGAUUUCGUGCAAACCCGAGGCCCGGGUUUGGCUGUUUCGCAGGUGUUGUACCGGUACGCGAGCCCGUGUACCGGUACACAGUGCAGUGCGAGCAGUUUUCGGACAGGGGUGUUUUUACAAUUAUUACAACACCUAUAUAUGUUACCCCAGCGCCCUUAGACAGGGUUUCGUGAAGCACCUGUUUACUCAGAAGGAGUGAGCUUGAGACAGCGCAGAUGGUUGGAGCUGCUCAAGGACUACGAUUCUGUACCACCCGGGCAAGGCUAACGUGGUGGCGGAUGCGCUAAGUAGGAAAUCGACGGAAAACUUAGCAAUGAAUGUGGUUACUCAACCGUAAUUGAUCGAGCAGAUGAAGCGGUUGGAGUUGGAGGUGGUGACUCCAGACAUCUUUGAGGUUGAUGGCUUUGGUGGUGCAACCUACACUCUUGGAUAGAAUUAAAGAAGAGCAAGCUUCCGAUGUGGAGUUGCAAAAGAUUAGAGAUAAGAUGGUUGAUGGGUGCACCGACGAUUACCUGGUGGAUGACCAAGGGUUGAUGCGUUUUCGUGGACGGCUAUGUGUACCGGCAGCUGGGGAAUCAAAAAAGAUAUUCUUCAAGAAGCGUACCGGGCACCUUAUGCUAUACAUCCGGGUGGCACCAAGAUGUAUAAGGACUCAAAGUUGCUCUAUUGGUGGUCCGGGAUGAGAAAGGAUGUUGGCGAGUUUGUAGUCCGUUGUCUAACUUGCCAACAAGUAAAGGCUGAGCAUCAAUUACCCGCGGGAAAACUUUUGAGUUUGUCUAUUUUCGUGUGGAAGUGGGAGAAGAUCACCACGGAUUUCGUGAUAAGUUUGCCUCGCCCACAAGCCGGGCAGGAUGCUUUUGGGUGAUCGUGGAUAGGUUGGCUAAGUUGGAGCACUUCAUACCUAUUCACACUACUUGGACUGGGGAGAAGCUCACACAAGUGUACCUUGAUGAGAUCGUGCGACUUCACGGUGUACCUACAUCGAUUGUGUCGUAUCGAGACACCCAGUUCGUGUCUCAUUUUUGGAGGAGUCUACAGGACGCCUUGGGCACCUGGCUGGACUUCAGCACUACUUUCCACCCUCAGAGAGACGGGCAGUCGGAGCGCACCAUUCAGACUUUAGAGGAUAUGCUCCGAGCAUGUGUGAUUGACUUUUAGGGAGGAUGGUCACAACAUCUACCUAUGGCAGAGUUUGCUUAUAACAAUAGUUAUCAAGCAAGCGUCAAGAUGGCAUCGUUUGAAACACUCUAAGGAUGGAAGUGUAGAUCGCGACUUCAUUGGAGUGAAGUUGGCGAGAGAUUUGCUUUAGGCCCUGAUGUGCUCCAGGAAGCAGAGGACAAGAUUCGAAUUGCUCGGGAGCGACUUUUGACGGCACAGAGUAGACAGAGGAGCUACGCUGAUCGACGGUGGCGAAACUUGGAGUUCAAGUUGGAGACCAUGUUUUCUUGUAGGUCUCGUCGACUAGAGGGAUCAAGAGAUUCGGGAUUCGAUGUAAGCUGAGCCCCCGUUUCAUCGGACCGUAUGAGAUUUUGGAGCGUGUGGGCUCGGUAGCAUAUCGACUUGCUCUACCACCGAACCUAUCGGGCGUACACAACGUCUUUCAUUUUUCGGUCCUUCGGAAGUACGUCUUCGAUCCGGCUCAUGUUUUAGAUGCUACACCUAUAGAGCUACGGGAGGAUUUGAGCUUCGUGGAGCAACCAGUGAAAAUCUUGGCUCGCGAGGUGAAGAAACUACGGAAUCGGGACAUUCCGUAUGUAAAGGUCCUUUGGAGUAACCACGGGGAGCGGGAGGCCACGUGGGAGCUGGAGAGCGCGCUAUAGGAGCGCUAUUCCCAUCUUUUUCAGAUGGAGUCUUGAAGUAUAUUGUUUGCUUUCGAGUUUUGCGGACGAAACUCCUUUUUAUGAGGGGUGAAUGUAACAAACUGGACCUUUGCAAAUAGCGAGGUUCGAGUGUUUGAUCCGUGUUCCGAGCUUUACCAGAUAUUCUGGAGGGUCGUAGAUAGUGUUCCGACAUAUGGCUCGCAUCCCGAGAAUUGAGGUUUAAAGCUUGUACCAAAAUCCAAAAAGAUGGAUUGUUGGUCCUGCUCUUGGG